AUAGGGACUACAGAAAAAUUACUGCUACUUUCAUUGUCAGAUAGCAGCAGUAGAUCUUUUAACUUGUCUUUAUCUCCAUCCCUACCAUAGGUAUAAAAUCCGCCCUCAACAACAGAAGUUGUGGGAGUUCUUUGUGAAACAUUGCCUCCAACAACAUCUUCUCUAAGACGGAGGAUAUCUUUUUGAUUUGCAAGGUGUUCCAACUUCUUGAAUAAAACUUCUAUCCUACCAUUCAUGCCUUUAUAAUUAAAAGGUUUACGACAGGUAGAAAGGAAGUUCCACACCUGGGUUUUCUUAGUCUGAUCUUUCGCCUUGCGACGCGAAACUUCAGUAUCGAUCUCAUCCACCAAGUCCUCGGCCUCGAACACAGCAUGUUUGAGCUCAUCAAGCCACUUCCCGACGUCGGGGUUGACAAUCUGCUUCUCCUCUGCGUCGUUGAGCACUGCACGGAGAUUCACCAACUUCAUCUUCAGUGUGUCCAGGAGUGAAUAGUCGAGUCUUCUUGCCCGGAAGAAGUCUAUGAACUCUCCGGAGGCAAUCUUGUCGCACAGCACCUGGAUGGAACCGGAGAGCAAAGCCUCUCCAACGAAAGCCAUUUUCUCUUCUUAGCAAAAGGAGUAAUUUUGAUCAAGUAUUUGGAGUUGAGAAACUGAAAAUUAUUCUUGGAAAAGCCUGUAAGAUUACUUCAUGACUGGUGAGACGACUUGAUCUUUUUCUUGGUCAAUAAUGCAGUGGACCACACGCGGCAAACAUGAAGUAGAAAUUGGUGGAGGUUGGAAAACGUUACCAUCCAACAUUAAUUUAUUAAUUAUUUUCUUCCAUGAAAAAAAUCGUUGCUGGUCAUGAAAAUUGGUGGAGGUUGGAAAACAUUACAUCAACCAUUAAUUUAUUUAUUACUUUCUUCCCCUUGUGGAAUAAAUUUUUAGUUGUGACCGGAAUACGAAUAUACACCACAUGUUUUUAUACAAGAAGUAAAAAUUUUUAAUUUUUAAGUUAUUAACAAUUUAACACACAUAACCCACCAUUUAUAUAAGGACACAUGAUGUAUCACCUCGUGUAACGGUCAAAUCAAUAAAAGUGUUCCCUGAGAUUGUCCAUCAUCCAUCAUUUUAGCCAUUCUGUUAAAAAUUCAAUUAAGUGUUUCAGAGCACUUGGCCGGAAAUUUGAGCAAGUUUCAAAGCUUCGUAACUCAAUCAUUUCUUAACCAAAUUCGACUCACAAUAUAUCAAAAUGAAGAUCGUAAAGUGUAGACUAAGAUUGUACCUAUUUGGAAGCCCAAUGGUUGCCGUAGAUGGCCAGAAAAUAGCCUCAAAGUUGCCUGGUCUAAGGGAAAACUUGAAAACUCGCCAGAAACUGGUAAAUCGUUCAUAACUUCUUCAAUACUCAACGAAAUCAAGUGAUUCAAAAAAGAAAAUCAUACUUCUUAAUGAGACGAAGAGAAUGCUACCUUUUUUAGAUGGCUAAAUAGUCGUGGUUUGGUCGGAAAAGGCUCAAAAAUAGCUAUCUUGGUCUCAAGUUAGCCAUCUUCGAGCCGUUUUCCAGCCAAACCACGGCGAUUUAGCCGUCUAAAAAUAUACCAUUCUAUUUGUCUCGUUGAGAAGUAUGAUUUUUGUUUUUGAAUCACGUAAUUUCGUUGAGUAUUGAAGAAGUUAUGAACGUUUAAAGUUUAUCCAGUUUCUGGCGAGUUUUCCAGUUUUUCCUCAAACCAGUCAACUUUGAGGCUAUUUUCCGGCCAUCUCCGGCAGCCAUUGGGCUUCCAAAUAGGUAUAAUCUUAUUGUACACUUUCUUAUCUUUAUGUUGAUAUAUUAUGGGUCGAAUUUGAUUAAGAAACAAUUGAGUUACAAAGCUUUGAAAAUUGCUCAAACUUCUGGCCAAGAGUUUUAGGACACUUAACGGAGUUUUUAACAGAAUGAUCAAAAUGAUGGAUAGUGGACAAUCUCAUGGACCACUUUUAUUGAUUUGAAAUGUUAGGGACCAAAGUGAUGAGUUAUGCAAAUCUCAAGGACCAUUUUGGCUAUUUAGCCUAUUUUCUAUUCUGAUUAUUUAUUUUCUGUAACACGUACUAUAUGCUUUUUGAAGAAAAAUUGAAAAGUUUGUACUUUUUCUUGCUCUGCCAAUCUGUCUAUGUAUUCAACAUGCAUGGAACCAUUCAAGUUUGGGAUUUGGUUUGCAUCAGCAAUGCACUUUACAUCAUGAAUUUGAUUAUGGGAUAAAAUUUUUAGUGUACCUAAAACAUUAUCCGGUAUAUCAAGUAUAAUAAUAUAAUUGGUUGAAAAUUUUGUUUCUUCAAGUUUCUAAUCCAAUUGUCUUGUUACACUUGGUAUAACAAACCGUGUUCCUAACACAUUGAUAAAUCUCUCCACACAUCAGGAGGCCUAAAAUCUAUCAGUCUUGUUACACUUGGUAUAACGGUUAUAAUUAUUAUAACAUUUAAAUGGACAUUUCUAUUUGUAGCCGUUAAAUAAAAAUCCAGCGAUCCGCAUGUGUUGAUCAGGAGGAUCCGCUACUUAUUUGGCUGGCGCGUGCAGCACACUCGCGACUGUGCGUGAGUAGGAGACAAGGGUGCAUACGGUGGGGCCCGCUUAUCAGCCCACUUGUGUUCACCCGAAUUAGAGCUACGUGGCCCUCCUCAGUGUCGUUGGAUUUCCAACGGCUAGUUUUUGUAGACCGUUGGAUUUCCAACGGUAAAAAAAAUUUAAAUUUGACUUUUAAAAUGAACCAUCUGAUCACAGAUCAACGGUCCACAUUUUUUUCACAAAAAAUAAAAAUAAAAAUAAUUAAAAAAAGGCCCAACGGUCAGAAUUAUGACCGUUGGCCACGUGGCAACGCCUUGGCUCCUGGAUUUGAAUAUUUUUCAAAUCCAACGGUCCAGAUUAAUUAUCUAUAUUAAAAUUUAUUAAAAAUUAUGAAAAAAUACAGAAAAAUUAUUAAAAAAUAUAGAAAAGUUUUAAAAAAGUUUUUUUUUUUUUCUAUAAAUACCUAACUCUCAUCUUCUACCUUACACCACAUUUCAAUAUUUUCUACACUUUCUACCAAAGCUUUCAUAUACUUUUUGUGUGAAAAAAAAAAACCAAAAAGCUCAUCCUUAAUGAAUUGAUCGUUUAGCGGUACACUGAUGUGCAAGAGCUAUAUUGGCACGUAACCCGCCAUAAUGACUUGAUUGAGCACUAGUGGAGAUUGCAAGAAGGUGAAGAUAAUUAAAAUAAGCUUGUGGUUGAAGAAUAAAGUGUAUUUGAUGAGUUUAAUGUAAUUUCAUUUUAAUGUGUUUUUUUUUUUAGUUUAUUUGAUGAGUUUAUGUAAUUUUUUUUAGUGUGUGUUUUUUUAAGUUUAUUUGAUGAGUAUGUAAUUUUAUUUUAGUAUGUUUUUUUUAAGUUUAUUUGAAAUUUUAUCCGAAAUUGGUUAAAAAUCUUAUUUGAAAAUAAUUUUAUUUUAUUCUUUAAAAAAAAGAUAUAUAAUAUUUUAAAUGGGCUAGGUGACAGCGCAUUUUGUAGGGAUGAAGAUCGUUUAUGCCAUCGCAUUUUUAGACUGGGUGCCAGUGCAUUUUUUUAAGGGUGGAGAUGUUUUAGCCUAUUACUGUUCACUAUGGUUUAUUACUAUUCGCUUGAGUAGAUAAAUGCGCUGGAUGUUGGCGCAGAGUAUUUAGGUGUGGAAUUGCUCUAAAAAGAACCACGCAAUAAUACAUUUGGAUCUCAACAUUUUUCCAUAGGAUAAGGAUUGUCUGCCCUUCCACUUUUCAUGCCCUUCUAUGCCCUCCUGUUUGUUUGUGUGGUCACGGUUAAGCCACGUCAAUAUUUUAUAUUAUUAUUUAUUUUUAUCUUAUUAUCUCUAUAAAAUAAAGAAUAUAAAAUGUUAACGUGGCUUAACCGUGAUCACAUAAAACAAAAAGGCGGGCAUGGAAAAUGAAAGUGCAAACAAUCCUUGUCAUUUUCCAUAUGAUAUGAUUCCAUGUCCCCACCAUCGUCUUGUCACAUGGCAUCGUCUUGUCACCAUCUUGUCAUUAUUUCUAAUCUGGUUCUAAUUCCAAGGGGAACAUCUUCGUGUGAAAAAUAAAGUAAAAGUUUCGGGCAGGACCUUAAUGUUGGGUUCAAUUUCUACAUUUAUUAUUUACAUUUUUUACUUUUAAUCUCAACCGCUUAUUUUCUACAACACUCAUUACCACGUGCUAUGGAAAAAAAAAAAGAAAUUGAAAAGUUUCUUACUUUUUCUUGCUUUGCCUAUAUUUUCAACAUUUAUGGGACCAUUCGUGUUUAGGAUUUGGUUUGCCUAUAUGUUCAACAUUCAUGGGACCAUUCUGCUUUGCCUAUACUUUCUUGCGUUAACCAAUUUUAAGUCAGGUUAACAUGUUUUUGCACAAAACUAAUUAAGAACACACUCGAGCUGCAUAUUUAUAUUGUCAAAUUAUCGAAUUUAAUGUCACAUAAUUAAACAAAAGUAUACGUUUAUCGUUCUUUAAUUUAGAUUAACAGUGCGCUCCCUCUUUUACAUCUAAAUUUGAACCUUCAUUCUUAACUUUGCAAUUUAGAUGAGUUUAAUAUAAAUUAUCUUAUCGUUUGUUAAAAAACUCAUUUCUUAAAUAAUUAGAUGUGAUAUGUUUAAAUGCAAAUUUGUAACAAAACAAUGGAAAAGAAUAAAUAAAAAUGCAUAAGUACAAAUGUUCAUGGAAGCAAAGGUCUCGAAAACAUAUAUACUCCACAAAAUCUAGCACUAGAGUAUUGAGCCUAGAUAAUAUAACCUCUUCCCCAAUACUAAUUUAUAGCUGAUUUAUUUUGUGAUUUAGUUAAAAUUGCCAAUUCUCAUUAUCCUAAUUUCAUCAAAAAUAAAAUUAGAUAAUACCUUUAAAUUAACCACAAAAAUAACAAAACCGCAUCAAAAUCCUAAUUUUCAAUUCCACUGCAGAGAGAAAUCGAGUAGAUCCCCAUAUCCCCCAAUAAAAUGAAACAUGCAAAUGAGAAUUCAAUAAUUACAACUCAAAUUAAUAGCUUAUGCUUUCAUAGACAUCUGAAUUAUUGAAAAUUUACCCAUGUAGCCCCAGUUAGUCGAAAUCGAUCGAGCAUGAGAGAUUUUCUUUCAUAGACAUUUGUUUUAUAGACAUCUGCUUUCAAACGAGCAUGAGCGACUCGUGUAAAACAAGAUAUAGAUUAAUUUCGACGACAUGCAUCACAUGGUAAACUAUUAGAAUUGGAUAUCUACUUUUCCCUACAAUAAUAAUGAGGUGUUGUUAUUGGAACUCACAAUCAAAAUAUAAUUAUCAUUCAUUUUUCUCUCUUCGUGGCCGAAGGACUAAUUUGGAUCAAGUAUUUGAAGUUGGGAAACUGAAAAUUGUUCUUGGCAAAGGCUGUUAAGAUUACUUCAUGACUGGUGAGUGGUGAGACGACUGAUAUUUUUCUUGGUCAAUAAUGCAGUGGACCACACACGGCAAACAUAAAGUAGAAAUUGGUGGAGGUUGGAAAAAUACAGUAAAAAAAAUCAUGCAAUAUAUUUGAAUUUCACCAUUUUUCCAUAUGAUAUAAUCACAUGGGCCCCACUAUUCUCUUGUCACCACCCUCUUGGCAUCGUAUUGUCACCAUCCUCCACGAUCCUCUUGUCAUUAUUCUACUCUUAUUCCAAGGAGGCAGAUUUUAUGUCUUUCUAUUUUUCGUGCCCUUCUAUACUUUCUUACUUGUAUAGUUACGGUUAAAUCACAUCAACAUUUUAUAUUAUUAUUUUUUUUAUCUUAUUAUAUUUAUAAAAAAAUUAUAUAAAAUAUUGACGUGACUUAACCGUGAUCACACAAAACAAAAAGGCACAUAAAGACACACAAAGUGGGAGGCCAGAUAAUCUGCCUCCUUAUUCCAAAACAUCUACAUGUAAAAAAAAUAUAAUAAGAUCAAUUACCACACGACAAUGAAACAUUGAAUAUCUCAAAAUUGCCCCUUUUAUUACAGAUUAUAAAAAAUAAAAAAAAAGUAAGGACAUGAUGGUAAAACGUGGCAAGGAGAGAAAGUGGAGGAAAGAAACUAGAACGUGCUUAAAGAAAUAAAAGUGUAUUUGAAGCAGUUGUCGUAUUAAUAUCUCAUUCCAAUAUCACUUCUCCUUGCGCUCCAACUUCUCCCGUUCCCUGCAUUCCUCCAGUUUCUCUCUAUGGGUCUUACUUUUCCAUACAAAAACGGAAUCUUUACCUUUAUCUCUUAUGUAAAAUAGAGCACCAAAAUGGGCAAUCUCAAAGUGCUGCAGAGAUACGAUCCCUUCAUCAAAAAGGUUCUGAUUAUGGCUGCCUACGUCACAUUCUACUAAUUCAACAUUGAGAACAAUCAAUGGGUUCGUUUCUCGAAUUGUAACUUCCAAUUAUCCGUUUGGUUGCCCAGAAAAAAAAAAAAAAAAAACACCACAAUUAAUUCUACGAACAACGGAAAUUUGAAAUAUGAAGUGUGAAUCAAUAGGUGGAAAUGUGACACUGAUGUUGGCAAACUUUAUGGUCUUCAAUCUUGAUAAUUUAUGCACACAUUGGAAUCCAUACUUCAUAUGUUCACUUAUAUUUGUUGAUCUCUUGGCACAUCUGUACUAAAUUGUUUGGUAUUAGCCAUUUUCUUUGAUUCAUAUUUCAAUUUUGUAAGUAGCAAGAAUACCUUAGUAAAUGAAAAUAUCAAAAAUAAAAUAAAAAUUGUAAACAGUGCCAAGCGCAUGUAAUUAUAAAAUUGUAAGUCAAUCAUAGCACGUCUGAUUAAAAGCCUCUAAUCCUACCCAUUGUUAACAAUGAUAAACAACUAACGCCACAUAUUUUAGGGGCACGUAGCUCCUAUGAUUUAAAAAUGUCUCUCACAUGAAGCGAACGGAACGUAUCAAAAUCCAUGCAACCUCCUAAUAAAAUUAAAGGAGCUUUAAUGAAAAGGGUUUGAGGCUAAGCUAUUAUUUAACCAAAAAAUCACCAUAAGCUAUUAUUUAACCAAAAAAGCUUCAUAUUUAAUCAUAAGGACAAACUAACUUAUAUUAGACCCAACAAACAGUAAAAGACAUGGGCUGAAUUAAAAGCCCAAAAUGCAAUAAUUUUUUUUUCCAGCCCUGAUUGUAGCAUUAAGUGAUUUGACUCUUAAAUAAAUACAAAAAUAAGCUAUUAUCAUCAAUGUUACCUAUUAUUCAUGUUUUAAAUAGGAAUGCAUCUUAUUAAUCAAGCAACAUGAAUAAAAUCAAAUUAAUCUUAUAGUUCGACUACAAAGCAAAAAUAGCACAUGAAAUUAAAAUUACGUAGUAGCAAUAUACCAUACAAGUCGCCUUGUUAUUUUUUUUAUACAAAUCAAUUUGGAAAUCUUAUUAUUUUUAUUCUCAUCCUGUAAUGUUGCACGAUUAUUUGAACUGUUUAUGUUUAGAUCGUCAUUUAAAAACCAUCUCUACAAAAAGCUAAAUGCAUUCAAAAGUUUUUGCUCAUGUAAUGAUUAUUCAAUAAUUCUUUUGAACACUGAAAUUAUAUUAUUCUAAAAUGGUUUGACGAUAUCUUGUUUGGUUCUUUUGUUGCAAAGUUGCUCUUUAAAUAGUGGCCUAGAUAACAUACGGUUUUGAUUCUUGAGUGACAUUGCUUGAUCACAAAAAAGAAAUGAGAUAGUAGAAAGAAAAAAAAAUCACAAUAGAUUAACCAAAAUAAUUUGGUUCAAAUUUACCUUUAACGAGAAUUAAACUUAAGAUUUCUCAUAUGAAAAUUGUAGUACUAGAAUGUGAAGUUUUUUGGUAAAAGAAAUGAAGGAAAUAAAAUAGCUGGCAUGACAUCAUACUCACCAAUCACGAUGUAUAUGUUCCAUACAUGUGGGGUCUUGGCCUUCCAUUUUUCCUUAUCCGGUCAAUUACUAAGCUAGGUUAGGUUCGGGCAUUGUUAGCAAGUGGUACAUUACAUUUUCAUGGAAGCAUAAUCACGACUCAGGAAGAGGAAAAAGGAAAUAAAAAGCCACUAGAAAUGUAUAUAUUUUCCCAUGGGUGUGUUGUAAGAUUAUGUAUAUUAUAUACAAAUUUAACCAUUAUGAGGUGAUUAAGUGAUUGGGAACGAAUUUUAGACCCAUAUUUUACACGGCAUGUUCUAGGUUAGAUUUUUUGCUCUAGUGAAUCAUACGAUGAUGGCCAGAGGGAUGCCGAAACACUUUUGUGAGUCAUUCUAACCCGGAAAGGGUGGACAUGGCAAAACCACUAGAUAGUUCCCUUUUUAAAAAGAUAAAAAAUAUAUAUACACAAAUUUGCUACACCAACUAGUAUCGAGAAGUCCACAUAAGGUUUGAUUACAAAAGUUAAACUUAAAAGCCGCAGACUUGGGUGGCUAGAGCAAUGUGCUUACUCUUUUGCACCCAAGUUCAAAUCUCCGUUUUCAUAUCUAUAAUUUAGAUGAAUUUAGUAUAGAUUAUCUUAUCGUUUUUUUUUUUUUUAAAUCCUGCUUCAUGAAUAAUUCGAUAUGAUAUGUUUAAACGUAAAACUUGAGUGAAACACAGUGAAAUGAUUAGAAACCAUCUUCACCACAAAUCUGUAACAUAAACAAUUGAAAAGAACAAGUACAAAUGUUUAUAUGAGAGAAGUUGUAAGGACUUGGAUUGUGAGGGUCAUCUCCACUUUGAAAGUAAUAGCUGAAAGUUGGAGGUUCAUGCAGAUUAAACCAUUGGCCAUUGACGAACACCUCAAAAGAGGGAUGAACAGGGAAACCAGCCCUGCUGAAAAUUUUAAGAACAAAAUUAAAAAAUAAACGGUUCAAAGUUCCGAUUUUGUUUUGCCAAUGAAAGUUGCAGGAACGUGAACUAUAUUGCCUCAAUCUUUUCCAUUCAUUUUCUUUGCACACCUCUUGUUCAGAGAAGAACAAAUAUUUUGGUGAUCCUCGGACAUGGCGGCAAAUCCUCUUCUGGCAGGAAUGCAAGACAAUCGAUGAUGCAUAGCUGUUGAGGUCCUUCUCCGGGCAGGAAUUCCGAGAUUGCAUGGUGUUUUGAUCCGCAGAUUUCAAACUUGAUCGUCCAGAGGGUGUGAGCGGAAGAGAGCCGCUGUUGUUUGAGCAAUGUCUCCAACAGAUCCUCACUUCCCCUGAUCUGAAAUUCUCCAAGGGAGACAUAGCAUAGUUCGAUUCCACAGUUAAAAAAUACCCGAUAUUAUAAAUGCAAAUAUAGACAAGGUAAAAUGAAGAAAGAAAAAGAAAAGAAAGGUAAAUUAUAAUUUACAAAUCAUCAGUGUUCAACCGAGAAUCGAUAUAUAUCCUUCUGGUGAAAUCUGUAGCGUAACAACCAGCCUCCUUGUAUAGUAACGCGAUGUACUGGCAUUCGACCAAACACAGUUAAGUGGUGCUAAAUACAGAUAAGUGUCAAAUUAACUUUGAAGACAAUCAAUUUUGUUGGAAAAUUUGAGGACAAUCAAUUUAACAUAGCAACAGAUAAGUGGUACUAAAUACGUACCUGGCUUUGUCUUGAGAGUUGAGAGUUGGAGAGAGUGAAAUUAAGGCUCAUAUGGUGAUUUCAUCAUCUAUCUUUAUGCAAGGAAUGCGAGAUAUGUUCUCCAAUCUUUUCCCUUCUUGUUCCGAUACCUCUUCUUCAGAGAACCCCAGAUGCUCAGAUAAGAAAGAGAUGCCGGCAAACUGCAAACUCUCUUUCGGCAGGAAUUCAAGACUCUCGCAGCUUGAAAUUCGUAGCUGUUGAAGAGAAGUGAGGUGCUCAAGUCCCUUUCCGUUCAAAGAUUUCAGAUUUGAAAGUAUAGAGAUCCAGAGAGUGUGAAGAGUGGCAGGGAGCAGCUGUUCCCUGAGCAACGUCUCCAACAAAUCCUUGUUUCCUUGGAUCCGAAAUUCUCGAAGAGAGGCAAGUUCUUGCAAUCCCCACUCCACUGAAGGCCUCAUUCUCUCACAAUUUUCGAUCCAAAAUGUUUGUAGGUUGGGAGGCGAACCCCUUUGUGCAGGUGACACCAGAUAUGGAAGAUUUUGUAUCCACAAAUGUUGAAGGGCGGUGAGGGUGUGCAUUAGGGCCGGCAACAACUUCAAAUUCUUGCAUUUGGCUGCACAGUCCUGCCAACAACAACAACAACUUCAAUGCAGAAUAAUGCUUCUCCUUUCGCUACAGUCCUGCCAAUGAUAGAGUGGAAUUACUCUCCACUUCCACAGCAGCAGCCUCCAAAUCAGCUGCCAUCGGCAGCCAAUGACGUAGUGUUAUGGCCUAAAAUGUACGUGGUAGAGAAAAAUGAACCCCCGUGUGCACACUUGGCUGCACAUGAAUCAGGGCUGCACAUGAAUCAGAAAAACAAAUACUAUAUAUUAAGAGAAACAAUGAAUGGACCCCUUAGCGACUGGGAAAUCCUGCUAUGUGCGAUAAUGUACAUGAAUCACUACCACGGUUGAGUUGGUACUUACCAAGAAGGUUUCUAAAAAUUUGAGAGCCCGCUGCUCCAACUUUCACCAUCAAACUUGGGUUAAGGCGUAUCAUCGUCUAUUUCUCCACGCCACCUUCCUCUAGAGCAGUUAAUGAAUCAAAUGAUUGCCUGAACAUAUAGUGACCAAAUCUGCAAUGUUCAAAUAAUUUUUUACUUCGUUUGUUAACUUGCUAUGCGAGACACAUGACAUCACACAGGCUAAAAUAUAGAAAACACACCUCUGAGUCCAGAUGCAACUUUGAAUAUUCUCUUGAUUGCUCAUGAAAUCCACAAUGGCGAGAAGAAUGCUAAUAUAUAGAAAACAAGCCGACAAAUACGUUAGUCCCAUCGUGUUGUCCUGACUGAUUGCAUGGUUGAAUUACAUUGAUACAUCGUGUUGUCAGAUAGUGUUGAAGAAGAAUACUUGUCACAAUCAUCAGAUUCAGAUGAGGAGAUUGGUGAUUCUUCACAAGACGAAAAAGAACCAUUCGAUGUUUUUGAUCGUUUCAACGGUGAGCUUCAUAACCUCUUCACAGAUACAAAUUUGGAAACAAAGGCGACGUCGGAAGAGGCACCUAAUCAAACGCAUCAUAUGGUAGAAUUAGAAGAUGUGGAGCAAUUUGAUUUCAAGGAUAUUGGAAAAAACAAGAAAAUGUUAAAGUACAGUAGAAGGAAAAGGUCGGCUUGCGUAUCAGUCAAACGUGAGGCUCAAGAUCAAACUUCCAAAUUUUUGUCAAAGAUGAAAGUUUCAUUGUUUCCUCUGAAAAUGUCUUUAUUCCAUGAAAUGAAGACUGGGAAAGUUAAAGUCAGUAAGAGUGAGGGUGGAAGCAAGGGAGACAAGAAACUUCAAAGGGGUGUUAUCAGACUUAAUGAAGAUAAUUAGCUGGAAUGUUAGAGGAUUGGGAAGUAGACAGAAGAGACUGACAUUGAAACAGCAGUUUUGACGUUUACAGCCCGAUAUCAUUAUAUUAUAAGAAACUAAGAAAACAUCAAUCGAUAGGAGGCUUGUGGCUAGCGUGUGGGGAAGCAGAUUUAAAGAGUGGAUUUUCACCCCUGCUCAAGGAAGUUCUGGGGGCAUAACAGUAAUUUGGAACACCAAACACAUCUCAGUUACUGAAUCUCUGGUUGGAGCUUUCUCUGUCUCCAUAAAAAUUAAGGCUCUCAACGGGUUGGAAUGGUGGUUAUCAGGUGUCUAUGGCCCUUGUAAAAAUAGAGAGCGUAGAGAGUUCUGGGAAGAAAUGGCUGGCCUUUACGGCCUGUGCGGACCAAGAUGGUGUGUAGGAGGAGAAUUUAACGUGGUGAGAUUCGUAAAUGAGAAAUAAAAUGGGGGAAGGUUGACUACAAGCAUGAGGAAUUUUAAUGAUUUCAUUCGAGAAACAGAACUCAAGGAUUUGGAAAUGCACAACGCUCAAUUUACAUGGUCAAAUUUCAGAGAAGAACCUGUGUGUCGGAGGCUAGACAGAUUUCUGCUCUCUGUAGGUUGUGAAGAGAUUUUUCCAGAGGUAAGACAAAUGGCUUUGGCAAGGGUCAUCUCUGAUCAUUGCCCUAUCCAGCUAGAUUCCAACAAGGUGAAAUGGGGGCCAAGUCCUUUUAGAUUCGAAAACAUGUGGCUACAACAUCCAGAUUUCAGGAACAAGUUCAACGUAUGGUGGCAAUCUGAGCAGGUGGAGGGAUGGGAGGGUUACAAGUUUCUGUUCAAGUUAAAAGCCAUAAAAAAAAAGGUGCAAGUAUGGAGUAAGGAGAGUUUCGGGGAAGUCGAGAAAGACUUUAAAGAAGCCGAGGCCAGCUUAGAAGAGUUAGAUAGGAGAGAGGGGACGGAUGGGCUAGAUGUUGAUGCUAGAAGAAAGGGGGAAGAACUACUUUUCCUUGUGGGAGAUCUGGCUUACAAGGAAGAAGUGAAGUGGAGGUAGAGAAGUAAAGUGGAAUGGGCAAAGGUAGGGGACGGUAAUACUAAAUUUUUCCAUCGAGUUGCAAGUGGGAGAAGGAAGAGAAACUAUAUAGAAAGGUUGGAACCGGAUGUUGGGGGAGUGAUAGAGGAUGCGAAAGAGAUAGAAGAACAUAUCGUCAAUUUCUUCAAGUCCCUGUUUAGUAGCAACGAAGAGGCAUGUUGGGGCCUGGAAGGUAUCAAUUGGGCCCCAAUAAGCGAAUUUGAGGCAGAUUGGCUUGAGAGGCCUUUUGAGGAAGCCGAAGUUCAAAGAGCAGUUUUUGAUUGUGGAAAGGAUAAAUCGCCAGGACCGGAUGGCUAUUCUUUGCAAAUGUUUCAGCAUUGUUGGGAUAUCUUGAAGGCAGACAUUAUGAAGAUUAUGGAGGAGUUCUAUGACACAGGGAUAAUAAAUGCGGUGACAAAUGAAACUUUUAUUUGUCUAAUUCCGAAGAAGUCAGAUUCUUUGAAAGUGACAGACUACAGGCCUAUAAGUCUUGUUACUGGUUUGUAUAAAAUUAUGGCGAAAACCUUGGCCUCAAGAUUAAAGGAGGUAUUGGGCAGCACAAUUUCUCCAAAUCAAGGAGCGUUUGUUAAGGAUCGACAAAUUUUGGAUGCCAUCCUUAUUGCAAAUGAAGUGGUAGAAGAGGUCAGGCAAAAGAAAGAGGAGGGAUUGGUGCUCAAAAUAGAUUUUGAGAAAGCAUAUGAUCAUGUCGAGUGGAGAUUUUUGGAUGAAGUCUUACAAAGAAAAAUCUUUGGCAAUAGAUGGAGGAAAUGGAUGCAGGGAUGCUUAAGUUCGGCAAAUUUCUCCGUUUUGAUCAACAGGAGGCCUAGGGGAAAAUUUCAAGCGUCAAGAGGUUUGAGACAAGGUGACCCACUGUCACCUUUUCUUUUUACCUUAGUAGUCGAUGUCUUGAGUAGGUUAAUGGAGAAGGCUCAAGAAAAUCAUCUCAUCAAAGGUUUAUGCAUUGGGCAAGAAAAGGUGGAGAUUUCUCAUCUUCAAUUUGCAGAUGAUACCAUUUUUUUCUUGGCGGAAGAUGAGGGAGUUUGGAACAAUCUAUUAGAGGUGCUCAACUUAUUCUGUUCUGUUUCAGGGUUGAAAAUCAACAAAGCUAAGUGUUAUUUGGCUGGAAUAAACUCAGAUUGUGAGAAAUUAAAUAGGUUGGCAGAUUCUUGGGGUUGUGAGGUGGGUAGCUGGCCUAUAAAGUAUUUGGGACUCCCUCUUGGGGGUAGGCCAAGAGCACUUAAGUUUUGGGAUCCAGUGGUAGAAAGAUGGAAAAAAGACUUCAAAGCUGGAAGAAGGCCUUCUUAUCUACAACAACAACAACAACAACAACAAAGCCUUUUCCCACUAAGUGGGGUCGGCUAUAUGAAUCCUAGAACGCCAUUGCGCUCGGUUUUGUGUCAUGUCCUCCGUUAGAUCCAAGUACUCUAAGUCUUUUCUUAGAGUCUCUUCCAAAGUUGUCCUAGGUCUUCCUCUACCCCUUCGGCCCUAAACCUCUGUCCCGUAGUCACAUCUUCGAACCGGAGCGUCAGUCGGCCUUCUUUGCACAUGUUCAAAAUCACCGGAGCCGAUUUUCUCUCAUAUUUCCUACAAUUUCGGCUACUCCUACUUUACCUCGGAUAUCCUCAUUCCCAAUCUUAUCCUUUCUCGUGUGCCCACACAUCCCACGAAGCAUCCUCAUCUCCGCUACACCCAUUUUGUGUACGUGUUGAUGCUUCACCACCCAACAUUCUGUGCCAUACAACAUCGCUAGCCUUAUUGCCGUCCUAUAAAAUUUUCCCUUGAGCUUCAGUGGCCUACGACGGUCACACAACACGCCGGAUGCACUCUUUCCAUCCAGCUCGUAUUCUAUGGUUGAGAUCUCCAUCUAAUUCUCCGUUCUCUUGCAAGAUAGAUCCUAGGUAGCGAAAACGAUCGCUUUUUGUGAGCUUCGCUAGAUUGCUCCGGUCAUUAGUGUGGAUAAGUAUAUAAAUGGAUAGAGAUAGGAAAGCAAACACAAGAUGUACGUGGUUCACCCAGAUUGGCUACGUCCACGGAAUAGAAGAGUUCUCAUUAAUUGUGAAGGGUUUACACAAGUACAUAGGUUCAAGCUCUCAUUUAGUGAGUACAAGUGAAUGAUUUAGUACAAAUGACAUUAGGAAAUAUUGUGGGAGAAUGAUCUCGUAAUCACGAAACUUCUAAGUAUCGGAGUGUGGUGUCGUCUUGACUUGCCUUAUCUGUCUCAUAGGUAGAUGUGGCAUCUUCUCUGGAAGUACUCUUCCUCCAUCCAGGGGUGGUAUCUUUAACUGGUGGAGAUGCACAAGGUAAUGUAUCAAUUUCACUUGAAGCUUACUUGUAGUUUCAGGCUUGGUCAAGCGCGAUACAAACCAUGUAGUAGGAGUCCCCCAAGUCGCCGAGCUAGGGGGUCUGCUGAAAGAGGUGACAGACAAGGUAAGCAAUCAGAGCUCCGACUGAUUGUUCACCUUCUCCCCAUCUUGCAGCAGCAUGAAGGAUAAAGAGAAGAAAAAUGAGAAGAGAUGAUAUGAGAUACUUUUGCUUUUGAAGAAGUAACUUUCCACAGGCUUAUUCUUGAACUGAGCUGGAGGGUUUUCUGGUUUCCUCCAGAGUAUAAGGCCGACUGAAGAAUUUGAGGGUCAAAACAAGUCCAUCAAAUCUAGAGUACGUUCCACCCUGCUGAUAUGGGAUACUUUUGCUUUUGACAGAGUAAUGAAUGUAUCGGCACGUGUGCUGUUACGCUUGUCUCCACAUGCUUCCUUGUAUCCUUCGCACUUGCCCUAUCUGUUCCUCAAGCAGAUGCGGAAUCUUCCCUGGAAACAUAAGAUGUUGAAGAUGAGUACUCGAGAGCAAUGCCAGGUAAGUAAUCAGGUAAAAGGGUUCCAGGCAGUCAGUUCCUGGCUGGAAGCUUGAUUCCAAGUGCUGACUGAUUGCUCUCUUUCUCCUUGUCUUGCAGGUAAAAACAAGGCCAAAAGAAAAGACAGGGAAAAAGCAUGAUAUGGGAUACUCUUGCUUUUAACCCUGAUGAUAUGAGAUAUUCUUGCUCUAGUAUAGCUUGUUUGCAGAGGUAUUAUCGGGGGGAAAGAAAGCUGAAUAUUUCGAAAGGCUUCGUUGGGAGUGCCCUCUCAGAUAUGAUGAAGGGUUGAGCAUUUUUGCAGGUCUGCCUAUCCGUUGGGGAUGGAGGUCGACAUAUAUAGGAGUCUCCCUAACAACAAGUAGUAAUGCUAUUCCUUUUACCCUGCUUGGUCAUAGCACGGUAGUGGGAGCUGCCAGUUUCACAUGUUUUAACUCUGUCAGAGCACUUUGAAAAAAGUGGUCUGUGGUAUCUGGCUCUCGAGAUUCGGAGAACGAUGCCUCUUCGAUUUUUGAGAAAGCAAUCAUGCUGGGGGUAUGACUCUCGAGAUUCGGAGAGCAGUGUCUCUUCGAUUUUUGAGGAAGUAAUCAUGUUGGGAGUCUGGCUCUCGAGAUUCGGAGGGCGGUGCCUCUUCGAUUUUGGAGCAAGCAAUCUUGUUGGGAGUGUUGUCUCGAAUGUGAGUAGUAAAGGUUGGGCAUGUUUGCUAGUCUACCUUGCCACGAAGCACAAAGGUUGACACACAGGGAAUUUCCAAUUAUCCAGCAAUGGUACUGUUCCUUUACCCUCUCUUCGAUUUUGAGAAAGUAGUCAUGUUGGGAGUCUGGCUCUCGAGAUUCGGAGGACGGUGCCUCUUCGAUUUUGGAGCAAGCAAUCUUAUUGGGAGUGUUUUCUCGAAUGUGAGUAAAGGUUGGGCAUGUUUGCUAGUCUACCUUGCCACGAAGCACAGAGGUUGACACACAGGGACUUUCCAAUUAUCCAGCAGUGGUACUGUUCCUUUACAGUUGUGGGUAAUAAUAUGGUAGCUAGACCUUCAAAAUUUAUGUGUCUAAACUUUUUAGUGCUGUUUCUUUGCUAUUCUUUUACCUUUCUUGGUCAGAGCGAUGUAGUGGGAGCUGCAAGCUUCACGUGCUCAACUUUGGCAGAGAACUUUGGCAAAGUUAUUUGUGGUACCCAUGAGCUAUUGUUGCGUGUGGGAAGUGGGUGAUUGAACAGUAAGAUUCAUGUGCUUUCUACUUCACCAGAAGUCUUCGACAGAAUGCCCAUAAUUUCUGCAAAGCUGAGUGUGCGUGUGACAGGUGCUGACAAGGCUAGAAAAGUAGGUGCCUCUUCGAUUUCUGAGAUCGGCCCUCGUGGUCUCUGAGCAGCCCAGCUUUUGAGAAAGCGAGCGCCUCUUCGAUUGAUUCGGAGAACGAUGCCUCAUCGAUUUUUGAGAAAGCAAUCAUGCUGGGGGUCUGGCUCUCGAGAUUCGGGGAGCAGUGUCUCUUCGAUUUUUGAGAAAAGUAAUCAUGUUGGGAGUCUGGCUCUCGAGAUUCGGAGGGCGGUGCCUCUUCGAUUUUGGAGCAAGCAAUCUUGUUGGGAGUGUUUUCUCGAAUGUGAGUAAAGGUUUGGCAUGUUUGCUAGUCUACCUUGCCACGAAGCACAGAGGUUGACACACAGGGACUUUCCAAUUAUCCAGCAAUGGUAAUGUUCCUUUACCCUCUCUUCGAUUUUUAAGAAAGUAGUCAUGUUGGGAGUCUGGCUCUCGAGAUUCGGAGGACGGUGCCUCUUCGAUUUUGGAGCAAGCAAUCUUAUUGGGAGUGUUUUUCUCGAAUGUGAGUAAAGGUUGGGCAUGUUUGCUAGUCUACCUUGCCACGAAGCACAGAGGUUGACACACAGGGACUUUCCAAUUAUCCAGCAGUGGUACUGUUCCUUUACCCUUGUGGGUAAUAAUAUGGUAGCUAGACCUUCAAAAUUUAUGGGUCUAAACUUUGUUAGUGCUGUUUCUUUGCUAUUCUUUUACCCUUCUUGGUCAGAGCAAUGUAGUGGGAGCUGCAAGCUUCACGUGCUCAACUUUGGCAGAGAACUUUGGCAAAGUUAUCUGUGGUACCCAUGAGCUAUUGUUGCGUGUGAGAAGUGGGUGAUUGAACAGUAAGAUUCAUGUGUUUUCUACUUCCCCAGAAGUCUUUGACAGAAUGCCCAUAAUUUCCGCAAAACUGAGUGUGCGUGUGACAGGUGCUGACAAGGCUGGAAAAGGCUGGAAAAGUAGGUGCCUCUUCGAUUUCUGAGAUCGGCCCUCGUGGUCUCUGGGGAGCCCAGCUUUUGAGAAAGCGAGCGCCUCUUCGAUUUUUGAGAUCGGCCUUCGUGGUCUUUGAGCAGCCCAACUUUUGAGAAAGCAAACGCCUCUUCGAUUUCUGAGAUCAACCCUCGUGAUCUCUAAGCAGCCCAGCUUUUGAGAAAGCAAACGCCUCUUCGAUUUCUGAGCAGGCGCCUCUUCGAUUUCUGAAGCUUCGUCGAGUGCAGAUUUUUUAUAGGGGCUGGCAUUAAGUUCCAAAGCACACUUGAAUCUCCACCAGUAGAAGCUUCAUUCUUGCACUUCUAAGAUCUUGAUUUGUCCGACCUCUUCUCUCUUUCAACACCUUUGAAAAUGUCUGGCCCCUCCGACCGUCGUUUUGACUUGAACCUUGUUGAAGAGGCAGCCCUGCCUUCUCCAGACAACAUAUGGCGCCCAUCCUUCGUCUCCCCUACUGGUCCUCUUACCGUUGGGGAUUCCGUGAUGAAGAAUGAUAUGACCGCUGCGGUGGUGGCCAGGAACCUUCUCACUCCCAAAGAUAACAGACUACUUUCCAAACGGUCUGAUGAGUUAGCUGUUAAGGAUUCGCUGGCUCUCAGUGUUCAGUGUGCAGGUUCUGUGUCUAAUAUGGCCCAACGCCUAUUUGCUCGAACCCGCCAAGUUGAAUCAUUGGCGGCUGUGAAGUGAUGAGUCUCAAACAGGAGAUUAGAGGGCUCAAGCAUGAGAAUAAACAGUUGCACCGGCUCGCACAUGACUAUGCUACAAACAUGAAGAGGAAGCUUGACCAGAUGAAGGAAACUGAUGGUCAGGUUUUACUUGAUCAUCAGAGAUUUGUGGGUUUGUUCCAAAGGCAUUUAUUGCCUUCGUCUUCUGGGGCUGUACCGCGUAAUGAAGCUCCAAAUGAUCAACCUCUGAUGCCUCCUCCUUCUAGGGUUCUGUCCAGUACUGAGGCUCCAAAUGAUCCCCUUCCGGUGCCUUCUCUUUCUGGGGCUCUACCGACUGCUGAGACUUCUCCUAAGCAACCUUUGUGAAGGCUCCCUCUUGUGUGCUUAUUUUGACUCAUGUAUAUGUACAUAUUUGUAGCUUAUCGGGGAUAUCAAUAAAUAAGCUUUCCUUCAUUUCAACGUAUUGUGUUAAAUACACCAAAGCCUUCUUUCGCUAAGUUCUUUGAAUUUUCUUUUUGUUAAAGCUUGUAUGUUGAAGCUUUCUGAGUAGAGCAUGUAGGUUGGGGUAGUGUUCCCUUAAUUUCCCGAGUGAGGAAAACUUCUCGGUUGGAGACUUGGAAAAUCCAAGUCACUGAGUGGGAUCGGCUAUAUAAAUCUUAGAACGCCAUUGUGCUCGAUCCUGUGUCAUGUCCUUCGUUAGAUCUAAGUACUCUAAGUCUUUUCUUAGAGUCUCUUCCAAAGUUUUCCUAGGUCUUCCUCUACCCCUUCGGCCCUGAACCUCUGUCCCAUAGUCGCAUCUUCUAAUCGGAACGUCAGUAGGCCUUCUUUGCACAUGUCCAAACCACCGUAACCGAUUUUCUCUCAUCUUUCCUUCAAUUUCGGCUACUACUUUACCCCGGAUAUCCUCAUUCCUAAUCUUAUCCUUUCUCGUGUGCCCACACAUCCAACGAAGCAUCCACAUCUCCGCUACACCCAUUUUGUGUACGUGUUGAUGUUUCACCGCCCAACAUUCUGUGCCAUACAGCAUCGCCGGCCUUAUUGCCGUCCUAUAAAAUUUUCCCUUGAGCUUCAGUGGCAUACGGCGGUCACACAACACGCCGGAUACACUCUUCCACUUCAUCCAUCCAGCUUGUAUUCUAUGGUUGAGAUCUCCAUCUAAUUCUCCGUUCUUUUGCAAGAUAGAUCCUAGGUAACGAAAACGGUCGCUCUUUGGUAUUUCUUGAUCUCCGAUCCUCACCCCUAACUCGUUUUGGCCUCCAUUUGCACUGAACUUGCACUCCAUAUAUUCUGUCUUUGAUCGGCUUAGGCGAAGACCUUUAGAUUCCAAUACUUCUCUCCAAAGGUUAAGCUUUGCAUUUACCCCUUCCUGAGUUUCAUCUAUCAACACUAUAUCGUCUGCGAAAAGCAUACACCAAGGAAUAUCAUCUUGAAUAUGUCGUGUUAACUCAUCCAUUACCAACGCAAAAAAGGUAAGGACUUAAGGAUGAGCCUUGAUGUAAUCCUACAGUUAUGGGAAAGCUUUCGGUUUGUCCUUCAUGAGUUCUUACGGCAGUCUUUGCUCCUUCAUACAUAUCCUUUAUAGCUUGGAUAUAUGCUACUCGUACUCCUUUCUUCUCUAAAAUCCUCCAAAGAAUGUCUCUUGGGACCCUAUCAUACGCUUUUUCCAAAUCUAUAAAGACCAUGUGUAAAUCCUUUUUCCCAUCUCUAUAUCUUUCCAUCAAUCUUCGUAAGAGAUAGAUUGCCUCCAUGGUUGAGCGCCCUGGCAUGAACCCGAAUUGGUUGUCCGAAACCCGUGUCUCUUGCCUCAAUCUAUGCUCAAUGACUCUCUCCCAGAGCUUCAUUGUAUGACUCAUUAUCUAGAGGAGGUAAAUUAACUCUGAUUCAAUCUGUUUUGGGAAGCUUGCCGAUCUACUACAUGUCUUUGUUCAAAAUUCCUUGUGGGGUGAUUGGACGCCUAGAAAAACUAAUGAAAGGGUUUUUGUGGGAAGGUGUGGAGGAAGGAAAGAAAAACCACCUGUUAAAAUGGGACAUAGUUAUUAAAGGUAAAGAGGAAGGAGGUUUAGGGUUGGGGAAUUUGAGGAAUCGGAACGAAGCAUUACUUGCUAAGUGGUUGUGGAGAUUCCCAAAGGAACCUCAUUCCCUCUGGCACAAGGUGAUAAGAAGCAAGUAUGGGCUACAGAAUAACGGAUGGAAUGCAUUUCCUCCGAUGAGGGGUUCAAGUCGUAGCCCAUGGAAAGAUAUUUCGAGUGGUUCCCAAUCGUUUCUUCAUUGCUGUAAGUUUGAGGUGGGCAACAGGGAGAGGGUGAGGUUUUGGGAGGAUGGGUGGUUAGAAGGAGGACCAUUGAAAGAGCAAUUUCCUAGACUAUUCUUGCUAUCGAGGAUGCACAAUCAGAACAUUUCAAGUUUUGUGGAUCUUUCUACCAAUUCUUUGAGUUGGAAUUUUGAUUUCAGGAGAAAUUUGAAUGAGGCGGAGAUAGAAGAGGCGGCUAGAUUAUUACAGAAAGUGGAAGAGGUUCGCUUAUCUCAAUCAAGAACGGAUAACAGAAGGUGGAAACUGGAAGCAUCAGGAUUGUUCACAUGCAAAUCCUAUCGCUCCUUCUUGAGUAACAAUGGGAUUAUGCAAUAUUUUCCACCUUAUUCACAGAUUUGGAAAUCAAAAGUUCCUCCGAAGGUCAAAAUUCUUGUCUGGCUGGUGGCCAAAGGGAAGCUCAACACUUGUGACCAAAUUCAAAGGAGAAGCCAUUUUAUAUGCUUAUCCCCACAUUGGUGCAGUUUGUGCAAAGCUAGCGAGGAGAGUGUAAACCAUAUUUUUCUCCAUUGUUCUUACACGAUUCAAUUGUGGUGGAAAUUGUUUCAGGAGGUUAGAGCUAGUUGGGUCAUUCCAAAAGGUUGCUUCGAGCUUCUAAGCACCAAGUUUCAGGCCCUAGGAAUUGGGAGAAAAGCCAAAGUUUUGUGGGGUUGUCUGGUCUCGGCAAUUUUUUGGAACAUAUGGCUGGAGCGUAACAAAAGAAUUUUUGAGGAUUAUACGGGUGUGGGGGUAGAAGCACUUUGGGGAAGAGUAAAAUAUUGGGCAGCCCUAUGGGCUUCAGUCUCAAAUGAUUUUAAUAAUUACUCUCUUUCUCAAUUACUAUGGGAUUUGUUAGCAGCAGUAAAGUGAGUUAGGUCUAGCUAUUAUUGCUGUAGCCAAAUCCUAUUGAGUGUUUUUCUUGUAUCUUGUAAAUGGUGGAUUUCUUAUCCACUUCAGUGUAUUUCUAUUCUCUUUUAUAAAAUGUUUGUUUCUUCUCAAAAAAAAAUAAAGGAAGAACAAAUUACACUCUAGUGUUCAACUACGUACACUGAAAUCUGUAGGCGCAGCAGCUAGCCACCAAGUCUAGUUACACUGGCAUUCUAGCAAGCGGUGCCAAUAAACAUAUGUAUAUGCACCUACCACAAGAUGACAUAGGCAUUGAAAGAUGAGUAAGCAUUCCGCCAUAUGAAAACCACAGAAGUAUAUAUAUGCACAAGUACCUGAGUGGUUGAUGUAAGCAAACAUCGUUUUCCCUCUGAUACAUUCAAUCUUUAUAUAGCUGUUCAAGAGAGCUGAGGUCUGGAGGUCCCUGUCGCAGCAGGAAUUGCGAGAGUAGGAGAUGUUGAAAGUCCAUUUCCGUCCAAAAGAUUUCAAACUUGACAGUCCAGAAAAUCAGAGCACCAUUUGAUAAUCCUAUCUUUACAGGUUUGCUUGCUCGCUGCAUCUAUGAAACCGAUGUAUCACACCUACCAGAAGAUUAGAGUUAUGUCGCAAAAAAGAGAAGUAUGAGAAAAGCAUCAUCAAGGGUUUUAUCUCUUGUCAUGCAGGAGAAUCAUAGAUAUCGACCCCAAGUAGUUCCUUCCCGUCCAAAGAUUUCAGAUUCCAUACAUAAGAGAUUUUGAGAGCGUGAAGAGUGGCAGGGAGCAGCUGUUCAUUGAGCAACGUCUCCACCAGAUCCUUGUUUCCUUCGAUCCAAAAUCGUUGAAGAGAGGCAAGUCCUUGCAAUCCCCACUCAACUGAAGGCCUCAGUCUCUCACAAUUACCGAUCCAAAAUGAUUGGUUGGGAGGCAAACCCCCUUGUGCAAAUGACACCACGUUUGGAAGAUCGGAUAUCGACAAUUCUAAACCUUAACAAAAGGAAUAAGUGGUGUUGAUUCCAAGUGGUGAUGCUUCAUGAUUCUAAAACUUAUUAUGUAGUAUCAAUCGGUUCAUCAAAUUCAAAGGUUUGUGAUCUUACCACACUUCCUUGAAUGCAGUGCAGGGGUUCACCUACCUCUUGCUCUGAUUCAAUUCCGUUUAGUCCAGGAUCCAUUUUUUACUUCAGUACUCUAAUCUUUCUCUUUCUCUUCAUUUCGACAGCACUAUCCCAUUUUCCUGCACCAUCAUAGAGGUUCAACAAGAUGUUAGUUGCACUAUCUUGUGAGUCUAAACUUAAACCUGCUCUGCUGCACGAGCUUAGUAACGCUCUCCACAAUCCAAGAUCAUUUCCAUUAAACGGUUAACUGAUAACAAGUUCCCCUUCUGCAUCCAAUAAUCAACUUGACAAACUAACCAUGCAAGGGUAGUGCUUAGGCCUAGGAAUCUGAUUCUGAUUCAACCUCAUUUCAGUUCAUCCUCAAUUCAAUUCCUCACAAUCUGAUUAAGGAUUAGUAAACGAGCCAUUCUAUGUAUUCUACUCCAAUUCCAAAAGCUCUAUCUUCAACUUCCUGUAAAAAAAAAUUAAGAAACUUUUGGGCAUGACUUCAACUCUGUGUAGCACUUAAUGUUACAAGUGUAUUAGUCGUUAGAUUUAAUUUUCACAAUUAUUACAUUUUAUAUUUCCUAUUCUGAUUAUUUAUUUUCUGUAACACUCAGUACUUGUGAUAUUGUUGAUGGAAGUGAAGCGAAAACAAAAGUGGGGGAGUGUUGGAGCAAGGUAACCAGUUAUUACAGUGGCCGAAUAACAAGAUCCAGAAGUUCAUCCCAGAACCCAAAUGACGUUAACAAUUAUCCGAAGGGUGAUGGCUGUACAAUCCAUCUUUCCACUGGAAAGUCAACACAACCACCUCAGCCUUUAAGUACCAGGUCACAAGCUGUGCAUGGUACUGAAAAAAUAGUGAAAGACGCUAUCACCAAUAUAUCUGGUCAAAGAAUUAAUCAGUCAACAUCUUCUUCAUCUAACAAGUCUCAUGAUUCACAGAGAACUCAAAUAUCUGCUGGAAGGUCUGUUCCAAUUCAAUGUGAUAUAGACCUGUGUGCAGAGAAUUCAACAGAUUCUUCAGACAAGGAAAAUGAUGCAGAUCACUAUGCUGGUAGAAAGAUAAGUGCAGAAACUAAUUGUACUACUGAAGGAAUGUCAAAACCGGUCAAUUCACAGGCUUUGGUUCACAGGGGUACACAGUCCAGAUCCGCCUGCUUCAAGCAAGCAUUUGUCUGAAAAAAUGACACAGAGGGGUACACAGUACAAAGAGGUACCUUGUACUCAAACCUGUGAAUUUGUUAAAGCUGCAUCUGGUGGAGAAACAGAAAUUGAUCCUGAUGUAUCUGUUGAAGGUUCUGGAUCAAAAUUGGAUGGUACUGGGGUUAGAGUUGGAGUGGAAGUUUUAGCCUCAAGGCAGCCUGCUGAUUGUAAUGUGCUUGUGAAUCCCAAGCAACUUAAUUUUGAUGAUGUGGAAGAAUCCUGUAGGAAUGGAAGUUAUACUCCUGCUUUUAAUGAGGGAAUGCAGGGAAGAUCAUCAGAGAAAAGGUCUAUUUCCUUGAUGGACGCUGAUGAUAUACAGGAAGAAGGAAAGACUGUCAAUUAUCAAGAAAAUCAUAACUCGUCCCUGCCAAUGAAUUUUCUUGGGGAUCUGGAAGUUUCAGUCAAAGGGAAGGACCUCCAGAGUGGUCUAUCUGAAUCUCCUGCAGAGGAGGAUAGAAGUGUCUUGAAUGGAAAUGCUGUCUCAUCAGUAAAGGAGACAUCUGAUGUUCAUAAUGAUGCAGUUGCUAAUACGUUGCUAGAGAGCGGCAAUACAGACUCUUGGUGUGUAACAACCCGUCCCGGUUAACUGUUUUACGGACUUUGAAUCAGGAGGGCAGAAAUGUAAUUUCAUGGAAUUGGGAGUUUUGUUUUGAAAUGGGUUGUUUUAGUUCUUAAAUGGUGUGCCCAAGGUGGGGCCCACCCCUGUUUUGUCCCCCCGGCCUCUUCCCUUCGCUGCCACAUGGCAGCCUCCCCGAGCUCUUCCUCAACUCUCUCUUCUCUCAGUUCACUCACUCUCACACUCUCACUCUCGAAUCUCUCUCAGAGCUCACUCUCUCCCUUUCCCCUUCCCGAUCGACACCCACACACCCAGACACCCCCACACCCAAGGAGAAUCACCGACGACGACACCACCACACUCACCACUGUGAUAACACACACUCUCUCUCUCUCCCUCCUCACCUCUGUGGAACAAUGAGAACCUCCGGCGAACCCGUGGGUUUCGAGCAAGAAUUUGACCACCUCCGGCCACUUCACAGUGUGAGACAGGUACCAAACGCCCCCUUUCGUCUUUAUCUACUUUUUCGUACCUAUAUUGUAGCCUAGGGUUUAGUUUCGACGCAAUCGGACCUCGGGAGGCUCUGGCCUUCUCUCCUCGUUGAGAAACAGGCCUUCAAGCCCAAACCCACAGAGCCAAGACCUUUGGGCCAAGAAGCUUAGGGCCUUUGGCCCAUUGAAACAAAAACCCAAAAUCCUUUUGAAAUUAGGCCUUCGGGUCGAGUGGCAUGGGCCCUUGGCUCAAUCCUUGGGCUGGGCCUUAAGCCCAAAACCCUAAACCCAAUGACCCUAAACCUUUUUUCCUUGGGCCGGGCUCUAAGCCCAAAACCCUAAACCCAAACCUAUUGGACCCAAGCCCAAGAACCCUAGGCCCAACCGUAAGCCCUAAACUUGGUUAAUCCGAUUAACCCGACCCGAACCAUUGACUAUGACCAAACCUGGUCAAUGGUUAACAUGGACUUUGACUUUGACCGAUCAAAGAUCAACGUUGACUUUUUAACCUUUUUUUUCAGGUUUUUGUUCGGAACCCUUCCUAGGCUAAUUUCGACGUUCUGGAUCCAUUUCCAACAUCCAUUUUCCCAAGUUCAAUCGUUUGACUGUAGUUUUAUUAAUUGGACCUUUUAUGUGCUUAGGUGCAUAUAUUGUGACGUUUCCAUUUUUGCUAGCUUGCGCGGCUUUUCGACGGCAAAGUACUAUGAGUGAACCCUUUCUCAAAUGCAUGGUUUAAUAGUAGAAAUGCAUACAUGAAAAACAGGAUUUAAUGACUACGUUCGCUUUGAAUUUUUUAUUAUCAUGAUAUACUGAGAAUAUUUUGGAAUACCAUAUUUUAUCAUACUUAUGUUCUUUGUAGUAUAUAUGAUGGAUGACUAUAUACUAUUUAUGAACAUGUUUUUACACUUCUUUAUAUAUAUGAUGGAUGACUCAAAUGGGAUGAAGCCACAUCCUACUCCAAUGGCUCAAAGUCCUCGCCCGCACGAGCUAAAACUGCACAAGGCAUCAACCGCUCCAAUGCCUUAAAGUCCUCACCCACAUGAGCUAAAACUGCACAAGGCAUUAAAAGCUCCAAUGGUUUAAAGUCCUUGCCCGCAUGAGCUAAAACUGCACAAGGCAUUAAAUGCUCCAAUGGCUUAAAAUCCUUGCCUGCACGAGCUGAAACUGCACAAGGCAUCAAACCCCAACAAAACACAUAAAGAACUACGAGUGACUUGAUCCCUCAAUGAGAGUACGUAGGCAAUCUAGGGCUCUACCUAAACGCAGUCACAAAAUCAAAUAAACACCCAAGUUAGGAUUUAUUCAUAUUAGAAUCAAAGGGUAUUCCUUUCCCAAAUGAAGGGUUGUAAUUAAUAGGCGCGUAGCCUAGAAUGGGUCAAACUCGAAUUAAUAAAAAAAAUGAACGAAGGUGAAACUGUGUCAAGUGAAUUAUUUAUUUACAUAUUGUGUACAAUUCUUUUGCUCAACAUGUAAAUUUCAAAGACUGCAAGCAAAACCAAGUUUUCUGUCUUUAGUUUUCUUUCAUUACUUUUUUUAUAUCCAUUUUCUAACAUGUCAUUACAUAAUCUGAUUGUGUGCUCAUCUCUUUUUAAUUGUAUUAUUGUAUCAGGCAAAGAAAACCACAUUUAUGGCAAGGACUUUAUGCAGAACGGGCAGGGAACCACCAAUAUUUUGGUGGAUCUGCCAAAUGCCUUAAUUGUUGCUGGAGAUUCAAGAGUUACAGCAUAUUCCGGCGAAAGUAAUAUUUCUUUAUCUUUAACUAACAAAUUGAUUAUUAUUUAACUAUGUUUAUUGUAUAUGUAGUAUAUUAAUUGGUUCUAAUUUAUGUAUACAGUUAGACCCGAAGAAAAGAAAGUUAAACACAUUUCUAAGAAUCCUCCAAUACGAGCAACAUGGUGUCAUGAUCAAUAUGAACAUAGUCAAACCUGUGAAGUGGAAGAGGGAAAAAUAGGCGAAUUUUCAAGCAAGGAAAGAAGCAUUGCUCUCUCCUAAUGGACUCUAAUAUAUUCCUUGUGAAUAUAUGUCCUAACAUCUGAUGCGCAUCACAUUGAUCAUGACACCAUGUUGCUCGUGUUGGAGGAUUCUUAGAAAUGCGUUUAACUUUCUUUUCUUCGGGUCUAACUAUAUACAUAAAUUAGAACCAAUUAAUAUACUACAUAUACUAUAAACAUAAUCAAAUAAUAAUCAAUUUGGUAGUUAAAGAUAAAUAAAUAUUACUUUCGCCGGAAUAUGCUGUAACUCUUGAAUCUCUAGCAACAAUUAAGGCAUCUGGCAGAACCACCAAAAUAUUGUUGGUUCCACGCAUGCUCUGCGUAAAGUCCUUGCCAUAAAUGUGGUUUUAUUUGCCUGAUACAAUAAUACAAUUAAAAAGAGAUGAGCACACAAUCAGAUUAUGUAAUGGCAUGUUAGAAAAUGGACAUAAAAAAAGUAAUGAAAGAAAACUAAAGACAGAAAACUUGGUUUUACUUAGAGUCUUUGAGAUUUUCUGUUUAAUUGUUCUCGUCAAAUUGCUUGUCUACUUUUAUUUGGUCUUUUAUAAUGUAUAAGAUUGUGUUUGAUAGGGUGAAUAUACUGAUGAACUGAACGUAGUCAAACCUCCUGAUACAAGUCCCUGUGAAGUGGAAGAGGGAAAAAUAGGCGAAUUUCAAAGCAAGGAAAGAAGCAUUGCUCUCUCCUAAGAGGGAAAAAUACCGACUAUACGGACUACAGAAAAAUUACUGCUACUUUCAUUGUCAGAUGGCAUCAGUAGUGUUUUUAACUUUUCUUUAUCUUUAUCCCUACCAUAGGGACAGAAUCCUUCCUCAACUACAUAAGUUGUGGGAGUUCUUUGUGAAACCUUGAGCCCAAUACCUUCUCUAAGACCAAGGUGAUUUCGCUGUUCUGCAAGGUGUUCUAACCUCUGAAAUAACUCCUCUAUCCUACCAUUCAUGCCAUUGUAAUUAAAAGGAAUACGAGAGGUAGAGAGGAAAUUGCACACCUGGGUGUGCUUAGUCUGAUCUGCCGACGCAAAGCUUCAAUAUCCAUCUCAUCCACCAAGUCCUUGGUAUCGAACACAGCAUCUUUGACUCGUCAAGCCACAUCCCCACAGCAGGGUUGACAAUCUGCUUCUCUUCUGCAUCGUUGAGCACUGCGUGGAGGGUCAUCAACGUCACCUUUAGCUUGUCCACGAGUGAAUGGUUGAGUCUUCUUGCCGGAAGAAGUUCACAAACUCUCCGGAGGCAAUCUUGUCGCACAGCACCUGGAUGGAACCGAAGAGCAAAGCCUCUCCAACCAAAGCCAUUUUCUCUCUUCGUGGCCAAAGGACUAAUUUUGAUCAAGUAUUUGAAGUUGGGAAACUGAAAAUUGUUCUUGGCAAAGGCUGUUAAGAUUACUUCAUGACUGGUGAGAUGACUUGAUAAUUUUUUGUCAAUAAUGCAGUGGACCACACACGGCAAACAUAGUAAAAAAGAAUCAUGCAAUGUAUUUGGAUAUCAACAUUUUUCCGUAUGAUAUGAUCACGUGGACCCCACCCAUCCUCUUGUCACCAUCCUCCACCAUCCUUUUGUCAUUAUUUCUACUCUAAUUCCAAAGCAUCUUCGUGUGAAAAUAAAGUAAGAGAGUUUCGGGAUAACCUCAAUAUUAUGUAUCAUUUAAUGUACUGUAUUAAUAAUUGGACUCAAUUUCUACAAUUAUUAUUUACUUUUUAUAUUUUCAAGCUCAACCUCUUAUUUUCUACAACACUCAAUACCACGUGCUACGGAUAUUUUUUUUUUUUGAAAAGUUUCUUACUUUUUCUUGCUUUGCCUAUAUAUUUUCAACAUUUAUGGGAUCAUUCGUGUUCAGGAUUUGGUUUGCAUAUAUAUUCAACAUUCAUGGGACCAUUCGUGCUUUGCCUAUAUUUUCUUCGGUUAGCCAAUUUUGUGUCAAGGUUUCCAUGUUUUUGCACAAACUAUUAAGCAAACACUCUAGUUGCAUACUUAUAUUGUCAAAUUAUCGAAUUUGAUACUACAAAAUUAUACAAAAGUAUACGUUAUCGCUCUUUAAUUCAGAUUAACAGUGCGCUCCCUCUUCUGCAUCUAAAUUUAGGGCUGGUUCGGUAUAGGAUACCGAACCGAAAUCCUUGUCCCAAUUCCCAAACCGAAGUUUUCGGGAAUCCCAAUUUCAAGACCAAUCCCAAACCAAAAUUUCGAGAAUCCCGAAAUAGUUUCGGGGAUUUCGGGACAAAUCGGGAAUCACGAAAUAGUUUGGGCUUUUGGGCAUGUGAGGAAACAAUUAAGGAAACAAUGAAGAUAAAGAGAAUUAAAGAGUAUGAAGAUAAAGUACUAACCUUAACUCGUAAACCUUAAGUACUCAAAAGGUCUUCCUAAUCCAAUCAAACGGCUGCAAAACAAAAUUACAAAAUAUUAGACUUAAUUGUUAGAUUAAUAACUUAUAAAGGCAAAAUAACAAUGAUGCAAACAUAGGCUCUGGGAAAGUGCAAAAAAACAGUGGCUGACGAUUUUAAUUCUUUACCUUUACAGGAUUAUGAUCAUCUGCUAAUGAUUGUAAUUCUUUCACACAGAGCAAAUUAAAACAAAUCUCCAAUUGUGCUACUCAGUACCUAAAACAGUAUAGCACGAUUUUGAAAUUAUAAACCGAUUAAAGUUUCAGCAACAAGCAGAUUACUCAAUCAGAAAACACAUUCAUCAGGAUUUGAACCCAUGGGAAUCGGCUGUAAUUAAUAAUUAUCAAUAACUAAAAGCAAUGAACCAGAAAUUCUAGCAAAAAUAAUUCGCAAUUGCAGAAAUACAGUAAAAUCUGCAUUCCAAUCAAACAGAGGGCAUGGAAAAUCGAAGUGUGGAUGGGAAUUUACAGAGCUGGACGAGCCAAACUAAAUUUCAGGCCUAACUAGUAACUACAUCAUUAUUCAGACACAAUCCAAAACAAUACUGCUAUGUUAUAUAUUGUAAACAAAAUUAGCUUACUGUAACUCAACCAUUGAAGCCCACCAAUCCCCCUAUAAUCCAAAACAACACCUUUCUCCUGCAGGUCCUGCACUGCACCCACCCUAAACCGGAACCUAUCCAACCUGAAACCCUCCCAAAAACCUGCACCCAAAUCCGAAACCCACAGUCCUCAAACCCUCACACAUUCGACAAAAUGCUCGGAAAUCAAGUUAAUCAACAUGAAAUUUGACCUUAAACCCUAAAGAAAAACCCAGUGAAAAUCAGAAACCCUUACCUGGAUUUUGGGUCUCGAUUCGUGUCGGACUCGCAUCUUCCUGCGUCUGUGUGUGUGGCCGGAUGAGCGCCGUUGAAGUGGACGGAGGAGCGGCGUUCGAACUGGACGGGCUUGACGGAGGACGGGAGGAGCGCUGGAGCGCCGUUCGACCUUUGUUCUUCGAGAGAGUGAGAGUGAGUGAGCGAUUGAGAGAGAGAGGGGGAAUUAACUUACAAUGGACGGUAGGAUUUAAUCUUAACCAAUCUAACGGCCCAAGUAAUUUCUAAUUAUAAAUUAAAAAAAAAAAAUAUAUAUAUAUAUAUGUUCGGUUCGGUUCAGGAUGACCGAACAAUUUCAAAGAUAAGGCCGAAUCCCAAACCAAAACUUUCAGGAUAGUUCGGUUUCGGGAAAUACGGUUCGGAACGGUUUGGGAUUUUCAAGAAAAAAUUUCAUCCUUAUAAAUUUGAAUCACUAUUCUUAUCUCUAUAAUUUAGAUGAGUUUAUUAUAAAUUAUCUUAUCAUUUGUUAAAAAAUCCAUUUCAUAAAUAAGUAGAUGUGAUAUGCUUAAACACAAAUAUGUAACAAAAACAAUGGAAAAGAAUAAGUACAAAAACAGAAUCGUUGCCUUUUUAUCUUUAGGUAAAAUAGAGCACCAAGAUGGUCAAUCUCACUAUGCUGCAGAGAAACGAUCCCUUUAUCAAAAAGGUUCUGAUUACGGCCGUCCACGUCACCUUCUACGAAUUCAACAUCAAGAACAAUCAAUGGGUUCGUUUCCCGAAUCAUAACUUCCAGUUCUCCAUUUGGUUGCCCAAAAAAAAAAACCACAAUUAAAUCUUCAAACAACGGAAAUUUGAAGCAUAAAGUGCUAACAAAUAGGUGGAAAUGUGACACAGAUGUUAGCAAACUUUAUGGUCUUCAAUCUUGAUAAUUUAUGCACACAUUGGAAUCCAAACUUCAUAUAUUCGCUUAUAUUUGUUGAUCUCUUGGCACAUCUAUACUAAAUUGUUUGGUAUUAGUCUUUUUUUAUUCAUAUUUCAAUUUUGUAAGUAGAAAAAGUAUCUUUGUAAAUGAAGAUAUCAAAAAUAAAAUAAAAAUUUGUAAAUUGCGCCAAGCACAUGUAAUUAUAAAUUUGUAAGUCAAGCGUAGCACGCCUGAUUAAAGAUCUCUAAUCAAUGUACCAUUGUUAGCACGCUUGAUUAAAGGCCUCUAAUUCAUGUACCAAUUGUUAACAAUGAUAAAUAACUAACGCAACACAUUUUAGGGGUGGGUAGCGCUUGUGAUUAAAAAAAUGCCUAACGUGCAUGCAAAGAAGCUAGUUUAGAGUAAAUAAAGAAGACUGUACAUACGCAAAUGUGGGAUAAGUUAAGGGUGGAUAUGGGGCAGACUAGACUCAAAAUUGAAGCAGACGGACGACGGACCCAUUUGUAAAUGAAAUGUUGCAAGGCAGGGUGGGUCUUGUUAGUUGAGAAAUGAAACCGGACUUAACCUGGCUCGUUUGAACGAACCGAUUCCUACAUUUUCACAGGUUCUUUUUAUAUAUAUAAUGUUUGUUAAUAAAUUAUGACAGUUGUGCUUGAAGUAAAAGCUAGUGUGCUUGAACAAAAUAGCUGUUGUGCUCUAAGUCAAAGCACAAUAAAUUAUAAUGGAGUAGCUUACCAUCACUUUCCAAUUUUCAUAAGUUCCAAGUGAGCCGAAGGCAAAGGCAAACAGUCAGCCAAAAUGCCCAACUGAAAAUAUAGAAAAGAAAGUACACAAACAGCAAGUUAGGCUAUCUCCAACCGAGGACUGGUCAGAUGGCUCGUUUUAAUCAUCUGGCCCUCCAAGAUAUUAAUAUUUUAAGGCCAUCUCCAACCGAGGGCUGGCCAGAGGGCUCAUUUUAGCCCUCUAGCCCUCCAAGAUAUUAAGGCCAUCUCCAACCGAAUGCUGGCUAGAAGGCUCGUUUUAGCCCUCUGGCCCUUUAAGAUAUUAAUAUUUUAAUGAACAGUACAGGACCAUAUUUGCAUCAAUCUCCAACCGAGGGCCAAAGGGCCGGAAGACUCAUUUUAGCCCUGUCACAAAAUACUACCCCUCGGUUGGAGACGGUUUUCGGGCUAUUUUUGGCCCUCUGGACAAGCCAUCUCCAACUGAGGGCUGACCAGAGGGCUCAUUUUAGCCAUCUGGCCCUCCAAUAUAUUAAUAUUUUAAUGAACAGUACAUGGUUAUAUUUGCCUCCAUCUCCAACCGAGGGCUAAAGAGUCAUAGGGCUCGUUUUAGCCAUGUCACAAAAAACCUUCUCCAACUGAGGGCGAUCGGAGGAGGCCGAAACGCCUCUGUGAGUCUUUCUAGCCCCUGAAUAGGUGGACAUGGCUAAGCCAUUAGCUAGUCUCCUUUUUAAUAAGAUAAAUAUAUAUAUAUAUAUAUAGACACACACACACACACAUUUGCUACACCAACUACUAUAGAUAAGUCCACAUUAGGUUAGAUUACAAAAUUUAAACUUAAAAGCCGCAGACUUGGGUGGCUAGAGCAGUGUGGUUCGAAUCUUUGUUUUCAUAUCUAUAAUUUAGAUGAAUUUAGUGUGGAUCAUCUUAUCGUUUUUUCAUAAAUCCCGCUUAACGAAUAAUUCAAUGUGAUAUGUUUAAAUGCAAAACUUGAGCGAAACACAGUGAAAUGAUUAGAAACUAUCUCCACCACAAAUCUGUACCAAAAACAAUGGAAAAGAACAAGUACAAAUGUUUACAUGAGAGAAGUUGUAAGGACUUGGAUUGUGAGGGUCAUCUCCACUUUGAAAGUAAUAGCUGAAAGUUGAAGGUUCAUGCAGAUUAAACCAUUCGCCAUUGAUGAACACCUCAAAAGAGGGAAACCAGCCCUGCUGAAAGUUUUAAGUACAAAAUUAAAAAAUAAACAGUUCAAAGAUCCGACUUUGAUUUGCAUCAAUGAAAGUUGCAACAAAUGCGAACUAUAUUGCCUCAAUCUUUUCAAUUCAUAUUCUUUGCCCACCUCUUGUUCAGAGAAGAACAAACUUUUUGGUGAUCCUCGGAAAAGAAAGAGAUGGCGGCAAAUCCUCUUCUGGCAGGAAUGCAAGACAAUCGAUGAUGCAUAGCUGAGCUGAGGUCCUUCUCCGGGCAGGAAUUCCGAGAGUGCGUGGUGUUUUGAUCCACAGAUUUCAAACUUGAUCGUCCAGACGGUGUGAGUGGAAGAGAGCCGCUGUUGUUUGAGCAAUGUCUCCAACAGAUCCUCACGUCCCCUGAUCUGAAAUUCUCCAAGGGAGACAUAGCACUGUUAAAAAAUACCCGAUAUUAUAAAUGCAAAUAUAGACAAGGCAAAAUGAAAAAAGCAAAAGAAAAGGAAGGUAAAUUACAAUUUACAAAUCAUCAGUGUUAAACCGAGAAUCGAUAUUUAUCCUUCUGGUGAAAUCUGUAGCGGAACAACCAGCCUCCUUGUCAGCCUCCUUGUAUGGUAACGCAAUGUACUGGCAUUCAUCCAAACACAGUUAAGUGGUGCUAAAUACAGAUAAGUGUCAAAUUAACUUUGAAGACAAUCAAUUCUGUUGGAAAAUUUGAGGACAAUCAAUUUAACAUAGCUACAGAUAAGUGGUACUAAAUACGUACCAAGCUUUGUCUUGAGAGUUGAGAGUUAGAGUGAAAUGAAGGCUCAUAUGGUGAUUUCAUCAUCUAUCCUUAUGCAAGGAAUACGAGAUAUGUUUCUCCAAUCUUUUCCCUUCUUUUUCCGAUACAUCUUCUUCAGGAAGGACAACCCCAGAUGCUGAGAUAAGAAAGAUAUGCCGGCAAACCCUCUUUCGGCAAGAAUUGAAGACUCUUGCAGCUCAAAAUUUGUAGCUGUUGAAGAGAAGUGAGGUGCUCAAGUCCCUUUUCGUCCAAAGAUUUCAGAUUCCAUACAUAAGAGAUCCAGAGAGUGUGGAGAGUGGCAAGGAGCAGGUGUUCAUUGAGCAACGUCUCCAUCAGAUCCUUGUUUCCUUCGAUCUGAAAUUAAUUGGCUCCUGUAGGAAGACUUCGUAUUAACCACCCAACAUAAAAUGAACUUAAAGGUAGUCAUUACAGAACAAAGCACACUAUGGUUCAUGAGCAAACUUAAAAGUAAUCAUUACAAGUUAUGACUAUUACUAAGAUUAAAGUUUUUUAGGGUGUCAAAGAUUCGCCUCAUCAAAAUCUUGUGGGAGAUUUCAACCCAGUUGAAGAAAAAAGAGUACCACACACCAACAAACUACAAGUUAUGACUAUCUAGCUUGUAUUAAUUAAAACAUCCAAAAUAAUGUCCAGGGGAGUCUUCAAACUAUAGCAACUCUUGAUAUCAUGCAAGUCUAUGUGCAACAUUUUUUGGCCUCUCGUCUCACAUAAUAUUGGACCAAACGCAGAAUAAUCCUUCUUCUUUUGCCACAGUCCCGCCAAAGAUAGAGUGGAAUUACUCUCCACUUCCACAGCUGCAGCCGCCAAAUCAGCCGCCAUCGGCAGCUAACGACGCAGUGUUCUGGCCUAAAACGUAUGUGGUAGAGAAAAAUGAAACCCCACGCGAGCACUUGCUGCAAUGCAGCAACAAAGUGUGGCUGCAUACGAAUCAGAAAAACAAAUACUAUAUAUUAAGAGAAACAAUGAAUGGACCCCUUAGCGACUGUGAAAUCCUGCUAUGUGCGAUAAUGUACAUGACGCACUUCCACGGUUGAGUUGCUACUUACCAAGAAGGUUUCUAAAUUUGAGAGUCCAUUGCUCCAACUUUCACCAUCAAACUUGGGUUAAGGCGUAUCAUCGUCAAUUUCUCCAGGGCAUCUUCCUCUAGAGAGGUUAACGAAUCAAAUGAUUGCCUGCAUAUAAAGUAAGCAAAUCUGCAAUGUUCAAAAAAAAUUUGCUUCGUUUGUUAACUUGCUAUGCGAGUCACACGACAUCACACACGCUAAUAUAAAGAAAACAUUGCAUAUUCUCUUGAUUGCUCAUGAAAUCCACAAUGGUGAGAAGAAUGCUAUAACCUCUCAGUUCCCUUGAUCACUACCAGGAGAUAAGAUGUUCAUUGGCGGCAACAAUAGGCACAACUUUGUUUAAGGUAUGUGAUAUAUAUAUAUAUAUAUAUAUAUAUGUAUAUAUUCUUUAAGGAGAGUAAGUGGAUGCAGAAUUUUGAUGAAAAUGUAGGAAAAGAACGCAGAGCUUGACCUUCACACGCUUUCUACCGUUUCAUUAUAAAUCGAACUGUGACAAGCAUGUUUUCUCUCAAAUCCAUUUCAAUAGGAUGCCAACUCAACCACUUUCCAUUUUCAUACCUCAGCUUAACAAGAUACUCCUAAAUUCAAAGAUGAUGAAAUUAUUAUUGAUACAUUUAUCUUAGAAAACAAGCGAAUGGAAUACCAACAAACACAGAGCUCAACAUAAGAAUUAUCAUUCUUGUGAAAUCCAUCGCACACCAGCCAACCACUUAUUCAAGUAAUAUCAUUUACUGGAAUACCAACAAACACAAGCAUGACGACACUGCUACAAGGAACAAGCGCUCUGUUCGACCACUUUGUCUGUACAAAAGCACAUCUGCACCCAUUCGAAGAUAAGAAUGACAUCAAGAGAAGAUGAAAAGGCAUGUCUCCCAUACUCAAACUAUAAACAGUAUUAGAAGAAAAAAAAUAUCAUUCCAGGGAUUACCUCGACGAUUAAAGGAGAAUUAUAUUCAUGCCAGAUAACUGGAGCUAGCACCAUUCAAGGACAACCAAUUGAUGCAUGUUUAAAUCGUUGGCUGUAGAUAAUCCUAUCUUUACAAGUCCAGAGUUGCUAGCUGCAUCAAUAAAGCCGACAAAUACGUUAGUCCCAUUGUGUUGUCCUGACUGAUUGCAUAGUUGAUUUACAUUGAUACAUAAAGGACGAACAAAUUACACUCAAGUGUUCAAUUACUUACACUGAAAUCUGUAGGCGCAGCAGCCAGCCACCAAGUCUAGUUACACUGGCAUUCUAGCAAGCGGUGCCAAUAAGCCAUGCUCUCUCCAACCGUUGUCUUUGUAGAGAAAGAGAAACAUAUGUAUACGAACCUACCACAAGAUGACAGAGGCACUGAAAGAUGAGUAAGCAUUCUGCCGUAUGGAAACCACAGAAGUACAUAUAUUAUACACAAGCACUUGAGUGGUUGAUGUAAGCUAUCAUUUUCCCUCUGAUAAUCCUACCUUUACAGUUCAAUAGUUUUGUCUCUGGACCGACAAAGUCCCACAUACGUUCAGUCUUAUAUAGCUGUUCAAGCGAGCUGAGGUCUAGAGGUCCCCGUCCUGGAAGGAAUUGCGAGAGUGGGAGGCGUUGAAUUGAAAGUCCAUUUUGUAACGCCCCGAUUCCGACAUACAUCCAGGAUCGACACGUGACGUCACCAAAUACCCGUAUCUCAACAUACCCCGCUUCCGGGAUAUGGCAAAUCACAACUCGAGAAUCGAAUUGCAUAGUAAUUUUUUUGUAUACUUUAUUACUGCAUCUAACCUCAUCGUUAGACUGCAUACGUACCCUCAACAGGAAUCAAGCCAUUUGUAGUUCGUCGCACUUGAACAAUCAUCGCUUAAAUCUCUAUGUCUCAACAUAAUACCACGAUUCAGAUAUGCAACAUAUCAAGGAACAUUCAACGAAGCACAAUAAUAUUCUCUAGUCAUGUCAUUUACACACACAUAAGCUUUCAAACGCCAUUCAAUAAUCACAGCAAUCAAUAACACAUACAAUACAUCAAAAUGCAGGGUUAAAGCGACACCGUUCGGUUGAAGCCUACAUCUCUGAAGUUGAAAUCAAAUCCAAUGAACCAACAAGUCAAAUGCUACGAUUUCGGACCACUCAACGAAGUCCAUUAACAUCGGGUUUUGGACCACUCAACGAACUCGCGAAGUAGAAGGGAUUCUGAACCAUCACUCAACGGAAUCCAAGUGGAUACGAUUUCAAACCAUCACUCAAUGGAAUCGCGAAGUUGAAAGGAUUCCAAACCAUCACUCAACGGAAUCCAAGUGGAUACGAUUCCGGACCAUCACUCAACGGAAUCGCAGAGUAGAAGGGAUUCCAGACCAUCACUCAACGGAAUCCAAGUGGAUACGAUUUUGGACCAUCACUCAACGGAAUCCAAUUGGAUACGAUUCCAGAUCAUCACUCAAUGGAAUCGCAAAGUAGAAGGGAUUCCGGACCAUCACUCAACGGAAUCCAAGUGGAUACGAUUUCGGACCAUCACUCGACAGAAUUGCAAAGUAGAAGGGAUUUCGGACCAUCACUCAAUGGAAUCCAAAUGGAUACGAUUCCAGACCAUCACUCAACAGAAUCGCAGAGUAGAAGGGAUUUCGGACCAUCACUCAACGGAAUCGCAGAGUAGAAGGGAUUUCGGACCAUCACUCAACAGAAUCCAAGUGGAUACGAUUCUAGACCAUCACUCAACGAAAUCACAGAGUAGAAGGGAUUCUAGACCAUCACUCAACGAAACCCCAGUGGAACCCAGUUCGGGACACUUAAUGGAACCAAGCGGAAGUCCAAGGAACAUAUCAACGGCUCGAAGAAACAAGACAUGAAUCAAGUUACUCAAGUUACAAAGGCUCAACGAAAUGAAACAAAGCACAAGUAUUAAAUGUAGAAUGGCUCAACGAAACGAGAAAUGAAAUAAUGAACCGAGGGGUGAGACAUGUAUCGAAGCAACAAACCCCAUGACGAUGGGUUAACGGUCCACUACUAGCCCUCACUUUUCAUCACAUCAAUCCAAAUAUACAAAACAAACCAUAUUUCCAAUAUGCACGUCAAAUCACAAUUAAUAAACAUAGAUCGAUGCUAAAAAUAAAAAUAACACUUCAAUAGAAAGCACAUUUAAUAAACAAGUAUAACUCAAUAUGGUGCCACCAAUACAUAUAUCGAGACACACGUCAACCGAGAACGACACGUCAUUGUGAUAAGCUAACUAAGUUCCAUCAAGCCUCAACAACAAACUAGAGAUAAACGACACUCUAGAGUAUAGCACGUUGACUAGAACGUCAACCGUCGAUAAGGUAAGUCCAUUAAGAUCAACAAUCUAAGGUUAUUCAAUCCGGAAGAUCCGCACAUCGGAUUUCCAAUCCGUAAGUUCUCAAAGGUCCAACAAUUGAUAACUAGGGUGCUCACAAAAUUGUACGACGAUCCACGAUCGAAUUGUCGUCAAUACAAACAAGUGGUGGUCCAAUUUGAUCACCACAACAAACAAUUGAAUUUCAGGAAACCGAGCUAGACGUAGGUUCAUAGGGUCACUAGAAGGUAUUUGGAACUUAGACAACACUCGUGGACGGUUCCACGCACCUCUACACGCGGUGGUAGCCAAGGUGGAGGGUUUUGAAAAUCUGAAUUUUCAACAUUAACUAAAUAAGCUCAAAUUUACGUGGUAGCUAAAGCUCAACAAGGGAAACACUUUUCAAAACUCUAAAAUGAAUAUGAAAGUACGAACCAAGCAUACCAACUUGAAGAUUAUGAAGAGUAGAUGAAGUUUCAUACCUCACUCGAAGGAAAUGGUUGCCGGAAUCACCGGAAAAAUGACAAAAUCGCCGGAAACCCACGGAACUUUGCUGUCUAGAACUAGAAAAAUGGAUUAAAAAAAUUGGGAAAUCUAACACUACAGAGAUGUAGGGUUCGUCAAGAGUUUUUCAUGGACACCAAGAUCACCCAAAACGAAGAUCGGAUGAAGGAGAUACAAGCGAGUCAAGUUUGUGGGUUAACGAAUCAAAUUCUCCCCCAAAAUGAGUUAGCAGCAGCCCCCCCCUCCCCCCCCUUUUUUUUUUUUAAGAAACCUUCCCCCUUUUUAAUUUGAUUGGUCAUCUGUUCAACCUUUACUUCUGAUUGGCCACAAAAGCACAUACCUCUUUGGGUUUUUUCCCUCAAAGUGAGAGUUUAAAUAAUUUCUAAAAUUUAUAUUUUAGUAACACAACUUCAAACGUCCGUAACUAUACCGUUAUAAUCCGGACUCGCAAAUGGAUUUCGCCUAUGCAUUCGUGGUUUCGAGAUCUAUUCGAAAAUAUAAAUUGUAACCUCUAAAGGUCUACGAAUUUUAAAUAAUUACUGAUCAAAAUUCAAACUUCGUAAUUAGUUUAAUUAAAAUCUAAAGUUAAUAUAAAUUUCCAAAAAUAAUAUAAAUUCUCCUUGAUACCAAUACAUAGUUUGCAAUAGUGAAAUCCAGGAACAGAAUUUCACACAUUUCCACCCAAAAGAUUUCAAACUUGACAGUCCAGAAAAUCAGAGCACCUUUUGAUAAUCCUAUCUUUACAGGUUUGCUUGCUCGCUGCAUCAAUGAAACCGAUAUAUCUGUUAGUCCCAUUACACCUACCAGAAGAUUACAGUUAUGUCGCAAAUGAGAGAAGUGAGAGAAAAGCAUCAUCCAGGAUUUACCUCGUCAUGCAGGAGAAUCAUACAUAUCCACCCCAAGUAGUUCCACAUUAUCAGACUACAAAUAAUUCACUCCCCUCGCCGCUCUCCUGUAAUUUCAUCGGAAUUAGACUCUGAAACUCUAAUUUAAGCUGGAAUAUUGCUGAGGACAAUCAAUUUAAUAAUAAAUAAAUAAAAGUACCUGGCUUUUGUCUUGAGAGUUGAGAGUUGAGAGUUGGAGAGAGUGAAAUGAAAGCUCAUAUGAUGGUGAUUUCAUCAUCUAUGUUUAUGCAAGGAAUGCGAGCUAUGUUUCUCCAAUCUUUUCCCUUCUUGUUCCGAUACUUCUUCUUCAGAGAAGGACAACCCUCGAUGCUCAGAUAAGAAAGAGAUGCCGGCAAACCCUCUUUUGGCAGGAAUUCGAGACUCUGGCAGCCUGAAAUUUCUAGCUUUUGAAGAGAAGUAAGGUGCUCAAGUCCCUUUCCGUCCAAAGAUUUCAGAUUCCAUACACCACAGAUUUCGAGAUGGUGAAGAGUGGCAGGGAGCAGCUGUUCAUUGAGCAACGUCUCCACCAGAUCCUUGCUUACUCCGACGAUCCCAAAUGAUUGUAGGUUGGGAGGCAAACCCCCUUGUGCAAAUGACACCACAUUUGGAAGAUUGGCUAUCCCCAAAUCUUGAAGGGCGGUGAGGGUGUGCAUGCGGUCCGGCAACAACUUCAAAUUGUCACAGUAUAAGACUUGAAAGGAAGUGAGGUUGGGAGUGGGCAAUCCCCCGUCGGGAAAAGAGACAAGAUUUUGACAUCCAUUAAUAUCCAGGGAGUUGAGAUGGCUGAGAUUUUCAUCUGCUCCUCCUUCAACUGAAAGAGAUUCCAGAUUCUCACAAUUACCGAUAGAAAGAGAUGAAAGGUUGGGGAAAAUGCCCAAAGGGAACGACCUCAGAGAAUCACAGCUGUCGGAUAGACUCAAAGACUGAAGGGAAGUCAAUGUGGCCAUCAUCUCACCUGAUAGGAAUUCUAAUUUCUUGCAAUUUUCUAUACCGAGUGACGUCAGCGUGGUGGGCAGACCAUUUGUAGGGAACGACAAGAGUGAGGAACAUCCCCAUAAUGUCAAACUUUGAAGACGAUUGCUGUUGUGCAUCAUUUGCGGCAACCAUUUGCUUCCACCAACACUACCAAUACGGAGCAUCUGAAGCGAUGGCAGCGUCUCCGUCGACUCUAGUAAUAAUGAGAGACCCGGGCAUCCCUUUAUUGUCAGUUCUUUAAGAGAUUCCCGUAAGGAUUCCGCGUUCAGGGUAUUACUGGCCCUGUUUUCAUGUAGAACCUCACAUGCCAAGACCUGAAGUAUUUUCAAGGAAGGAAGACGAAUGGGCAUGUUUCCUCUCAGCUUCGGACAUGAGAAUAACCUCAGCUCCUCAAGACGAGGAAAGUCUGGACUUUCACCUCCACUUGGACUUGGCUGCCAUUCCUCCCACUCUGGCAUCUCCCAAAACUCUAACUUCUCUAAACAUUGAAAUGGUUGAUUUCCGCCGUACAACUCAACACCAACACUCUUAACAACUUUCAUCCUUUCUACGUAGAGCUCUUUCAGAGCAGGUAGCUGACCAACUGGUGGCAAUGAACUGCAAUUACCACAGUCACUGAGACGCAUCACUUGUAAGUUGGAGAAGGACGAGUCUCCCACCCAAUUCGGGAAACUGAUUCCGCCAUAACACCUGAUGGUUAGCUUCACCAAAUUUACCGAAGGUUGAAGUCUUUCGAGCACAUAUCUCUCUUUUACGGAAUCAUUGGAAACCACACGACCCCAUGACAACUCUACCUCGUUGAGAUCUUUCUUAUCCUCCAGCAAGGCAUCAAUAGCACCGACUACAUUUUGCAGAUUCAAGAUAGAAAUUUUUCUUCCAAGGUGCGACAACUCCCUCAAUUCUGCAAUGCUUGACCCAGAAGAUUUCCCCAACACAAAAGCUGUCAGUGUUCUCAAACUUUUUAGUCUACCCAUAUGCACAGGCAUCUCUUUUAUGUUAGUUCCACCAAUAUCAAGAUGACGCAAAUGAAUCAAUUUCCUCAUGUCUGCAGGCAAUUCAACAAGAGAAGAACAACCGAACAACAACAGAGUUUGUAAAUUGUAGAGGGUACACACUGUAUCUGGUAACCUUUUAAUUGUCGUAUAAGAGAGAUCAAUGUAGCGCAAGUGUAUGUGGUUACCAAUGGAAUCAGGUACGUGAGUGAUGUUUUUGUAUCUUGACAAUGAAAAUGCUCGUAAAUAUUUUUGUGCUGGUAGUAAAUCAUCUAGAACCUUGUUGCUUACAUAUUCAUGAUCCCAACGGUAAUAUGGUGCUAAAGACGCUGGAAAGAAGGUACGCAAACACUUGACUCCUUCUAGUGGCUCAAAUUUUGGAGAUGUAUCAAAUUUUCCUCGCAUAUACGACAAGUGGCGAACUCUUUUAGGAACUUCAUGUGAAUUUUUCUGAUCCAACCUUAAACAAAACUCUCCAGACACAAACAUAGCCAAGUCAUUGAUAAGAUCAUGCAUUGUGAAACUUGGUUGAUCCAAUCUUGGUCUUUGAAAUAGUGACCGCGAUAACAGUUCGUCAAAGUAUCUUUCACCAACCUCCUCCAUAGCUUUCUCGUUCUUUGCAUUAGGAAUUAAGCCUUCUGCCAUCCAUAGUGGAAUUACAUUCUCUUUUUCAAAUUCAUAGUCUUUUGGAAAAAUUGAGCAAUAAGCAAAGCAUCGUUUCAAGUAAGUUGGAAGAUAGUGGUAGCUCAAUCUUAGAGAAGGAAGAACACUAUCAGCAUGCGGUAGAUCCCAAAGAUUGCUAUUCAAUAUGUGAUUCCAUUCCUUGUAGUCUAGGUUGCAACUUAAGAGACCCCCUAGCGUUUUUGCAGCUAGAGGCAAACCGUUGCACUUACGUGCAAUUUGCUUACCAAUUUCAACCAAGUUUGGAUGUUCAUAGGGGUUUUCAUUUCUAAAUGCAUGUUUUGCUAGUAACAACCAACAAUCUUCAUCUGACAAAUUUUCUAAGUUGUGAAUAGGAAUAGUAUUGUGCACAAUGGAUGCAACACGUCUACUCCUUGUUGUUACAAUGACCUUGCUUCCCUUUGCCCCAUACGUGAAAAGAAUUCGUAGACGCUCCCACUCAUUAUAAUUUUCAUUCCAAAGGUCAUCCAAGACAAGUAAAACUCUCUUUCCCCUCAGCUGUUCCCUUAGUUGAACUUCAAGGGAAUUCAUCUCCAAAUUGUCACAAGGCUUUUUAGUGAUUUCCUCAAUAAGGGUCUUAAUAACCCUCAAACCCUCAUACUGUUCGGAAACACAAACCCAAGCAUGAGUAUCAAAGUGGUCUUUAACUUGUUCAUCAUUGUAAAGGAGUUGAGCAAGAGUUGUCUUACCAACCCCGCCCAUUCCGACUAUAGGGACUACAGAAAAAUUACUGCUACUUUCAUUGUCAGAUAGCAGCAGUAGAGAUUUUAACUUUUCUAUAUCGCCAUCCCUUCCAUAGGUACAAAAUUCGUCCUCAACAACAGAAGUUGUGGGAGUUCUUUGUGAAACAUUGCCCCCAACACCUCCUCUAAGACCGAGGUUGUCUUUUUGUUUUGCAAGGUGUUCCAACUUGUUGAACAAAUCUUCUAUUCUACGAUUCAAGGAUUUAUAAUGAAAAGGAUUAAGGGAGGUAGAAAGGAUGUCCCGCACCUGGAUUUUCUUAGUCUGAUCUUUGGCCUUGCGACGCAAAUCUUCAGUAUCAAGCUCAUCCACCAAGUCCUCGGCAUCGAACACAGCAUGUUUGAGCUCGUCUAGCCACAUCCCGACGGCAGGGUUGACGAUCUGCUUCUCCUCUGCAUCGUUGAGCACUGCAUGGAGGGUCAUCAACGUCACCUCCAGUCUGUCCAUGAGUGAAUAGUCGAGUCUUCUUGCCCGGAAGAAGUCCAUGAACUGUCCGGAGGCAAUCUUGUCGCACAACACCUUGAUCGAACCGGAUAGCAAAGCCUCUCCAACCAAAGCCAUUUUCUCUUCUUGGCUAAAGGACUAAUUUUGAUCAAGUAUUUGGAGUUGAAAAACUGAAAAUUAUUCUUGGCAAAGCCUUUUAAGAUUACUUCAUGACGAGAGAGACGACUUGAUAUUUUUCUUGGUUAAUAAUGCAGCGGACCACACACGGCAAACAUAAAGUAGAAAUUAGUAGAGGUUGGAAAACGUUACCGAUCCAACAUUAAUUUAUUAAUUAUAUUCCUUCAUAAAAAAAUCGUUGUUGGUCAUGAAAAUUGGUGGAGUUGGAAAACAUUACAUCAAACAUUAAUUAAUUUAUUAUUUUAUUACAUAUAUAGAUGACAUUAUUUGAUUUGAGUGCAUCUUCACAUGUGAGACAAAGUCAAAGAAAAUAGCUCGGUGAAGAUGAACACAAUUCAAGAAUUCUAUCUAAUCUUAUCAGAACAUCUCAUGAUUCCCAUAUACUGGCCAAUGAUAGAUCACAAAUAUUAUACUUUACCUAUAUCAUCGAUUUCACAACAAAUCCAAUUUAUUUUUUACAUGUUUUCAAGAACUAUUUUAAGAAGUGACCAGAUGGGCCAUAGUGAUUUUCGAUUGGACAAAGCUCAUGGGUUAUGACAAACGCCCAGUUUCUACGCUAACAGUUUGAAAGUUGGAAGUAUGCAGAGUUUGUGAAACCAAGGGCUUUGUUCUCCUGCACAUGGAAAAGUAAAAGAAAAUGGCUGAGACUAAUCUCAAAUUGUUAAGUCGUAAAAAAAUAUGAAAAUUUCCAUUGAUGGAGCGGCGUAAAAUAAAAAAAAUUUAAAAAAUGCUGUAAUUGGAUCUCAACAUUUUUCCCUUGUCUUACUAAAAGAGUAGAAAAAAUCAUCGCGGGUAGUAGAGUGGUCAAGGACGAAGUCUAGGUUUAUAUUCCACACGACACGUCAAGAGUUCAAUUCUUGAUGCUGGUGAAUCACACAAUAGUGGUUAUGGGAGCUGAAAUACCUCUGCAAGUCUUCUCGGCACCCAAAAAUGUGAACCGCAGUGCCACCAGCUGAUUCCAUUUUUAAAAAGAAAAAAAUAAAAUAAAAGAAUAGAAAACGUUGGGGUAAAUUAGAGCAAGACUAUGUGCUUUAUGUAUUCGAUAAUUGAUUUUUUUUUUUUUUAAAAAAUAGAAGGCAAUAGUUUCAUUAAAACAUACUAAUGUGAUUUAUUUGAUAAUUGAUAAAUAAAUAAAUGAAAUGUGCUUUGUUUGCCUUCCAAUUGUUGUAACGGUCACAUUUGGAUCUUUGACCCAUAUGAUGAUCAAAUGGCCUCCACCAUCCUCUUGUGAUGAUUGAAAUCUCCAAAACCAAAUCUUGGUACUACUCUGUGUAUUCUACUCCAAUUCCAAAGGCUCUAUCUUCAUCUUCCUAUUAAAAGAAAAAUUAAGAAAUUUUCGGACGUGACUUCAACGCUAUGUAGCAUUUAAUGUUACGAGUGUAUUAGUUAUCAUAUUUAAUUUUCACAACUAUUACAUUUUAUAUUUUCUAUUCUGAAUAUUUAUUUUUUAUGACACUCAGUACUAUAUGCUUUUUGAAGAAAAAUGGAUUGUACUUUUUCUUGCUUUGCCAGUCUGCCUAUGUAUUCAACAUUCAUGGAACCAUUCAAGUUUAGGAUUUGGUUUGCAUCAGCAAUGCGCUUCAUCAUGAGGAAUUUAAUUAUAGGAGAAAUUUUUCAGUGUGCCAAAAACACUACUUGGUAUAUCAAGUGUAAUAAUGUAAUUAGUUGGAAUUAUUUUCUUUUUCAAGUUUCUAACCCAAUUAUCUUGUUACACUUAGAAUAAUGAACUGUGUUCCUGACGUAUUGAUAAAUCUCUCCACAUAUGAGGGGCCUAAAAUCUAUCAGUCUAGUUUCUAUGCCAACCAUGCCCCUUUUCUUAAGUAUACUUAAUCUUUAAUUUUCUUGGGUUAGCCAAUUUUGAGUCAAGGUUAACAUGUUUUUUCACAAAACUAAUUAAGAAAACACUCUAGUUGCGUAGUUAUAUUGUCAAAUUAUCGAAUUUGAUACUAUAAAAUUAUAUAAUCAAGUAUACGUUACCGCUAUUUAUAUUAAAUAAACACUGUAAUACUAUAACAUACUAUAUUUCAUGAUGAACAAAAAAUUUCCUUCAACGCUAAACUCAUGUUUAAUAUUGAAAUUGUUAUUGAAUAAUGAGGCACGACUUGCAAUAAACCUCACAUACAUUAACAAUUGAAAAUCGUUGAGACCCACUCUUCCAUGUUAUUAUGUUGACAAAAUGUUCCCAGACCAAAAAUAUACCAUAAAAUUCCAUGAUAUUGAUUCCACCAACACGCUGUCGUUUAAGGUCCCUCCCAAAAGUCCCUCAUAACCGUUGCAAACCCACUCUCAGCAUAAAUAUUCCUUUCAAACCGACCCACGCGCCCAUUUUCCAACCGUUUAAACCCCACUCCCUCCCUCUCUCUAAACCUCCAAGAACUCUAUCUCUCUCUCUCUCUCUCUCUCUCUCUCUCUCUCUCUCUCUCUCUCUCUCUCUCUCUACAUGUUUUCAAUCAUAAUCUGCAAGUCCUUUGCUUUUGCAAAGAAAAUCCAAAACCCAUUAGUUUCCAUCCAUCUGAAAUCGAAAUCUCCGCCUCCAUGGCUCCAAGAAAGCUUCUUGAUUUCUGGGUCGUCGUCUUCUUCCUCAUAGCCCUCUUCCUACGCCGUGGCUCCGCCGAGAACGUCAACAACUACUUCCCCUCUUUCAACUUCCGAAACCUUACCGGCCUCACCCGCGAGUUCACAGUCCCCUCUUCCAGCUCCGGCGCCGUCAUAUACAACAACCCAAUUCUGUUCUUUGACCCGGAAUUCAAGCUACUCGAAUUUGAAGCCCGAAAAGCCGGUUUUGAGCGUAGAGAUCGAUCUCUCCGAGCAUCUGAAGGAGGUUAUGUUCGUGGGUUUUUUGGCCUAGACGGAAGGGAGCACGGAGAAGCAUCUGGUUGAGAAUUGGAGCUUUCAUACAUGCGGGUUCGUUGCGAAAAGGCCAAAGCUACAGCCCCACAAUGUGUCUGAUACUUAUGUGGUGGUAAGUGUAAGUCCGAGAAUUCCAUGCUAGGACCAACCAAUUAAUAGGUGUAUGAUGUAUAAUAAUUUGCAGAGUUUAUUUUCAAAUGAAAAAUUAAACAACAAAUACAAUAUAUCAAGAUAUAAUCACUUAAUGAAAUUGCUUAUAAAAUUACAAAUCACUGACUUGUUAUUUGAGGAUAGAGGCUUGCAAAAGCAAUCUCCUAAGAUAGAAAUUCGCCCCUACACCAAUGCAGUAGAUCAGUGGACGUCUAUCUUGGAGGAUACAACUAUCUAAUCCAAGUUCUUGCACACGAACUUAGAUUCUUGGCGAAUUGGUUGUGGUGUUUCUUUUUGGAAUAUGGAAAAAGGAAGCGAUGGAGUUGAUUGAUUUGUUUCUCAUACUGUAGCCAUAUAUACAACAGGUAUUCAUCAAUUUCCUUCCUGAACUUGUAACUAUUGGCCAAUUUCCCCCCUCAACUUUAAUUUUUGCCAAUUUCCCCCCUCAACUCUCAUAAUUAGUCAAUUUGCACCAUACUCUAAUUUUUUAAUUUGAUCAUAAUUAAACAAGUGUGUGUAAGAAACUAAAUAAGAUGUAUGUUAAUCAUUUUCCUAUGUCUUUAUCCUAUUACAAAUAGAUUAAAAUUUAGAAUUUUACAAUUUAUCAUAGAUAGUAUUAUUAGUCAUAAUAAAUCAGUAUGGAGUAAUUUUAUUUGAUUUUUUUAUUAUACAAAAUUGAUAACGAAAAGGAUUGAUGUGUACAUUUUUGUAUGUGAAUACAAUUUUCUUUAUAAAAGUGAAAGGUAAGUUCAAGUAAAUUGCGAAGAAUCGAGCUUUAGUGCAAAAAUGGCUAGUCAAUUCAUAAUUUUCGACUCCUUAUUAAGAAUAACCCAUUUUAUUGAAAUAUGUCUGAUCCAUGAGUUUAGGAUUAUUAUUUCUUCUUCUACAUGCUUUAAACCCGAUUCAUAACUUUUUCUUAUAAUCAACCCAUAUCACAUACUAAUUGUAUUAUGUUUUUGUACAUUUUAUCCUAUAUUAUGCAGGUGAGUUUAUGUUAAUUUUAGUACUUUGUUGGAAGUUAUUAGAAAGAUUGAAAGAAAAAAAAAAGAAUAGAUGGAAAAUUAAAAAAAAUUAACAGUAGGAUGCAAAUUGACUAAUUAUGAGAGUUGAGGGGGGAAAUUGACCAAAAUUAAAGUUGAGGGGGAAAAUUGGCCAAUGAUCACAAGUUCAGGGGGAAUUGAUGAAUACCUCUAUAUAAUGGCAAUUUGAUUCGUUUCAUACUGUAGCCAUAUAUAUAAUAGCAUUCGUGAACAGAUUAUUCAAACUUAUCCUUUUAGAUAUAACUUUUAAAAACUACAUCCUUAAAAUCAAACCUAAGGCCAAUCUUUGACAUUUAAUACAUACACCCAAACCCUUCAAAUUUAAGGUCUAAGGCUUUAGUCCAGUUUCUUUCAAACUGUAAGUAUGAAAACACACUUAUAAAGAGGACUUAAAGUAGGGAAAUGGACGAUAUGGGACUGGGAGUCCCACAUAAUCACAAGUUCCAACAUUCCAGUGUCCGGUUCGGGAGAUAAGCACCACAGGCGGCUCGGCUUAGGACUUGGUAUUGCUGGGCUUGCGUUCUUUUGCGUGGCGCUGUUGGUUUUCGGGUAUGUUUCCGUGACGAAAUGGAUGGAGGUGAGAAGACAGAAGAGCUUCAAAGCAGAGGUUGUGGCAAGUCUGAGAGAGUUUAGUUACAAGGAGCUAAAAUAUGCCAAUGAGGGUUUCAUUCCAGUAGGAUUCUAGGGCAUGGAGCUUUCCGGUCUGUUUACAAGGCGUUUUUCGUGUCUAUGGGCACCAUUUCUGCGGUGAAAAGAUCCAAGCAUUCCAUUAAAGGUAAAACUGAAUUCCUUUCUGAGUUGUCGAUUAUUGCUUGCUUGCGCCACAAGAGUUUAGUUCACCUUUAGAGCAGUUCCACCGGAGCAAAAAGAGGCCAACACCUAGUGGAAAAAACAGGCUGGGACUCAGCCAAUCCACUCCAGCCCGUGUGUUUGCCUGGCACCCAGCCCAAGUUGGUCUCCAAGCCAGCCCAGAAUUGACAGACCUUGGGACUGGCCUAGCUAACGCCAGCAUGACAUCAGCCACCUUGGGACUGGCCUGUCUCGUUCCGGGGGGUUCAUGAUUUCGCACACCGCCAACAGCGCUGCGCCCAGUCCAUCCACGAUGCUGGCCGAGGGGAAAUAUUCCAGCUUCAAAGACGGCGCAUUUCUUUCCGUGGUGGUCUCCAGCUUGAACGCUACUGCCUUGUCCUUCAAAAGCUUGCCUCAAAAGUUGAGGGUCUGGACCAAGUCGAGAAUCUGGACCCUCUGGGAGACGAUCUGGUGAGAAGUGAGCAGCUUGGCCACGGAGGGAUAUGACAACGAUGAGGAGAGAGGGGUGGAGAGGCAUCUCUGCGGCUGCUCCAUGAGGAUUUUGAGAGAACAAGAGGAAGGGAGAUCGGAAGGAGCGGUGAGGAAGGGAGGGUUAUAGUGGAACCUGACUUAUCCUUUUUUUUUUUUAAUAAAAUUAUUAUUUUUAUUAUUUUAUAAUAAAAAAUAAUAGAGUAAAUUACAUAGUAGCCCCUCAUGUUUGAGGUCAAUUACAACCCCAUACAACAACUUUAAAACAUUUCACUUUCAUACAUCCAGUACAAUUUUAUUUCAAAAUAAAACCUCUGUUAGAUUUUCCAUCCAUUAGUCUGUUAAAUGCUGACGUGGCUGCCACAUUUGUGCUGAUGAGGUUGCCACGUGGCAAAAAAAAAAAAUUUUUAAUUUUUUUUUAAAAAAUACCUAAAUCUUCUAAAUAAAAAAAUAAAAACCCAGAAUCUGAACAAAACCCCACCCCCGUGAACCCCCCUUAGCCUUCUUCUUCCCUGCUCCCAUCUUCCCCCACCCCAUACCUGCACCUUUGAAGGAAAAAAAAAAACCUGAGAACAACCCAUAUCCCAUAUCCCCGCGAAACCCAUACCCCAUACGACCACCCCCCAACCCAGAUCCCAUUACCACGCCCCCCCCCCCGACGCGAAACCUAACCCAGAUCCCAUUACCAACCCUCCGGCGCGAAACCCAUAUCCCCCCCGAACUGCAAGGACGUCAUCCUCACCCGCAUCAUCUUCGUCGUCGAAGACGACAACGAGCAGGAAUAGCAAGGCGACGAUGAGAAAUCCCGGUCGACGGUGAGAUCGGGUGGUGACGAAGGACCUUCGUGAGGAGCAGAGGGAUCAGAGAGAGAGAGCUCUGCGGUACAGGCCACGAUGCAACGCAUGACCCAAAUUCACCGCCACGGAGACGACCAGAACGUUGAGCCCAUUCCGACCCAACCCCCGACCCUCAUCCCACUCUCCUCACUCUCUCUCUCAAACCCCAAACCCUCCAGAUCCAAAACCCACACAACUCUGCCGGGUCACCACCGCCAACGCCUUCCUCCUCAGCACUUUGACCCUCCUCCCACUCUCCUCACUCUCUCUCUCAAACCCCAAACUCCCCAGAUCCAAAAUCCCCACAUUCUUCUCGCUUUCUAUUCGCCCCAACGCCAAUCCUAUAUCCAUCACUCUCUCUCCUCCUUCUGCUUUCUCACUCAUUUCUCUCCCUCUCUGACUCUCUCUCCGGCAACCCCCCCCCCCCCGGCGAACCCCCCAUAUCCCAUUAACCCCUUCCCCCACCCCCCUCGCGAACCUAGAUCCCAGAUUUGUGCAUUUUUUUUUUUUUUGCUUUUCUUUUCUGGGUUGAGAUCCCAUUAACCCCUUCCCCCACCCCCGCGAACUCAGAUCCACACAGUUCGGUGGUGUUGGGAUUGGGAGUGGGGAUGAAGAUGGUUAAGGGAAUGAUUUUUGGGAGGUGGAAUUUGUGGGAUUGGGUUGCAGGGAAAAGGUGAGGCUCGGGUUGGGGGGAAGGAGGAUUUAACGGGAAUGGGUCGUCGGGGGAGGGGGGGAGGUGGGAUUUGAAGGGAGUGGGUCGUCGGGGGAAUGGGGAUUUAACGGGAGUGGGUCGUCGGGGGAAGGGGGAUUUGACGGGAAUGGUUCGUUGGGGGGUGGGGGGGAGGAGGAGGUUGCUGCGCUAGGUUUCUGGGGGGAUUAAUGGGGAGGUGGGUUUGGGAUUAAUUGGUUUCUGGUUUUGGGGGUUGCGGGUAAAGCUUUCAGGUUUGUUUUUUUUUUUUUUUUUAAAUAUUUAGAAGAUUAGAUUAAAAAAUUAAAAAUUAUUUUUUUGCCACGUGGCAGCCUCAUCAGCACAAAUGUGGCAGCCACGUCAGCAUUUAACAGACUAAUGGAUGGAAAAUCUAACGGAUGUGUUAUUUUGAAAUAAAAUGGUACUGGAUGUAUGAAAGUGAAAUGUUUUAAAGUUGUAUGGGGUUGUAAUUGACCUCAAACCUGAGGGGCUACUAUGUAAUUUACUCAAAAUAAUAAUAGUUUAAUAAAAUUGACUAGGCUAUUUUUUUGUUAGGGUGGAGAUGCUUUGGCCUAUUACUGUUUAUUAGGGUCUAUUACUGUUCAUUUGAGUGGAUAAAUAGACUGGGUGCUGGCACAAAGUCAUUAGGGGUGGACUUGCUCUCAAGGCUGGUGUGUUGACAAGGGUGAAUUGCUUCUUGUUUACGAUUUCAUGCCUAAUGGAAGCCUCGAAAAGGCACUGUACCAAGAACCCGGACAAAGUACCUUGUUAGAUUGGUCUCGGAGACUGAAAGUUGCGGUUGGAUUGGCGUCUGUUUUGACGUAUCUGCAUCCGGAAUGUGAGCAGCAGGUAAUCCACAGGGACAUAAAGACUGUCAAUGUAUUGCUGGACGGGAAUUUAAACGCAAGGUUCAGUGAUUUCGGGUUGGCAAAGCUCAUGGAUCACGAUAAAAGCCAUUGUCUUGGUAGCUAUUGCAUCGGCCUUUUGGCUGGUCCAAUUUUAGGUACUGCUGGACUAAGUUCCAAUAUGCUCAUUGCAGUCCUCUUGCCCCGAAAGCAUCAAUUAAACAACAGCGGAAUGUGCUAAACUCUAUUCAGUUAUAUUGUUAAAGGAGCAAUUUCCCUUCUGCAAAAUGUAAAAUGCCCUCAGUUACCUCCUAUCAAAACCAAAAUACUUGUAAUAACUGGUUUUCGUUUCUCCUUGCAGAUUUCUAAAGUCCAUUUGUGAACGGUUUCUUGAGCAGGCGACACCCUUUCAACUCGAAAUGUAGCUGAAACGAGUACAACUUUUUUCGAUGUAUAGGAUUCCGUCGUAAUUGUUAUCUCAGAUAAUUUGCAGAUUGAUUGUAGUUAAGAAGAGUAACAAGUUCCAUUGGCAGAUAGGCAAUUACCUGAGCUACUCAGCAAAUAUAGCACAUUUUCUACGUGGGUUACAAAAGCAGCUCACCACAAAUAUAUACAAAUUUAACUACAACGGGAUGGUCCAAUGGUUGGGAACGAGUUUUAGACUCGUAUUCUACACAACACGUCCCGAGUUUGAUUUCUGGCGUUGGUGAAUCACAUGAUGGUGACCAAGGAAGGCUAAAAUGCUUUUGAGUCUUUCCAACCCUCAAAAUGGUGGACUACCAUGGCGAAGCCACUGGCAUUCUAGAAAGUGGUGCCAAAAAGCCAUGCUCUCUUCAACCAUUGUGUUUGUAGAGAAACAUAUGAGUAUAUACACCUACCUCAAGAUGACAGAGGCAUUGAAAGAUGAGUAAGCAUUCCGCCAUAUGGAACCACAGCAGUACAUAUGAGAGAAAAAAAAUACAUCAUCAAGGAGUUACUUGCAUCCCAUGCAGGGGUAAUCAUAUAUGCGAGAGAUUGCCGCCGCACCAAUCAACUACUAGUAAUAUGCAAGCUAAAACCGGUUGUUAUUAUAUUUGAUGAUACCGUCCUGAAAUUCAAAGAAACACGUAAAUGUUAGGGGAGAAAUUAAAAAUAAGAGAGAGAAGAAAGGGUAGCAUAGUUAAUCGGUACAGUUCAUUAGUUUUCUCUCUGGGCAGAUGAAGUCCCACAUACAUUCAAUCUUUAUAUAGAUGUUGACAAGAGCUGAGGUCUGCAGGUCCCUGUUCAAAGUCCAUUUCUGUCCAAAGACUUCAAACUUGACAGUCCAGAAAACCAGAGCACCAUUUGAUAAUCCUAUCUUUACAGCUUUACUCUGUUUGUUCGCUGCAUCAAUGAAACCGAUAUACCUGCUAGUACCAUCAAAUUGUCCUGACUUAGGAUAUAGUUGAAUUGAACUGUCAAAGAAAAAGACUGAUAUAUAAAAUGCAAUGUAGACAAAGCAAACUGAAGAUAGAAAAAGUGAGAGAGAGUAAAUUACAAUUUACAGCUGAUCUGCAAUGUUCCACCGGUGAAAUCCUCCUUAAUAUAUAUGCAAUCUAGUAAUGCAACGUACGUACUGGCAUUCAAGCAAGUACAGCCAUGAGGCACUCUUCAACUGUUGUGUAAGUAGCGAGAAACAUAUCUCCAGUGGACCUACCUGAAGAUUACAGUUACAGUGAAAGAUGAGAAAGUUAUGCCUCAAAUGAGACAAGCAUGAGAAAACCCUCACAUGCAGGAGAAUCAUAUAUAUCAGACUACAAAGAAGUCACUCCCCUCGCAUUCUCCUGUAAUUUCAUCGGAAUUAGACUCUGAAACUUGAAUUUAAGUAGGAAUAUUGUUGCUAAGGACAAUCAAUUUAAUCGUACCCAAUCAAUUUAAUAAUAAAUAAAAAAUUACCUGGCUUUUGUCUUGAGAGUUGAGAGUUGAGAUUUGGAGAGAGUGAAAUGAAGGCUCAUAUGAUGAUGACUUCUCCAUCGAUCUUUAUGCAAGGAAUGCGAGCUAUGUUUCUCCAAUCUUUUCCCUUCUUGGUCUCAUACCUCUUCUUCAGAGAAGGAAAAUUCUCAAUGCUCAGAUAAGAGAUGCCGGAAAACCCUCUUUUGGCAGCAAUUCGAGACUCUUACACCCUACAUUUCUGGCUGUUGAAGAGAAGUGAGGUGCUCAAGUCCCUUUCUGUCCAAAGAUUUCAGAUUCCAUACAUAAGAGAUCCAGAGAGUGUGAAGAGUGGCAGGGAGCAGGUGUUCAUUGAGCAAAAUCUCCAGCAGAUCCUUGUUUCCUUCGCUCCGAAAUUAAUUGGCUCCUGUAGGAAGAUUUCGUAUUAACCACCCAACAUCAAAUGUACUUAAAAGUAGUCAUUACAGAACAAAGCACACUAUGGUUCAUGAGCAAACUGAAAAGUAAUCAUUACAACUUAUGACUAUUACUAAGAUUAAAGUUUUUUAGGGUGUCAAAGAUUCACCUCAUCAAAAUCUUGUCGGAGAUUUCAACCCAGUUGAAGAAAAAAGAGUACAACACACCAACAAAUUACAAGUUAUGACUAUCUAGCUUGUAUUAAUUAAAACAUCCAAAAAAUGUCCAGGUGAGUCUUCAAACUAUAGCAACUCUUAAUAUCAUGCAAGUCUAUGUGCAACAUUUUUGGGCCUCUCAUCUCACAUAAUAUUGGAGCAAACGCAGAAUAAUCCUUCUCCUUUUGCAACAGUCCUGCCAAAGAUAGAGUGGAAUUACUCUCCACUUCCACAGCAGCAGCCCCCGAAUCAGCCGCCAUCGGCAGCCAACAACGUAGUGUUCUGGCCUAAAACGUACGUGGUAGAGAAAAAUGAACCCCCGCAUGCACUUGGCUGUACAGGCAGCAACAAUGUGUGUAGCUGCAUGCGAAUCAGAAAAACAAAUACCAUAUAAUAAGAGAAACAAUGAAUGGACCCCUUAGCGACUGGGAAAUCCAGCUAUGGGCGAUAACAUACAUGAAACACUACCAUGGUUGAGUUGCUACUUACCAAGAAGGCUUCCAAAUUUGCGAGCCCGCUGGGCCAACUUUCACCAUCAAACUUGGGUUAAGGCGUAUUAUCGUCCAUUUCUCCAUGGCAUCUUCCUCUUGAGCGGUUAACGAAUCAAACGAUUGCCUGGAUAUAUAGUGAGCAAUUCUGCAAUGUUCAAACCUCCGAGUCCAGAUGCAACUUUGAAUAUUCUCUUGAUUGCUCAUGAAAUCCACAAUGGUGAGAAGAAUGCUAUAACCUCUCAGUUCCUUUGGAUCACUUCCAGGAGAUAAGAUGUUCAUUGGCGGCAACAAUAGGCACAAUUUCAUUUAACGUAUGUGAUAUAUAUAUAUCUCUUUAAGGAUAGUAUGUGGAUGCAGAGUUUUGAUGAAAAUGUAGGAAAAGAACGCAGAGCUUUACCUUCACAUGCUUUGUACCAUUUCAUUAUAAAUCGAACUGUGAAAGCAAGUUUUCUCUCAAAUCCAUUUCAAUAGGAUGCCAACUCAACUGCUUUCCUUUUUCAUACCUCAGCUUAACAAGAUACUCCUAAAUUCAAAGAUGAAGAAAUUAUUAUUGAUACAUUUAUCUUAGAAAACAAGCGAAUGGAACUUAAAACAAAAGAGAGUGGUGGAACGCUCAAUUACCGCUCAUCCGCAGUGCUCAACGUAAGAAUUACCAUUCUUGUGAAAUCCGUUGCACACCAGCCAACCACUUAUUCAAGUAAUAUCAUUUACUGGAAUAGCAACAAACACAAGCAUGACAACACUGCUACAAGGAACAAGAGCGCUGUUCAACCACUGUAUGUAUAAAAGCAUAUCUGCACCCAGAGUUGCCAUCUGCAUCAAUAAAGCCGACAAAUACGUUAGUCCCAUCGUGUUGUCCUUACUGAUUGCAUAGUUGAAUUACAUUGAUACAUAAAGGAAGAACAAAUUACACUCGAAGUGUUCAACUACUUACACUUAAAUCCGUAGGCGCAGCAGCCAGCCACCAAGUCUAGUCACAUGGGCAUUCUAGCAAGCGGUGCCAAUAAGCCAAGCUCUCUCCAACCAUUGUGUUUGUAGAGAAACAUAUGUGUAUGCACCUACCAAAAGAUGACAGAAGCGUUGAAAGAUGAGUAAGCAUUCCGCCGUAUGGAAACCACAGAAGUAUACAUAUACACAAGUACCUGAGUGGUUGAAGUAAGCUAACAUCGUUUCCCCCCGUGAUAAUCCUAUCUUUACAGUUCAAUAGUUUUCUCUCUGGACCGACGAAGUCCCACAUACAUUCAAUCUUUAUAUAGCUAUUCAAGAGAGCUAAGGUCUAGAGGUCCCUGUCCUGGAAGGAAUUGCGUGCGUGGGAGGCGUUGAAAGUCCAUUUCCACCCGAAAUAUUUCAUACUUUACAGUCCAGAAAAUCAGAGCCCCAUUUGAUAAUCCUAGCUUUACAGGUUCGCUUGCUCGCUGUGUCAAUGAAACCGAUAUAUCAGAAGAUUAGAGUCAUGUCGCAAACGAGAUAAGUAUGAGAAAAGCAUCAUCCAGGGUUUUACCUCUUGUCAUGCAGGAGAAUCAUAUAUAUCGACCUCUCCUGUAAUUUCACUCCCCUCGCAUUUGGCUGCACAGUCCUGCCAACAACAACUUCAACGCAGAAUAAUGCUUCUCCCUUUGCUACAGUCCUGCCAAAGAUAGAGUGGAAUUAUAUCCACUUCCAUAGCAGCAGCCUCCAAAUCAACCGCCAUCGGCAGCCAACGACGUAGUGUCAUGGCCUAAAAUGUACGUGGUAGAGAAAAAUGAACCCCCGUGUGCGCACUUGGCUGCACAGGCAGCAACAAAGUGUGUGGCUGCAUAUGAAUCAGAAAAAAAAUGAAAGGACCCCUUAGCGACUGGGAAAUCCUGCUAUGUGCUAUCAUGUACAUGAAGCACUACCAUGGUUGAGUUACUACUUACCAAGAAGGUUUCUAAAUUUGAGAGCCCGCUGCUCCAACUUUCACCAUCAAACUUGGGUUAAGGCUUAUCAUCAUCUAUUUCUCCACGGCAUUUUCCUCUAGAGCAGUUAACGAAUCAAAUGAUUACCUGCAUAUAUAGUGAGCAAAUCUGCAAUGUUAAGGCUAGCCGACAUUCACCUCUCCCAGACCCUGCGUAAAGCGGGAGCCUUGUGCACUGGGUACGACCGUUUGUUAACUUGCUACAUCACACACACUAAUAUAUAGAAAACAAACCUCCAAGUCCAGAUGCAACUUUGAAUAUUCUCUUGAUUGCUCAUGAAAUCCACAAUGGUGAGAAGAAUGCUAAUAUAUAGCAAACAAGCCGACAAAUACGUUAGCGUGUUGUCCUGACUGAUUGCAUGGUUGAAUUACAUUGAUCCAUAAAGGAAGAACAAAUUACACUCAAGUGUUCAACUACUUACACUGAAAUCUGUAGGCGCAGCAGCUAGCCACCAAGUCUAUUUACGCUGGCAUUCUAGCAAGCGGUGCCAAUAAGCCCUGCUCUCUUCAUCCAUGGUGUUUGUAGACAAAAAUAUGUGUAUGCAGCUACCACAAGAUGACAGAGGCAUUGAAAGAUGAGUAAGCAUUCCGCCAUAUGGAAACCGCAGCAGUAUAUAUAUACACAAGUACCUGAGUGGUUGAUGUAAGCUAACAUCGUUUUCCCUCUGAUAAUCCUAUCUUCACAGUUGAAUAGUUUUCUCUCUGGACCGACGAAGUCCCACAUACAUUCAAUCUUUAUAUAGCUGUUCAAGAGAGCUGAGGUCUAGAGGUCCCUGUCCUGGAAGGAAUUGCGAGAGUGGGAGGUGUUGAAAGUCCAUUUCCAUCCAAAAUAUUUCAAAAUUGACGGUCCAGAAAUCGGAGCACCAUUUGAUAAUCCCAUCUUUACAGGUUUGCUUGCUCGCUGCAUCAAUUAAACCGAUAUAUCUGUUAGUCCCAUCACAUCUACCAGAACAUUACAGUUAUGGUGCAAACGGACUACAAAAAAUUCUUGUACAAUCAGGAGUACUAAAUCAAAAUCCCAAACAGAGUUUUAAUCCAAACCAAAACUGGAUUACUCUUAUAAACAAAUUGAGACCUUAUCACUUUAUUCUAAUCUGAAAUAACUGAACCGUGUGAAUCAUAAUCACACUCUAACAGAAAGUGUUUCAAAUGCAUUAAAUAGGUCAAUACAAAGAGUACCACUUGUUGACAUUACUGAGAUUCCAAACCCUCCUGCAUCAGUUUCUAAAGCUGAACCAUAUGCAGAUAGACUUAGUCUAGAUUCCGUGAACACUGAAUUCAGCUUAACAGGCACUCAUAAGAGCUUCAAACAGAGGCUUGGAAUCCAAAACAGAAGCAAGAGAAGAUAUAACAAUAAGGAGAACCUGAGCAUGUCACAAGGAACAAACGAUAUUAAGGGGACCACUAGAUCACUUCAUAAAAGGUUCAGUAAACUAAAAUUAUCUGGGAAAACCAGUUUGAGAAAAGGUGGUUCAAGUUUAUCAGAGCAGGAGCCGAAGCAUAACAAUAUUGUGUCCAGCAUGACUUCUUUCAUUCCACUUGUUCAACAGAAACACGCAGCUGCAGUUGUAACAGGUAAUUUCUUACUAGUAAUCUUAACCUUUGAACUUUGGAUUUUGCAUUACAUGUACAUAUUCCAUAUGAUUGUUUUUCUGAGUGUGGAUCAUAAUUGUACGUCUAAACUGGGUUACAGUAUGGAUGAUGGUUUUAUUUUUACUGAAUUAGGGAAUGUUUUAUUUGGAGUAGUAAAUUAGCAAUGAAUGUCUGGGAUCAUCAAGUAAAAUUUAGAGUGCAUAUUUGAAAGUCCCAUGAAAGCUGAGUUGCCCCAUUGUCCUCCAUAAGUAUGUUAUAGGUGACUUCAUCUUGUCAUACGGAGCUUGACAGUGAUUCAUUUGUUUUUUUAUUGUAUCCUUGUGAAUUCUUGUGAGUAUUCUGGGAUAUUUUUCUUUGUUUCUUUUUUUCUCUCCAAUGACUUGAUUCAGUAUUUUGACCUAUUUGUGUUUUCUUGCAGGGAAGAGGGACGUCAAAGUGAAGGCCCUGGAGGCAGCUGAAGCUGCAAAGCGUCAGGCAGAAAAGAAAGAGAAUGAACGCAAGAUGAAGAAGGAAGCCUUGAAACUUGAGCGGUCAAGAAUGGAGCAGGAGAAUAUGAAGCAGUUGGAGUUGCAGAAGAAAAGGAAAGAAGAAGAGAGGAAGAAAAAAGAGGCAGAUAUGGCAUCAAAUAAGAGACAAAGGGAAGAGGAAGAAAGGAAGGAGAAGGAAAGAAAAAGAAUGCGUAUUGAAGCACGUAGAAACAAGAGAGAACAUGAAGACAAGUUACCUGCAGAAAAGGUAGAGAAAGAAAUGAAAACCCUGGCCAUUGUAUGAUUCUUUAUGGUCUGCCUCAUUUCAUUAUAUCUAUCUUUUUGCAAUGUUAGAUAUCACUUGUAUAUUGGGCUGUCUUGUGUAGGAUGGAAGAGGCCCUGGGGGUAAGGAAUCUAAGGAUGAAAUGGCAAAUAAGAAAAUGGAGGAAGAAAGGGGAUAUGACAAUAACAUAAAUAUUUCGGAGACUAAGCCUAGUACUUCCAGGAUUUCAAUAAGCAAUGCUGGAAAAGAAAGUAUUGUCCACGAAGAGUUCCACGAGGCUUCUAGUAAUUAUGGAUAUAAAGCAGAGGUAAAUGCAAAUGAUUUUUUAACAACCAAUACCCACCAUAUCUUAGGAUCUACUUGCAUAUAUUGAGUGCUUUCACUUGUGUAGGCUGGAGCAUGAUGAUAAUCCUCUGUUAAUGGAGUUUGAAAGUCCAGAUGCAACUUUGAAUAUUCUCUUGAUUGCUCAUGAAAUCCACAAUGGUGAGAAGAAUGCUAAUAUAUAGAAAACAAGCCAACAAAUACGCUAGUCCCAUCGUGUUGUCCUGACUGAUUGCAUAGUUGAAUUACAUUGAUCCAUAAAGGAAGAACAAAUUACACUCAAGUGUUCAACUACUUACACUGAAAUCUGUAGGCGCAGCAGCCAGCCACCAAGUCUAUUUACACUGGCAUUCUAGCAAGCGGUGCCAAUAAGCCCUGCUCUCUUCAUCCAUGGUGUUUGUGGACAAAAAUAUGUGUAUGCAGCUACCACAAGAUGACAGAGGCAUUGAAAGAUGAGUAAGCAUUCCGCCAUAUGGAAACCGCAGCAGUAUAUAUAUACAAAAGUACCUGAGUGGUUGAUGUAAGCUAACAUCGUUUUCCCUCUGAUAAUCCUAUCUUCACAGUUCAAUAGUUUUCUCUCUGGACCGAUGAAGUCCCAUAUACAUUCAAUCUAUAGCUGUUCAAUAGAGCUGAGGUCUAGAGGUCCCUGUACUGGAAGGAAUUGCGAGAGUGGGAGGUGUUGAAAGUCCAUUUCCAUCCAAAAUAUUUAAAAAUUGACGGUCCAGAAAAUCAGAGCACCAUUUGAUAAUCCCAUCUUUACAGUUUUGCUUGCUCGCUGCAUCAAUUAAACCGAUAAAUCUGUUAGUCCCAUCACAUGUACCAGAAGAUUACAGUUAUGGUGCAAACGGGAGAAGUAUGAGAAAUCAUCCAGGGAUUUACCUCUUCUCUUGCAGGAGAAUCAUAUAUAUUGACCCCAAGUAGUUCCACAGUAUCAGACUACAAAAAAUUCACUCCCCUUGCACUCUCCUGUAAUUUCAUUGGAAUUGGACUCUGAAACUCUAAUUUAAGCUGGAAUAUUGCUGAGGACAAUCAAUUUAAUAAUAAAUAAAAAAAGUACCUGGCUUUUGUCUUGAGAGUUGAGAGUUGAGAGUUGGAGAGAGUGAAAUGAAAGCUCAUAUGAUGGUGAUUUCAUCAUCUACGUUUAUGCAAGGAAUGCGAGCUAUGUUUCUCCAAUCUUUUCCCUUCUUGUUCCCAUACCUCCUCUUCAGAGAAGGACAACCCCGGAUCUUCAGAUAAGAAAGAGAUGCCGGCAAACCCUCUUUUGGCAGGAAUUUGAGACUCUCGCAGCCUGAAAUUUGUAACUGUUGAAGAGAAGUGAGGUGCUCAAGUCCCUUUCCGUCCAAAGAUUUCAGAUUCGAUACAUCAGAGAUUUCGAGAGUGUGAAGAGUGGCAGGGAGCAGCUGUUCAUUGAGCAACGUCUCCACCAGAUCCCAGUUAACGAUAGAUAAUGUUUGUAGAUUGGGAGGCAAACCCCCUUGUGCAAAUGACACCACAUUUGGAAGACACUCUAUCGACAAAUGUUGAAGGGCGGUGAGGGUGUGCAUUCGGUCCGGCAACAACUUCAAAUUCACGCAAUGGUCUACUGAAAAGUAAGUCAGGUUGGGAGUGGGCAAUCCUCCGUCAGGAAAAGAGACAAGAUUUGGAAGACUGCCUAUCAAUAACCUUUGAAGGGCGGUGAGGGUGUGCAUUCGGUCCGGCAACAACUUCAAAUUCUCGCAGUUGUAGACAUGAAAGAAAGUGAGGUUGGCAGUGGGCAAUCCCCCGUCGGGAAAAGAGACAAGAUUUCGACAUAUCUGGAUAUCCAGGUAGUUGAGAUGGCGGAGAUUUUCAUCUGCUCCUCCUUCAACUGAAAGAGAUUCCAGAUUCUGACAACGCAUUAUACGAAGAGAUGAAAGGUUGGGGAAAAUGCCCAAAGGGAACGACCUCAUCUCACCUGAUAGAAAUUCUAAUUUCUUGCAAUUUACUAUACGGAGUGACGUCAGCGUGGUGGGCAGACCAUUUGUAGGGAACGACAAGAGUGAGCAACAUUCAUAUAAUGUCAAACUUUGAAGAUGAUUGCUGUUGUGCACCAUUUGCGGCAACCACUCUCUCCCACCAUCAUCGUAAAUAUCAAGACUCUGAAGCGACGGCAGCGUCUCCGUCGACUCGAGUAACAAUGAGAGACCCGGACAUCCCUUUAUUGUCAGUUGUUCAAGAGAUCGUCGUAAGGAUUCCGUGUUCAGAGUAUUACUGGCCCUGUUUUCAUGUAGAACCUUACAUCCAUCGACCCAAAGGAUUUUCAAGGAAGGAAGAUGAGUGGGCAAGCUUCCUCUCAGCUUCGGACAUUGGCGUAACCUCAGCUCCUUAAGACGAGGAAAGCCUGGACUUUCACCUCCACUUGGACUUGGCUGCCAUUCUUCCCACUCUGGCAUCUCCCGAAACUCUAGCUUCUCUAAACAUUGAAAUGGUUGAUUUCCCCCGUACAACUCAACACCAACACUCUUAACAACUUUCAUCCUUUCUACGUAGAGCUCUUUCAGAGCAGGUAGCUGACCAACUAGUGGCAAUGAACUGCAAUUACUACAGUCAUUGAGACGCAUCACUUGUAAGUUGGAGAAGGACGAGUCUCCCACCCAAUUCGGGAAACUGAUUCCGCCAUAACACCUGACGGUUAGUUUCACCAAAUUUACCGAAGGCUGUAGUCUUUCGAGUACAUGUCUCUCUUUUACAAAAUCAUCGGAAACUUCAGGACCCCAUGCCAACUCUACCUCUUUGAGAUCUUUCUUAUCCUUCAACAACGCAUCAAUAGCACCGACUACAUUUUGCAGAUUCAAGAUGGAAAUUUUUCCUCCAAGGUGCGACAACUCCCUCAGUUCUCCAAUAUUGGACCCAGUAGAUUUCCCCAGCACAAAAGCUGUCAGUGUUCUCAAACUUUUUAGUCUACCCAUAUGCACCGGCAUCUCUUUUAUUUUAGUUCCACCAAUAUCAAGAUGACGCAAAUGAAUCAAUUUCCUCAUGUCUGCAGGCAAUUCAACAAGAGAAGAACAACCUAACAACAAUAGAGUUUGUAAAUUGUAGAGAGUACACACUCUAUCUGAUAACCUUUUAAUUGCCGUAUAAGAGAGAUCAAUGUAGCGCAAGUGCAUGUGGUUACCAAUGGAAUCAGGUAAGUGAGUGAUAUUCAUAUAUCUUGAUAAUGAAAUUGCCCGUAAACAUUUUUGUGCUGGCAAUAAAUCAUCUAGAAUCUUAUUGCUUACAUAUCCACCAUUCCAACUAUAAUGUGGUGGUAAAGACACUGGAAAGAAGGUACGCAAACACUUAACUCCUUUUAAUGGCUCAAAUAUUGGAGAUGUAUCAAAUUUUCCUCUCAUAUAUGACAAGUGGCGAACUUUUUUAGAAACUUCGUGCGAAUUUUUUUGAUCCAACCUCAAACAAAACUCUCCAGACACAAACAUAGCCAAGUCAUUAAUAAGAUCAUGCAUAGUGAAACUUGGUUUAUCCAAUCUUGGUCUUUGAAAUAGUGAACGCGAUAACAGUUCAUUAAAGUACCUUUCACCAACCUCCUCCAUUGCUUUCUUGCUCUCUAAUUGUGGAAUUAAACCUUCUGCCACCCAUAGUAGAAUAACAUUUUUCUUUUCAAACUCAUAGUCCUUUGGAAAGAUUGAGCAAUAAGCAAAGCAUCGUUUCAAGUAAGCCGGAAGAUAGUGGUAACUCAAUCUUAGAGAAGGAAGAAGACUAUUAGGGUGUGGCAGAUCCCAAAGAUUACUAUCCAAUAUGUGAUUCCACUCCUUGUAGUCUAGGUUGCAACUUAAGAGACCCCCUAGCGUUUUUGCGGCUAGAGGUAAACCGUUGCACUUACGUGCAAUUUGCUUACCAAUUUCAACCAAGUCUGGAUGUGCACCGGGGUUUUCAUUUCUAAAUGCAUGUUUUUCCAGUAACGACCAGCAGUCUUCAUCCAACAAUUCUUUUAAAUCGUGAAUAGGAAUAGUAUUGUGCACGAUGGCUGCAACACGCCUGCUCCUUGUUGUUACAAUGACCUUACUUCCCCUUGCCCCAUACGUGAAAAGAAUUCGUAGACGCUCCCAGUCAUCAUAGUUUUCAUUCCAAAGGUCAUCCAAGACAAGUAAAAAUCUCUUUCCACUCAGUUGUUCCCUUAGUUGAACUUCAAGGGAAUUCAUCUCCAAAUUUUCACAAGGCUUUUUAGUGAUUUCCUGAAUAAGGGCCUUAAUAACCCUCAAAGCCUCAUACUGUUCGGAAACACAAACCCAAGCAUGAAUGUCAAAGUGCUUUUUAACUCGUUCAUCGUUGAAAAGGAGUUGAGCAAGAGUUGUCUUACCAACCCCGCCCAUACCGACUAUAGGGACUACAGAAAAAUUACUGCUACUUUCAUUGUCAGAUAACAGCAGUAGAUCUUUUAACUUGUCUUUAUCUCCAUCCCUACCAUAGGUAUAAAAUCCGCCCUCAACAACAGAAGUUGUGGGAGUUCUUUGUGAAACAUUGCCUCCAACAACAUCUUCUCUAAGACGGAGGAUAUCUUUUUGAUUUGCAAGGUGUUCCAACUUCUUGAAUAAAACUUCUAUCCUACCAUUCAUGCCUUUAUAAUUAAAAGGUUUACGACAGGUAGAAAGGAAGUUCCACACCUGGGUUUUCUUAGUCUGAUCUUUCGCCUUGCGACGCGAAACUUCAGUAUCGAUCUCAUCCACCAAGUCCUCGGCCUCGAACACAGCAUGUUUGAGCUCAUCAAGCCACUUCCCGACGUCAGGGUCGACAAUCUGCUUCUCCUCAGCGUCGUUGAGCACUGCACGGAGAUUCACCAACUUCAUCUUCAGUGUGUCCAGGAGUGAAUAGUCGAGUCUUCCUGCCCGGAAGAAGUCUAUGAACUCUCCGGAGGCAAUCUUGUCGCACAGCAACUGGAUGGAACCGGAGAGCAAAGCCUCUCCAACGAAAGCCAUUUUCUCGUCUUGGCAAAAGGACUAAUUUUGAUCAAGUAUUUGGAGUUGACAAACUGAAAAUUAUUCUUGGCAAAGCCUGUAAGAUUACUUCAUGACUGGUGAGACGACUUGAUCUUUUUCUUGGUCAAUAAUGCAGUGGACCACACACGGCAAACAUAAAGUAUAAAGUGGUGGAAGUUGGGAAACGUUUCCAUCCAACAUUAAUUUAUUAAUUAUUUUCUUCCAUAAAAUAAUCGUUGUUGGUCAUGAACAUUGGUGGAGGUUGGAAAACAUUACAUCAACCAUUAAUUUAUUUAUUAUUUUCAAUGUGUCUAAAACAUUAACCGGUAUAUCAAGUAUAAUAAUACAAUUGAUCGAAAUUUUUUUUUUCAAGUUUCUAAUUCAAUUGUCUUAGUACACUUGGCAUAACAAGCCGUGUUCCUGACAUAUUGAUUAAUCUCCCCACACAUCAAGAGGCCUAAAAUAUAUCAAUCUUCUUACCCUUAGUAUAACGGUUAUAAUUAUUAUAAUUUAAAAAUGAUCCUCUUACUUGUAACCGUUAGAUGUGUUAGUGAGAAGGAUCUGCCCCUUACGCUCCGACCACACACGUCAAACAUAGAGUAGUAAUUGGUGGAGUUUGGAAAAACACAGUAAAAAGAGGGGUGUGCUAUCCACAUCUCUUUUUAUUUUUUCCACUCCUUGUUAAUUUUUGUAAUUUGAUAUUCUUUAAUUCAUCUGAUCCGACGGUGAAAAAUUAAAAAAAUAAGAAAAAUAAAAAAUAAUAUGUGGAUAUCACAUCCCUAAAAAGAAUCACGCAAUACAUUUGGAUCUCAACAUUUUUCCGUAUGAUAAGAUCACAUGUUCCCACCAUCGUCUUGUAACCAUCGUCUUGUCACCAUCUUGUCAUUAUUUCUACUCUGGUUCUAAUUCCAAGGGGAACAUCUUCGUGUGAAAAAUAAAGUAAAAGUUUCUGGCAGGACCUCAAUGUUGGGUUGAAUUUCUACAAUUAUUAUUUACAUUUUAUACUUUUAAUCUCAACCACUAUUAUACUUUUAAUCUCAACCACUUAUUUUCUACAACAUUCAUUAUCAUGUGCUAUGGGGAAAAAAAAAAUAAAAAUAAAAACUUGAAAAGUUUCUUGCUUUUUCUUGCUUUGCCUAUAUUUUCAACAUUAAUGGGACCAUUCGUGUUUACGAUUUGGUUUGCCUAUUCAUUCAACGUUCAUGGGACCAUUCUGCUUUGCCUAUAUUUUCUUGCGUUAACCAAUUUUGACUCAAAGUUAACAUGUUUUUGCACAAAACUAAUUAAGAACACACUCGAGUUCCAUACCUUAUAUUGUCAAAUUAUCGAAUUUGAUGCCGCAUAAUUAUACAAAAGUGCAUUUAGAUUAACAGUGCACUUCCUCUUUUACAUCUAAAUUUGAACCUCCAUUUUUAUCGCUAUAAUUUAUACGAGUUUAAUAUAAAUUAUCUUAUCAUUUAUUAAAAACCCCACUUCAUAAAUAAGUAGAUGCGAUAUGUUUAAAUGCAAAUCUGUAACAAAAACAAUGGAAAAGAAUAAGUACAGAUGUUUAUGGAUAGCAAAGGUCUCGAAAACAUAUAUACUCCACAAAAUCUAGCACGAGAGUAUUGAGCCUAGAUAAUAUAACCUCCUCCCCAAUACUAAUUUAUAGCUGAUUUAUUUUGUGGUUUAGCUAAAAUCACCAAUUCUCAUUAUCAUUGUACAAAUAAAUAAAUAAAGAGUAAAUAGUAGCAAUAGUUUCUUUAACUUUAAUCAAAUUGGUUAAAGUUAAGGGACUAUUGCUCCAAUUGAGUUAAAAUUAAAAGAUUAUUUCUCCAAUUGGAUUAAAGUUAAGAGAUCAAUGUUAAUGAAUUUUUAGUUGAGGGACCGCACGUUUUGAUGGGUUAAGGAACUAAUGAUAAUAGAUUUGUAGUUGAUGGACUAUUGCUCCAAUUAAGUUAAAGUUAAGGGAUCAUUGCUACAAUUUAUUCAUAAAUUAAACAAAGGUAAGAAGAGAUAUGAAAUAUUGCAGAAGAAUUGUUAUUGACACUCCAAAAAAAUCAUUAUGCAUUUGUGUAACAAAGUUAUCAAGGAUGGAUUGAGUGCACGAUGACUUUCUUUUGCUAAUAACAAAUUCCUAAAGUGGAUCACAUUAUUAAUAUUGCUUUUGGAAAGAAUUUCUGUUAUCUGCAUCUUCUACAUAUAUAAAGUCAAAAGGGAAAACAGGUGAAACAUUUAAUAUUUCAAAAUUGCCCCUUUUAUUACAGGUUAUAUAAGAGUAAAAAUGUAAGGACAUGAUGGUAAAACCAGGCAAAGGAGAGAAAGUGGAGGAAAAAACUAGAACAUGCUUACAGAAAGAAACUAUAUUUGAAGCAUCCGUUUGGUUGCCCAGCCCACAAAAAAAAUAAAAUAAAAUAAAAAUCCCACAAUUAAAUCUACAAACAACGGAAAUGUGACACUGAUGUUAGCAAACUUUUAUGGUCUUCAAUCUCGAUAAUUUAUGUGCACAUUGGAAUCCAUACUUCAUACUUCACUUGUUUUUGUUGAUCUCUUGUGAUAGGAUACUGUGUGAUAACUGAAUUGGUUGAUAAGUAAGCAUUGUAUUAGUGCUGACUAGGACAGAUAUGUAUGGUUAAAAAGGAUAAGGUUGUUAGUAGUAAGCUUACGGAGGAAGCUAACUAGCUACUAUAUUAGAAAGGAUUGUAAACGGAAGGGUCGUUGUUGUAAUUGUUGUUAAUUGUAAUAGAAAGUUACUUGUUACUGCUACAUAGAAGUCAAGAUGCAGAGUUAGGGUUCUAUCAUUGGUAUCACCGCCAGUGCAUUCGAUCCGGCUUGAUCCUUCUUCGUGUAUGACUCGGCUCGGUUCCAGACGCACCAUGGAAACGAGAGUAUCUCAGCUUGAGUCCCUAUUUGCUGAUUUCCAGAAGGAGUUCAAAGAUUCCAGGCAUGAAUUUCAAGAAUCAAGAACUGAAUUUCGAAAUGCCCAUGAGCUGAUUUUGCAGCAAUUGCAGGUGUUAUCGACGAGAGGUAGUGGGUUGAUGGGCGAAUCGUCGGAAGGGACACAUUCUGAUCACAAUUUACCGCCGGGAGUGAAUCCUCAGUUUGUUCGUCAAGAAUCGAUUCCGUCGCCUCGACAACCAUUUAUCAAGAUCGAUUUUCCCAGAUUUAGUGACGGCGAUGACCCCUUGGGGUGGAUCUACAAAGCAGAGCACUAUUUUGAUUUCUUCGGUGUCGAGGAUUUCAAGAAAGUAAAGAUGGCAUCAUUCCAUCUGGAUGGCGAACCUCUACAAUGGUUCCAAUGGGCUAAUUGUAUCCGGACAUACCCUAGGUGGGAAGAUUUCACUCAAGCUCUUUGUCAAGAAUUUGGUCCGUCGGAGUUCGACGAUUCGGCAGAAAGCUUGGUUAAACUUCGCCAAACGGGAUCUCUGCGUGAUUACAUCUUGGAGUUUCGAAGAUUGGCGAAUCGUACAAGGGAAGUUACCCCAUCUCUCUUGCGAUCUUGUUUCAUUGGUGGUCUUAAAUCGGAGCUGCGUCAUGAUGUCAAAAUCCUAAAGCCCAGAGACGUUCUGGAGGCCACUGCUUAUGCUCAACAGAUCGAUGCCAAGUUGUCUGAAUUAAAGGUCAAGUCUUUUCCUCGUUCAUCUGUUAAUUCUUCGUUUCGUCCUCCAUUACAGAAUGUUGCUGAUACUGUUGUGGGAAAUAACAAAUUCAAACAUGAAAAUGUGAGGCGAUUGACACCUGAAGAGGUCGAAUACUGUCGGAAACAUGGUCUUUGCUUCCAUUGUAAGGAAAAAUUUGUUCGCGGCCACACUUGUGAGAAGAAACAACUUUUAUUGAUUGAUGUUCAGUAUGGUAGUGAUAAUGAAGCCUCUGACAUUGAAAAUUUGGAACCUGAGAUUACAGCAUGUGCCCUUUUUGGUACCCCAGCUCCUAAGUCAAUUAAAACCAUGAAGGUUCUUGGUAGUAUUAGGAAUUGUCCGGUGGUAAUACUUAUCGAUUCUGGUAGUUCCCAUAACUUCGUGGAUUCUGUGUUGGUCAAGAAAAUCAAUGGACAAUUGAAUACAGAUCAUUCUUUUAGUGUCAAGAUUGCGGAUGGGGGCCAAGUCAAGACUACAGGUUCUUUAGGGGCUGUUUCACUCAAGAUUCAACAAGAAUCUACUAUAUUAGAAAGGAUUGUAAACGGAAGGGUCGUUGUUGUAAUUGUUGUUAAUUGUAAUAGAAAGUUACUUGUUACUGCUACAUAGAAGUCAAGAUGCAGAGUUAGGGUUCUAUCAUCUUGGCACAUCUAUACUAAAUUGUUUGGUGUUAGUCGGUUUGUUUGAUUCAUAUUUCAAUUUUGUAAGUAGCCAGAGUAUCUUAGGAAAUGAAAAUAUCAAAAAUAAAAUAAACAUUUGUAAAUAGUGUCAAGCGCAUGUAGUUAUAAAUUUGUAAGUCACACGUAGCAUGCCUGAUUAAAGGCCUUUAAUCCAUGUCCCAUUGUUAGCACGCCUGAUUAAAUGCCUCUAAUCCAUGUACCAAUUGUUAACAAUGAUAAACAACUAAUGCAACAUAUUUUAGGGGUGGGUAACGCCUGUGAUUAAAAAACCUUACGCGCAUGCAGAGAUGCUAGUUUAGAGUAAAUAAAGAAGACUGUACAUACGCAAAUGUGGGAUAAACUAGGGUUGGAUACGGCCAGGCCAAACUCAAAAUUGAAGCAGAUGGACCGGACCCGUUUGUAACUGAAAUGUGACGGGACAGUGCUGGUCUUGUUAGCUGAGAAAUGAAACCGGACUUAACCUGACUCGUUUGAAAUGAACCUGUUCCUACAGGUCCAAGGGUCAUUUUUUUAUAUAAAUUUUUUGUUAAUAAACUAUGACUGUUGUGCUUAAAGUAUAAGCUGGGUGUGCUUGAACAAAAUAGCUGUUGUGCUACAAGUAAAAGCACAAUAAAUUAUAGUGGAGUAGCCUACCAUCACUUUUCAAUUUUCAUAAGUUCCAAGUGAGCCGAAGGCAAAGGCUAACAGUCAGCCAAAAUGCCCAACUGAAAAUAUAGAAAAGAAAGUACACAAACAGCAAGUUACAAAAUGAUUGUCCUUUAAACCAAAUCAUGGUGACGCCAAAUUGCCACAAACCAACUUGCAAAUUUGAAUUCUUCAAAUCUAGAAGACAAUCUUAACUCCAUGCAACCUCCCUAAUAAAAUUAAAUCAAUCACAAAACCCUAAUAGCAAUUGAUUAACAUGAGAUUAAUAAAUUUCAUCGAAAAUCUAAUUAGAUAAUACCUUUAAAUUAACCACAAAAAUAACAAAACCGCAUCAAAAUCCCAAUUUUCAAUUCCACUGUAGAGAGAAAUCGAGUAGAUCCCCCAAUAAAAUGAAACAUGCAAAUGAGAAUUAAAUAAUUACAACUCAAAUUAAAAGCUUAUGCUUUCAUAGACAUCUGAAUUCUUGAAAAUUUACCCAUCUAGGCGGUAGCCCCAAUUAGUCGAAAUCGAUCGAGCAUGAGAGAUUUUCUUUCAUAGACAUUUGUUUUACUAGACAUUUGCUUUCAAACGAGCAUGAGAGACUCAUGUAGAACAAGAUAUGGAUUAAUUUUGAAGACAUCCAUCAUAUGGUAAAUUAUUAGAAUUGGAUAUCUACUUUUCCCUACAAUAAUAACUGGGUGUUGUUAUUGGAACUCAACUCACAAUCAAAAUAUAAUUAUCAUUCAUUUUUCUCUCUUCGUGGCCAAAGGACUAAUUUUGAUCAAGUAUUUGAAGUUGGGAAACUGAAACUACAUUUAUGUGCUCAUCUGAAAACCACAUUUAUUUGAUCACGUUUUCUUUCAUUACUUUUUUUUAUAUACAUUUUCUAACAUGCCAUUACAUAAUCUGAUCUCUUUUUAAUUGUAUUAUUGUAUCAGGUAAAAAAAACCACAUUUAUGGUAAGGACUUUAUGCAGAGCGGGCGGGAACCACCAAUAUUUUGGUGGUUCUGUCAAAUGCCUUAAUUGUUGCUGAAGAUUCAAGAGUUACAGCAUUUUAUGGUGAAAGUAAUAUUUCUUUAUCUUUAACUAACAAAUUGAUUAUUACUCGACUAUGUUUAUAGUAUAUGCAGUAUAUUAAUUGGUUCUAAUUUAUAUAUACAGUUCGACCCGAAGAAAAGAAAGUUAAACGCAUUUCUAAGAAUCCUCCAACACGAGCAACAUGAUGUCAUGAUCAAUGUGAUGCGCAUUAUAUGUUAGGACAUAUAUUCACAAGGAAGAUAUUAGAGUCCAUUAGGAGAGAGCAAUGCUUCUUUCCUUGCUUGGAAAUUCGCCUAUUUUUCCCUCUUCCACUUCACAAGGACUUGUAUCAGGAGGUUUGAAUGCAUUCAUAUUGAUCAUGACACCAUGUUGCUCGUGUUGGAGGAUUCUUAGAAAUGCAUUUAACUUUCUUUUCUUCGGGUCUAACUGUAUACAUAAAUUAGAACCAAUUAAUAUACUACAUAUACUAUAAAAAUAGUCAAAUAAUAAUCAAUUCGGUUGUUAAAGAUAAAGAAAUAUUACUUUAGCCGGAAUAUGAUGUAACUCUUGAAUAUCCAGCAACAAUUAAGGCAUCUGGCUGAACCACCAAAAUAUUGGUGGCUCCCGCCUGCUCUGCAUAAAGUCCUUACCAUAAAUGUGGUUUUCUUUGCCUGAUACAAUAAUACAAUUAAAAAGAGAUGAGCACACAAUCAAAUUAUGUAAUGGCAUGUUAGAAAAUGGAUAUAAAAAAACGUAAUGAAAGAAAACUAAAGACAGAAAACUUGGUUUUACUUACUGUCUUAGAGAUUUUCUGUUUAAUUGUUCUCAUCAAAUUGUUUGUCUACUUUCAUUUGGUCUUUUAUAAUGUAUAAGAUUGUGUUUGAAGGGGUGAAUAUACUGAUGAACUGAACGCAGUCAAACCUCAUGAUACAAGUCCGUGUGAAGUGGAAGAGGGAAAAAUAGGCGAAUUUCAAAGCAAGGAAAGAAGCAUUGCUCUCUCCUAAGAGGGAAAAAUACCGACUAUAGGGACUACAGAAAAAUUACUGCUACUUUCAUUGUCAGAUAGUGUUUUUAACUUUUCUUUAUCUUUAUCCCUACCAUAGGGACAGAAUCCUUCCUCAACUACGUAAGUUGUGGGAGUUCUUUGUGAAACCUUGCGCCCAAUACCUUCUCUAAGACCAAGGCGAUUUCGCUGUUCUGCAAGGUGUUCUAACCUCUGAAAUAACUCCUCUAUCCUACCAUUCAUGCCAUUGUAAUUAAAAGGAAUACGAGAGGUAGAGAGGAAAUUGCACACCUGGGAAUCAGAAAACACAUUCAUCAGGAUUUGAACCCAUGGGAAUCCUGCAAGGUGUUCUAACCUCUGAAAUUAUAAACCGAUUAAAGUUUCAGCAACAAGGAGAUUACUCAAUCAGAAAACACAUUCAUCAGGAUUUGAACCCAUGGGAAUCAGCUGUAAUUAAUAAUUAUCAAUAAUUAAAAGUAAUGAACCAGAAAUUCUAGCAAAAAUAAUUCGCAAUUGCAGAAAUACAGUAAAAUCUGCAUUCCAAUCAAACAGAGGGCAUGGAAAAUCGAAGUGUGGAUGGGAAUUUACAGACCUGGACGAGCUAAACUAAAUUUCAGGCCUAACUAGUAACUACAUUAUUCAGACACAAUCCAAAACAAUACUGCUAUGUUAUAUAUUCUAAACAAAAUUAGCUUACUGUAACUCAACCAUUGAAGCCCACCAAUUAGGGCUGGGUUCGGUUUAAAACGGUUCGGUUUUUUGCCAAAACCGAAACCGAACCGAAAUUUCGAUUCAGUUCGGUUCGGUUAUUUUUUUUUUCGGUUCGGUUUUUUUCGGUUUCGGUUUUUUCCGGUUCGGGUUUCGGUUUUUUCGGUUUUUUUUUUCUUUCAAAAAAUGAUGUAAAUAAUGGAAGGAGCUUACCUAUCAACCUCCCAAUUCUCAUAUAUCAGAGAAUUGAGAACCUCAAAAUCCUGAAUAUAACUUUAAAAUUUGCAAAAUCAUGAAAUAAUUCAACAAAUUAACUGAUGCAGAUCAAAAAAAAAAAAAAAAAAAGCAAAUGGGUUCGUCUAAAUGCCAUAAUCGAACUCCAAUAUCACAUGUCCAGUGCCCAUAUUCAAAUUCAUAGUCUAGUCCACAAUAGAUCUAGAAAAUUCCAAAACAUAUUCAGAGAAAAAUACAAACUUUUCCACCUUAAAUUACAUAAAUUUCAAAUGGGUAACCUAAAAUUAAAAACCCAUAAACUGAAAAAUAGAUAAAACCCACAACCUUUGCUGCAGCGAUAUCGCAGUGAUCGUCGCAAGCUCUUACAAUUCCUCUUUUCGUCGGGUCUCGAAAGGGGCGAGGGAAAAUCAUUGUUUGGAAGAAAGAAUCCACGAGGAGGACAAGAGAAGACUAGAGAGAGUGAUUUGGAGGAAGAGAGGAAGGAGAGGGAGAGAGAGAGAGACUGAGGAAGCAGAGAGGAAGCCGCGGCGGGGAGAGAGACUUUGAGAUCUGAAAAUGAAAUGGGAAUGGGACACUGACGACUAGGGUUUUAAGCUUAAGAAAUUUUAUAAACCAUUCAAUAUAAGAAACCUAUAAAUAAUAUACUAGUACAAUUAUAACAAUAGAAAGCCUACAGUCAAGUUGGCUGACAGUACCUAAACCCAACCUACAGGUCAGGGGUUCGAACCUUGAUGCUAACAUAUUUUUUAGUAUUUAUAUAUAUAUUUUUUUUCGGUUCGGUUUCUAGACCUCAAAAACCGAAACCGAACCAACCAGAUUCGGUUCGGUUCGGUUUGGCAGUUUCGGUUCGGUUUUUUUCGGCCUCGGUUCGGUUUGGUUUUCGGUUUUUUUCGGUUUUCGGUUAUUUGAACCCACCCCUACCACCAAUCCCCCUAUAAUCCAAAACAACACUUCUCUCCGUGCUUGGCAAUUGCAGCCAAUCCAUCCCCCUAUAAUUCGUGCAGGUCCUAUUUCCCCAUCCCCUAUAAUUUUAUUCCACAAAUUCGUGCACCCACCCUCCCAAAGACCUGCAGGUCCUGCACUGCACCCACCCUAAACCGGAACCCAUCCAACCUGAAACCCUCCCAAAAACCUGCACCCAUCCUAAUCCGAAACCCACAGUCCUCAAACCCUCACACAUUCGACAAAAUGCUCAGAAAUCAAGUUAAUCAACAUGAAAUUUGACCCUAAACCCUAAAGAAAAGCCCAGCUUACCUGGAUUUUGGGUCUCGAUUCGUGUCAGAUUCGCAUCUUCCUGCGUCUGUGUGUGUGGCCGGAUGAGCGUCGUUGAAGUGAACGGAGGAGCGGCGUUCAAACUGGACGGGCUUGACGGAGGACGGGAGGAGCGCUGGAGCGCCGUUUGACCUUUGUUCUUCGAGAGAGAGUGAGUGAGCGAUUGAGAGAGAGAGAGGGACCUAACUUACAAUGGUCAUUAGGAUUUAAUCUUAACCAAUCUUACGGUGCAAGUAAUUUCUAAUUAUAAAUUAAAAAUAUAUAUAUUUAUAUAUAUAAUAUUUGGUUCGGUUCGGAAUGACUGAACAGUUUCAAAGAUGAGGCUGAAUCCCAAACCAAAACAUUUCGGUUUCGGGUACCGAAUAUUUCGGGAAAUUUUCGAUCAAAAUUUGGGAAGGAUUAGGGACGGUUUGGGAUUUUCAAGAAAAAAUUCCAUUCCUAUAAAUUUGAAUCACUAUUCUUAUCUCUGUAAUUUAGAUGAGUUUAUUAUAAAUUAUCUUAUAUUUUGUUAAAAAAUCCAUUUCAUAAAUAAGUAGAUGUGAUAUGCUUAAAUGCAAAUCUGUAACAAAAGCAAUGGAAAAGAAUAAGUACAAAAACGGAAUCGUUGCCUUUUAUCUCUAGGUAAAAUAGAGCACCAAGAUGGUCAUCAAAGAGGUUUUGAUUACGACUGCCCACUUCACCUUCUACGAAUUCAACAUCAAGGACAAUCAAUGGGUUCGUUUCCCGAAUCGUAACUUCCAGUUCUCCAUUUGGUUGCCCACAGAAAAAAAACCACAAUUAAAUCUUCAAACAACGGAAAUUUGAAGCAUAAAGUGAGAACAAAUAGGUCGAAAUGUGACACAGAUGUUAGUAAACUUUAUGGUCUUCAAUCUUGAUAAUUUAUGCACACAUUGGAAUCCAGACUUCACAUAUUCGCUUAUAUUUGUUGAUCUCUUGGCACAUCUAUACUAAAUUGUUUGGUAUUAGUCAUUUUUUUAAUUCAUAUUUCAAUUUUGUAAGUAGAAAAGGUAUAUUUGUAAAUGAAGAUAUCAAAAUAAAAUAAAAAUUUGUAAUUGCGCCAAGCACAUGUAAUUAUAAAUUUGUAAGUCACGCGUAGCACGCCUGAUUAAAGAUCUCUAAUCAAUGUACCAUUGUUAGCACACUUGAUUAAAGGCCUCUAAUCCAUGUACCAAUUGUUAACAAUGAUAAAUAACUAACGCAACACAUUUUAGGGGCGGGUAGCGCUUGUGAUUAAAAAAAUGCCUAACGUGCAUGCAAAGAGGCUAGUUUAGAGUAAAUAAAGAAGAUUGUAAAUAUGCAAAUGCGGGAUAAGUUAAGUGUGGAUAUGGGGUAGGCUAGACUCAAAAUUGAAGCAGACGGACCAGACCCAUUUGUAAAUGAAAUGUUGCAGGGUAGGGCGGGUCUUGUUAGUUGAGAAAUGAAACCAGACUUAACCUGACUCGUUUGAACGAACCGGUUCCUACAAGUUCAUGGGUCCUUUUUUAUAUAUAUAAUGUUUGUUAAUAAGUUAUGACAGUUGUGCUUGAAGUAAAAGCUGGUGUGCUUGAACAAAAUAGCUGUUGUGCUCCAAGUCAAAGCACAAUAAAUUAUAAUGGAGUAGCUUACCAUCACUUUUCAAUUUUCACAAACAGCAAGUUAGGCUAUCUCCAACCGAGGGCUGGUCAGAUGGCUCGUUUUAGCCAUCUGACCCUCAAAGAUAUUAAGGUCAUCUCCAACCGAAGGUUGGCCAGUAGGCUCAUUUUAGCCCUCUGGCUUUCCAAGAUAUUAAUAUUUUAAUGAAUAGUACAAGGCCAUAUUUGCAUCAAUCUCCAACUGAGGGCCAAAGGCCCGGAGGGCUCAUUUUAGCCCUAUCACAAAAAACUUAGCCCUUGGUUGGAGACGGAUUUCGGGCUAUUUUUGGCCCUCUGGACAGGCCAUCUCCAACCAAGGGCUGGCCAGAGGGCUCGUUUUAGCCCUAUGGCCCUCCAAGAUAUUAAUAUUUUAAUGAACAGUACAGAGUUAUAUUUACCUUCAUCUCCAACCGAGGGCUAAAGGGCCAUAGGACUCGUUUUAGCCAUAUCACGAAAAAUCGUCUCCAACCGAAAGCGGUCGGAAGAGGCAGAAACGCCUCUGUGAGUCUUUCUAACCCCUGAAUGGGUGGAUAUGGCUAAGCCAUUAGCUAGUCUCCUUUUUAAUAAGAUAAAAAUAUAUAUAUACACACACACACACAUUUGCUACACCAACUAGUAUAGGUAAGUCCACAUUAGGCUAGGUUACAAAAUUUAAACUUAAAAGCCGCAGACUUGGGUGGCUAGAGCAAUGUGGUUCGAAUCCUUGUUUUCAUAUCCAUAAUUUAGCUAAAUUUAGUGUGGAUCAUCUUAUCGUUUUUUCAUAAAUCCCGUGUAACGAAUAAUUCAAUGUGAUAUGUUUAAAUGCAAAACUUGAGCGAAACACAGUGAAAUGAUUAGAAACUAUCUCCACCACAUAUCUGUACCAAAAACAAUGGAAAAGAACAAGUACAAAUGUUUACAUGAGAGAAGUUGUAAGGACUUGGAUUGUGAGGGUCAUCUCCACUUUGAAAGUAAUAGCUGAAAGUUGGAGGUUCAUGCAGAUUAAACCAUUCGCCAUUGAUGAACACCUCAAAAGAGCGAAACCAGCCCUGCUGAAACUUUUAAGUACAAAAUUAAAAAAUAAACAGUUCAAAGAUCCGACUUUGAUUUGCAUCAAUGAAAGUUGCAACGAAUGCGAACUAUAUUGCCUCAAUCUUUUCAAUUCAUAUUCUUUGCACACCUCUUCUUCAGAGAAGAACAAACUUUUUGGUGAUAGAUGGCGGGAAAUCCUCUUCUGGCAGGAAUGCAAGACAAUCGAUGAUGCAUAGCUGAGCUGAGGUCCUUCUCCGGGCAGGAAUUCCGAGAGUGCGUGGUGUUUUGAUCCACAGAUUUCAAACUUGAUCGUCCAGACGGUGUGAGUGGAAGAGAGCCGCUGUUGUUUGAGCAAUGUCUCCAACAGAUCCUCACGUCCCCUGAUCUGAAAUUCUCCAAGGGAGACAUAGCACAGCUCGAUUCCACUGUUAAAAAAUACCCGAUAUUAUAAAUGCAAAUAUAGACAAGGCAAAAUGAAAAAAGCAAAAGAAAAGGAAGGUAAAUUACAAUUUACAAAUCAUCAGUGUUAAACCGAGAAUCGAUAUUUAUCCUUCUGGUGAAAUCUGUAGCGGAACAACCAGCCUCCUUGUCAGCCUCCUUGUAUGGUAACGCAAUGUACUGGCAUUCAUCCAAACACAGUUAAGUGGUGCUAAAUACAGAUUAGUGUCAAAUUAACUUUGAAGACAAUCAAUUCUGUUGGAAAAUUUGAGGACAAUCAAUUUAACAUAACUACAGAUAAGUGGUACUAAAUACGUACCAGGCUUUGUCUUGAGAGUUGAGAGUUAGAGUGAAAUGAAGGCUCAUAUGGUGAUUUCAUCAUCUAUCCUUAUGCAAGGAAUACGAGAUAUGUUUCUCCAAUCUUUUCCCUUCUUGUUCCGAUACAUCUUCUUCAGGAAGGACAACCCCAGAUGCUGAGAUGAGAAAGAGAUGCUGGCAAACCCUCUUUCGGCAAGAAUUCAAGACUCUCGCAGCUCAAAAAUUCGUAGCUGUUGAAGAGAAGUGAGGUGCUCAAGUCCCUUUCCGUCCAAAGAUUUCAGAUUCCAUACAUAAGAGAUCCAGAGAGUGGGGAGAGUGGCAAGGAGCAGGUGUUCAUUGAGCAACGUCUCCAGCAGAUCCUUGUUUCCUUCGAUCUGAAAUUAAUUGGCUCCUGUAGGAAGAUUUAGUAUUAACCACCCACCAUAAAAUGAACUUAAAGGUAGUCAUUACAGAACAAAGCACACUAUGGUUCAUGAGCAAACUUAAAAGUAAUCAUUACAACUUAUGACUAUUACUAAGUUAAAGUUUUUUAGGGUGUCAAAGAUUCGCCUCAUCAAAAUCUUGUGGGAGAUUUCAACCCAGUUGAAGAAAAAAGAGUACCACACACCAACAAACUACAAGUUAUGACUAUCUAGCUUGUAUUAAUUAAAACAUCCAAAAUAAUGUCCAGGGGAGUCUUCAAACUAUAGCAACUCUUGAUAUCAUGCAAGUCUAUGUGCAACAUUUUUUGGCCUCUCGUCUCACAUAAUAUUGGACCAAACGCAGAAUAAUCCUUCUUCUUUUGCUACAGUCCCGCCAAAGAUAGAGUGGAAUUACUCUCCACUUCCACAGCUGCAGCCGCCAUCGGCAGCCAACGACGCAGUGUUCUGGCCUAAAACGUAUGUGGUAGAGAAAAAUGAAACCCUACGCGAGCACUUGCUGCAAUGCAGCAACAAAGUGUGGCUGCAUACGAAUCAGAAAAACAAAUACUAUAUAUUAAGAGAAACAAUGAAUGGACCCCUUAGCGACUGUGAAAUCCUGCUAUGUGCGAUAAUGUACAUGACGCACUUCCACGGUUGAGUUGCUACUUACCAAGAAGGUUUCUAAAUUUGAGAGUCCAUUGCUCCAACUUUCACCUUCAAACUUGGGUUAAGGCGUAUCAUCGUCAAUUUCUCCAGGGCAUCUUCCUCUAGAGCGGUUAACGAAUCAAAUGAUUGCCUGCAUAUAAAGUAAGCAAAUCUGCAAUGUUCAAAAAAAAUUUGCUUCGUUUGUUAACUUGCUAUGCGAGUCACACGACAUCACACACGCUAAUAUAAAGAAAACAUUGCAUAUUCUCUUGAUUGCUCAUGAAAUCCACAGUCGUGAGAAGAAUGCUAUAACCUCUCAGUUCCCUUGAUCACUACCAGGAGAUAAGGUGUUCAUUGGCGGCAACAAUAGGCACAAUUUUGUUUAAGGUAUGUGAUAUAUAUAUAUAUAUAUAUAUAUAUAUAUAUAUAUAUAUAUACACACAUAUAUAUAUAUGUAUGUAUGUAUAUUCUUCUUUAAGGAGAGUAUGUGGAUGCAGAGUUUUGAUGAAAAUGUAGGAAAAGAACGCAGAGCUCUACCUUCACACGCUUUCUACCGUUUCAUUAUAAAUCGAACUGUGAAAAGCAUGUUUUCUCUCAAAUCCAUUUCAAUAGAAUGCCAACUCAACCACUUUCCUUUUUCAUACCUCAGCUUAACAAGAUACUCCUAAAUUCAAAGAUGAAGAAAUUAUUAUUGAUACAUUUAUCUUAGAAAACAAGCGAAUGGAACUUAAAGCAAAAGUGAGUGGUGGAACGCUCAAUUACCGCUCAUCCGCAGAGCUCAACAUAAGAAUUAUCAUUCUUGUGAAAUCCAUUGCACACCAGCCAACCACUUAUUCAAGUAAUAUCAUUUACUGGAAUACCAACAAACACAAGCAUGACGACACUGCUACAAGGAACAAGCGCUCUGUUCGACCACUUUGUCUGUAAAAAAGCACAUCUGCACCCAUUCGAAGAUAAGAAUGACAUCAAGAGAAGAUGAAAAGGCAUGUCUCCCAUACUCAAACUAUAAACAGUAUUAGAAGAAAAAAACAUCAUUCCAGGGAUUACCUCGCCGAUUAAAGGAGAAUUAUAUUCAUGCCAGAUAACUGGAGCUAGCACCAUUCAAGGACAACCAAUUGAUGCAUGUUUAAAUCGUUGGCUGUAGAUAAUCCUAUCUUUACAAGUCCAGAGUUGCUAGCUGCAUCAAUAAAGCCGACAAAUACGUUAGUCCCAUUGUGUUGUCCUGACUGAUUGCAUAGUUGAUUUACAUUGAUACAUAAAGGACGGACAAAUUACACUCAAGUGUUCAACUACUUACACUGAAAUCUUUAGGCGCAGCAGCCAGCCACCAAGUCUAGUUACAUUGGCAUUCUAGCAAGCGGUGCCAAUAAGCCAUACUCUCUCCAACCGUUGUGUUUGUAGAGAAAGAGAAACAUAUGUAUACGAACCUACCACAAGAUGACAGAGGCACUGAAAGAUGAGUAAGCAUUCUGCCGUAUGGAAACCACAGAAGUAUAUAUAUUAUACACAAGCACCUGAGUGGUUGAUGUAAUCUAUCAUUUUCCCUCUGAUAAUCCUACCUUUACAGUUCAAUAGUUUUGUCUCUGGACCGACGAAGUCCCACAUACGUUCAGUCUCUAUAUAGCUGUUCAAGCGAGCUGAGGUCUCGAGGUCCCCGUCCUGGAAGGAAUUGCGGGAGUGGGAGGCGUUGAAUUGAAAGUCCAUUUUGUAACGCCCCGAUCCCGAUAUACGUUCACGAUCGACACGUGACGUCACCAAAUACCUGUAUCUCAACAUACCCCGCUUCCAGGAUAUGGCAAAUCACAACUCGAGAAUCGAAUCGCAUAGUAAUUUUUUUGUAUACUUUAUGGCUGCAUCUAACAUCCUCGUUAGACUGCAUACGUAUCCUCAAUAGGGAUCAAGCCAUUUGUAGUUCAUCUUUCACUGCACUUGAACAAUCAUCGUUUAAAUCUCUAUGUCUCAACAUAAUACCACGAUUCAGAUAUGCAACAUAUCAAGGAAUAUUCGACGAAGCACAAUAAUAUUCUCUAGUCAUCUUAUCAUUUCCACACACAUAAGCUUUCAAACCCCAUUCAAUAAUCACAGCAAUCAAUAACACAUACAAUACAUCAAAAUGCAGGGUUAAAGCGACACCGUUCGGCUGAAGCCUACAUCUCUGAAGUUGAAAUCAAAUCCAAUGAACCAACAAGUCAAAUACUACGAUUUCGGACCACUCAACGAAGUCCAUCAACAUCGGGUUUCGGACCACUUAACGAACUCGCGGAGUAUAAGGGAUUUUGAACCAUCACUCAACGAAGUCCAUCAACAUCGGGUUUCGGACCACUCAACGAACUCGCGGAGUAGAAGGGAUUCUGAACCAUCACUCAACGGAAUCCAAGUGGAUACGAUUCCAGACCAUCACUCAAUGAAAUCGCGAAGUAGAAGGGAUUCCGGACCAUCACUCAACGGAAUCCAAGUGGAUACGAUUCCAGACCAUUACUCAAUGAAAUCGCAAAGUAGAAGGGAUUCCCGACCAUCACUCAACGGAAUCCAAGUGGAUUCAAUUUCGGACCAUCACCCAACGGAAUUGCAGAGUAGAAAGGAUUCCGGACCAUCACUCAACGGAAUCCAAGUGGAUACGAUUCCGGACCAUCACUUAAUGGAAUCCAAGUGGAUACGAUUAUGAACCAUCACUCAAUGGAAUUGCGAAGUAGAAGGGAUUCCGGACCAUCACUCAACGGAAUCAAAGUGGAUAUGAUUAUGGACCAUCACUCAAUGGAAUCGCAAAGUAGAAGGGAUUCCGGACCAUCACUCAAUGGAAUCCAAGUGGAUACGAUUCCAGACCAUCACUCAACGGAAUCACAGAGUAGAAGAGAUUCCAGACCAUUACUCAACGGAAUCCAAGUGGAUACGAGUCCAGACCAUCACUCAACGGAAUCACAAAGUAUAAGGGAUUCUGGACCAUCACUCAACGGAACCCCAGCGGAACCUAGUUCGGGACACUUAAUGAAACCGAGCGGAAGUCCAAAGAACAUAUCAACGACUCAAAGAAACAAGACAUGAAUCAAGUUACUCAAGUUACAAAGGCUCAACGAAAUGAAACAAAGCACAAGUAUUAAAUGUAGAACGGCUCAACGAAACGAGAAAUGAAAUAAUGAACCGAGGGGUGAGACAUGUAUCGAAGCAACAAACCCCAUGACGAUGGGUUAACAGUCCACUACUAACCUUCACAUUUCAUCACAUCAAUCCAAUUAUACAAAACAAACCAUAUUUCCAAUAUGCACGUCAAAUCACAAUUAAUAAACAUAGAUCGAUGCUAAAAAUAAAAAUAACACUUCAAUAGAAAGCACAUUUAAUAAACAAGUAUAACUCAAUAUGGUGCCACCAAUACAUAUAUCGAGACAUGUUAACCGAGAACAACACGUCAUCGUGAUAAGCCAACUAAGUUCCAUCACGCCUCAACAACAAACUAGAGAUAAACGACACUCUAGAGUAUAGCAUGUUGACUAGAACGUCAACCGUCGAUAAGGUAAGUCCAUUAAGAUCAACAAUCUAAGGUUAUUCAAUCCGGAAGAUCCGCACAUCGGAUUUCCAAUCCGUAAGUUCUCAAAGGUCCAACAACUGAUAACUAGGGUGCUUACAAAAUUGUACGACGAUCCAACGAUCGAAUUGUCGUCAAUACAAACAAGUGGUGGUCCAAUUUGAUCACCACACCAAACAAUUGAAUUUCAGGAAACCGAGCUAGACGUAGGUUCAUAGGGUCACUAGAAGGUAUUUGGUACUUAGACAACACUCGUGGACUGUCCCACGCACCUCUACACACGGUGGUAGCCAAGGUGGAGGGUUUUGAAAAUCCGAAUUUUCAACAUUAACUAAAUGAGCUCAAAUUUACGUGGUAGCUAAAGCUCAACAAGGGAAACACUUUUCAUAACUAGGCCGACACAAAUUCUAACCGGAAAUCGUCCAAAUUCAUCGGAAAAAACUGAAUUUCUAGGGUUCUAAACACCCAACUCUAAAAUGAAUACGAAAGCACGAACCAAGCAUACCAACUUGAAGAUUAUGAAGAGUAGAUGAAGUUUCAUACCUCACUCGAAGGAAAUGGUUGCCGGAAUCACUGGAAAAAUGACAAAAUCUCCGGAAACCCAGGGAACUUUGCUGUCUCGAACUGGAAAAAUGGAUUUAAAAAAGGGAACUUUAACGAAAAGCACCCGGUACUGUUCACUUUAACGAAAAACCACAUUUUUACACUAAAAAGUCAAUCCUGGUACUAUUCACUUUACCCUUUAUUUUGUCCUUAUCAUUAAAACUCAAAGUUUUCAAACCCUUUUCAUUAGUUUUCCUUUUAAAAAAUUGGGAAAUCUAACACUAGAGAGAUGUAGGGCUCGUCAAGAGUUUUCCAUGGACACCAAGAUCAUCCAAAACGGAAAUCGGAUGAAAGAGACACAAGCGGGUCAAGUUUAUGGGUUAACAAAUUAAAUUCGCCCCCAAAAUGAGUUAGCAGAAGCCCUUUUUUUUUUUUUCUAGAAACCUUCCCCCUUUUUAAUUUGAUUGGUCCUCUCUUCAACCUUUACUUCUGAUUGGCCACAAAAGCACAUACCUCCUUGGGCUUUUUCCCUCAAAGUGAGAGUUUAAAUAAUUUCUAAAAUCUAUAGUUUAGUAACACAACUUCAAACGUCUGUAACUAUAUUGUUAUAAUCCGGACUCGCAAACAGCUUUCACCUAUGCAUUCGUGGUUUUGAGAUUUAUUCGAAAAUAAUAUAAAUUCUCCUUAAUACCAAUAUGUAGUUUGCAAUAGUGAAAUCCAGGAACGGGAUUUCACACAUUUCAACCCAAAAGAUUUCAAACUUGACAGUCCAGAAAAUCAGAGCACCAUUUGAUAAUCCUAUCUUUACAGGUUUGCUUGCUCGCUGCAUCAAUGAAACCGAUAUAUCUGUUAGUCCCAUUACACCUACCAGAAGAUUACAGUUAUGUCGCAAAUGAGAGAAGUGAGAGAAAAGCAUCAUCCAGGAUUUACCUCUUCUCAUGCAGGAGAAUCAUAUAUAUCGACCCCAAGUAGUUCCACAUUAUCAGACUACAAAAAAUUCACUCCCCUCGCCACUCUCCUGUAAUUUCAUCGGAAUUAGACUCUGAAACUCUAAUUUAAGAUGGAAUAUUGCUGAGGACAAUCAAUUUAAUAAUAAAUAAAAAAAUACCUGGCUGUUGUCUUGAGAGUUGGAGAGAGUGAAAUGAAAGCUCAUAGGACGGUGAUUUCAUUCUCUAUCUUUAUGAAAGGAAUGCGAGCUAUGUUUCUCCAAUAUUUUCCCUUCUUGUUCCGAUACCUCUUCUUCAGAGAAGGGCAAUCCCAGAUCCUCAGAUAAGAAAGAGAUGCCGGCAAACCCUCUUUCGGCAGGAAUUCGAGACUCUGGCACCAUUCAAUUUGUAGCUGUUGAAGAGAAGUGAGGUGCUCAAGUCCCUUUCCGUCCAAAGAUUUCAGAUCCCAUACCUGAGAGAUUACGAGAGUGUGAAAGAUUUCAGAUCCCAUACCUGAGAGAUUACGAGAGUGUGAAGAGUGGCAGGGAGCAGCUGUUCAUUGAGCAACGUCUCCACCAGAUCCUUGUUUCCUUCGAUCCCAGACCGUUGAAGGGCGGUGAGGGUGUGCAUUCAGGGAGUUGAGAUUUUCAUCUGCUCCUCCUUCAACUGAAAGAGAUUCCAGAUUCUGACAACCAUCGAUACAAAGAGAUGAAAGGUUGGGGAAAAUGCCCAAAGGGAACGACCUCAGAGAAUCACAGCCCUCCCAUAUCCACAAAGACUGAAGGGAAGUCAAUUUGGCCAUCAUCUCACGUGAAAGGAAUUCUAAUUUCUUGCACUUUUCUAUACGGAGUGACGUCAGCGUGGUGGGCAGACCAUUUGUAGGGAACGACAAGAGUGAGGAACAUUCAUAUAAUGUCAAACUUUGAAGAUGAUUGCUGUUGUGCACCAUUUGCGGCAACCACUCUCUCCCAUCAAAAUAAAUAUCAAGCAUCUGAAGCGACGGCAGCGUCUCCGUCGACUCGAGUAACAAUGAGAGACCCGGACAUCACUUUAUUGUCAGUUGUUCAAGAGAUCGUCGUAAGGAUUCUGUGUUCAGGGUAUUACUGGCCCUGUUUUCAUGUAGAACCUUACAUCCAUCGACCCAAAGGAUUUUCAAGGAAGGAAGAUGAGUGGGCAAGUUUCCUCUCAGCUUCGGACAUUGGCGUAACCUCCGCUCCUUAAGACGAGGAAAGUCUGGACUUUCACCUCCACUUGGACUUGGUUGCCAUUCCCACUCCACUGAAGGCCUCAGUCUCUCACAAUUUUCGAUCCAAAAUGUUCGUAGGUUGGGAGGCAAACCCCCUUGUGCACGUGACCCCAGACUUGGAAGAUUUUGUAUCCACAAAUGUUGAAGGGCGGUGAGGGUGUGCAUUCGGGCCAGCUACAACUUCAAUUUCUUGCAUUUGGCUGCACAGUCCUGCCAACAACAACUUCAACGCAGAAUAAUGCUUCUCCUUUUGCUACAGUGCUGCCAAAGAUAGAGUGGAAUUAUAUCCACUUCCAUAGCAGCAGCCUCCAAAUCAGCAACCAUCGGCAGCCAACGACGUAGUGUCAUGGCCUAAAAUGUACGUGGUAGAGAAAAAUGAACCCCCGUGCACGCACUUGGCUGCACAGGCAGCAACAAAGUGUGUGGCUGCAUAUGAAUCAGAAAAACAAUGAAUGGACCCCUUAGCGACUGGGAAAUCCUGCUAUAUGCUAUCAUGUACAUGAAGCACUACCACGGUUGAGUUGCUACUUACCAAGAAGGUUUCUAAAUUUGAGAGCCCACUGCUCCAACUUUCACCAUCAAACUUGGGUUAAGGCUUAUCAUCAUCUAUUUCUCCACGGCAUCUUCCUCUAGAGCAGUUAACGAAUCAAAUGAUUACCUCCAUAUAUAGUGAGCAAAUCUGCAAUGUUCAAAUAAUUUUUUUCUUCGUUUGUUAACUUGCUACAUCACACACACUAAUAUAUAGAAAACAAACCUCCAAGUCCAGAUGCAACUUUGAAUAUUCUCUUGAUUGCUCAUGAAAUCCACAAUGGUGAGAAGAAUGCUAAUAUAUAGAAAACAAGCCGACAAAUACGUUAGUCCCAUCGUGUUGUCCUGACUGAUUGCAUAGUUGAAUUACAUUGAUCCAUAAAGGAAGAACAAAUUACACUCAAGUGUUCAACUACUUACACUGAAAUCUGUAGGCGCAGCAGCUAGCCACCAAGUCUAUUUACACUGGCAUUCUUGGCAUUCUAGCAAGCGGUGCCAAUAAGCCCUGCUCUCUUCAUCCAUGGUGUUUGCAGACAAAAAUAUGUGUAUGCAGCUACCACAAGAUGACAGAGGCAUUGAAAGAUGAGUAAGCAUUCCGCCAUAUGGAAACCUCAGCAGUAUAUAUGUAUACACAAGUACCUGAGUGGUUGAUGUAAGCUAACAUCGUUUUCCCUCUGAUAAUCCUAUCUUCACAGUUCAAUAGUUUUCUCUCUAGACCGACGAAGUCCCACAUACAUUCAAUCUUUAUAUAGCUGUUCAAGAGAGCUGAGGUCUAGAGGUCCCUGUCCUGGAAGGAAUUGCGAGAGUGGGAGGUGUUGAAAGUCCAUUUCCAUCCAAAAUAUUUCAAAAUUGACGGUCCAGAAAAUCAGAGCACCAUUUGAUAAUCCUAUCUUUACAGGUUUGCUUGCUCGCUGCAUCAAUUAAACCGAUAUAUCUGUUAGUCCCAUCACACCUUAGUCCCAUCACAUCUACCAGAAGAUUACAGUUAUGGUGCAAACGGGAGAAGUAUGAGAAAUCAUCCGGGGAUUUACCUCUUCUCAUGCAGGAGAAUCAUAUAUAUCGACCCCAAGUAGUUCCACAGUAUCAGACUACAAAAAAUUCACUCCCCUCGCACUCUCCUGUAUUUUCAUCAGAAUUGGACUCUGAAACUCUAAUUUAAGCUGGAAUAUUGCUGAGGACAAUCAAUUUAAUAAUAAAUAAAAACAAAACAGUACCUGGCUUUUAUCUUGAGAGUUGAGAAUUGAGAGUUGGAGAGAGUGAAAUGAAAGCUCAUAUGGUGAUUUCAUCAUCUAUCUCUAUGCAAGGAAUGCGAGCUAGGUUUCUCCAAUCUUUUCCCUUCUUGUUCCGAUACCUCUUCUUCAGAGAAGGACAACCCCGGAUCUUCAGAUAAGAAAGAGAUGCCGGCAAACCCUCUUUUGGCAGGAAUUUGAGACUCUCGCACCCUUCAAUUUGUAGCCAUUGAAGAGAAGCGAGGUGCUCAAAUCCCUUUCCGUCCAAAGAUUUCAGAUUCGAUACUUCAUAGAUUUGGAGAGUGUGAAGAGUGGCAGGGAGCAGCUGUUCAUUGAGCAACGUCUCCACCAGAUCCCAGUUACAGUCACGGAUAAAUAAUGUUUGUAGGUUGGGAGGCAAACCCCCAACCUUUGGAAGACGAUCCUGUUGAGCAAAAAUUGUACAUAAUAUGUAAACAAAUAAUUCACUCGACACAAUUUUACCCUCGUUCAUUUUUCGAAGAGGGUUUUAUUAAUUCGAGUUCGACCCAUUAUAGGCUACGCGCCUAUUAAUUACAACCUUUCAUUUGGGAAAGGAACACCCUUUGAUUCUAAUAUGAAUAAAUCGUAACUUGGGAAUUUAGAUGUUUAUUUGAUUUUGUGACUGCAUCUAGAUAGAGCCCUAGAUUGCCUACGUACCCUCGUUGAGGGAUCAAGUCACUCGUAGUUCCUUGGUAUUUGGUACUUGUUUGAUUUUGAUGCCUUAUGCAGUUUUAGCUCAUGCAGGCGAGGACUUUAAGUCAUUAGAGCAUUAAUGCCUUGUGCAGUUUUAGCUCAUGUGGACGAGGACUUUUAAGCCAUUGGAGCAUUAAUGCCUUGUGCAGUUUUAGCUCAUGCAGGCGAGGACUUUAAGCCAUUGGAGCAAUAAUGCCUUGUGCAGUUUUAGCUCAUGCAGGCAAGGACUUUAAGUCAUUGGAGCAUUUGAUUCGGCUUCAUGCCAUUUGAGAUUUUUCUUCAGCUUCAUGCCUUUUGUGAUUUGAUGCGGCUUCAUGCCAUUUGAAAUUUAAAGCGGCUUCGUGCCAUUUGUAAUUUGAAUCGGCUCGCUUCUCUUUUACUCUUCGUAGAAUUUGUAAUUACUUGGUCAAAGUAACAGAAGUGAAUUUAGUUUAUAUAAACUAGGGAUUCGUCUUGAUUUCAACUUCACGGUUGCGUCUAAAAUUUUAAUAUUAGACUGCCUACGUAUCCUUAACGGAAUCAAACCGGCGUAGUUCAUAAAAACUUGAUAUCAUGGUUGUGUCUGAAAAUUGAUAUCAGACUGCCUACGUAUCCUUAAAGGAAUCAAACCAGCGUAGUUCAUAAAAACUUGAUUUGGAUUUGUAGAAUUUUUGUAUCAAUUAUAUGCCAACUGAUACAAUGGAUGAAUUUUCUUUGGAGAUCAUAUCCACUGACUUCACUUGGAAAGUCAUACCAAUUAAUUGUUUAAUGAGUAUAAUCCCCCUCGAUUGGCAACUUUGUUUCAUGAGUUCAGCCUGCUUCAUUUUUGAAAGCUUUGUUCCAGAUUUUUAUUCCACGGCAACACCACUUUUAAAGUUCUCUCUCAAUUCCAUUGGUAGCUCCUGGGUGGUCUUGUAUUUGUUGUUUGGGAAUACUGAUAAACUUUGUAGAAUUUAGCUUUGUCGUUUUUGUUUUUUUUUUCUUCUGUUUUUGGACAGAUAGACACCCUUUUAAUUGUUGGCUCUUUCAUCCUCGAACCAUCACGUGAGUGCCUCAUUUUCUUCCCUUUUUAUAUAUAUUUUCCUUUUGAUCUUUCAUCCCCAUUUAAGAUGGGACUUUGAACCCAUUUGACUGACAGCAAGCUUCACUCUUUUUUUUUUAACUUUACAGCUUCCAAAUUCAACAAACUCUAUUCUUCUCCACGUGAGGUGCCCAUUUUUUUCUUCCUUGCUUUCCUUUGUCUUGUCAACUUGUCAGUUUGUCAGCAAACUCUUUUUUCUUCGCUGGGAAUUUUUGAAACUUUUCCAAAUCCCGUAGAACUUUACGUGAGAGUAAACAUCUAUUUAUUUCCCUCCUGUAGUAACUUUUUCCUUGGUGGGAUUUAUGCCACGCGGAAUGAAAAAGGAUUUAAACACCUUUUGCUGGUUGAAGAGCUUCUGAAGUCUUUGAAUUCUUUUUGAGAGUCAUAACUCCUAUUUCACAUAAGCAGUGUAUCGAAGACUUAUGAAAGGAAGACAGCAACUUAUAUAUUCAUCUGCCGUUGCUUGUUCAUCCGUGAGGGAUGAAGGAUGACACACCAUUCAUUUGUCGUUGCUUGCUAAUCUCUCUCCUCUUGACUUUUAACGGAAACGGACGGCAUGUUGAACUCUUUCUCCUCCACGACGAGAUGUACAUUCCAAUUUGUUUUGCUCUUCAUGAUGUGUUGUUUGUACAUUUGUCUUUGCUUUCUUCAUGGACUUUGUGAAAGCUCCAGAGACUUUGAUGAAAUUCUUAUAAGAAAACUGCAGCGACUAUUUCAACUUCGGCAGCCACUGUGGUUGUUUUCACGGUGGAGGACUUCGUUCAUGACCACCCUUUUUUUAUGCCGUUGAUGAGAAAAAUGGAGUAUGCUGCGACGCUGGGCUUGCGGACCGGAGGACGGCGUGAUCGCUGUGGCCGUCGGUGUUGUUGAAGUGGUGGUGUCCGGUGACGUCGUAGCGGGCUGUUGCCAAAGUCCAGGUGAGAAGGCAGUCCUCCGGUUCCAGUUUGUCGCGAAAAGUGAGAGCUUCGGAGCCAUCACUAGGCACAGUGGUUUGGCACUGUUCCUUCAUGCAGGUUGUACUUCCAAACUUCUUUAGGCACCCAUUCCUUCAUUGACGCGACUUCCUUCGGGUUCUUCUGGUUUUAUGCAACACGGCAUUACCAAACCCAUCUCCUUCAAGCCGUAUCCUCCAUUGACGUGACUUCCUUCGGGUUCUUCUGGUUUUAUGCAACACGGCAUGACCAAACCCAUCUCCUUCAAUCCGUAUAAUGUACGGACGGUAAGUAUGGGUUACUUAGACUUUGAUUGGAACUUCACGGGGUGGUCUAGGCCACCCCGAAGAAAUUCAUGGGAUUCUUGGAGAUCAUUUCUGCUGCUCCACCUCCAUCUGUUUGGUGCAGGAAAAAUACCAAACAAAGAAACAAAGGCAAAAAAAGGCUAAAAGAAAUAUUAGAAAAUUUGAUUUGUCCUUCUCUUUUUCUUUCUUUUGUUUCCUUGCAUUGUGGACCAUUGCCAAACAAAGGGGAAUGUCAUGAACCAUUGCCUAGUGGUCUUUGGCUGCCAUUUUUUUUGCGUUGUUUCUUCCUUCGUGUCCUUCUCUGUUUCUUGUACAUAUAUACAACAUAACAAUAAUCAAGAGAAAAAUAAUUUUAACAGGGCUUUGUCUUGUACCUGGUGAUGAAUAUUCUUAUUUGGUUCUUGACUUGAAAGCACGAAUGGUUGAACUGCUUGCUCACUUUUCCGGCAGUACUUCGUUUUUUUUUUUGGUAUUUUCUCUCAAAGCCUCUCUUAGUUUCUGCAGAGUAUCCCCUCCCUUCUUUCCCUUUUUUUUUUUCUUGUUGUGGUUGAUGCCUAUUUAUAGGCAUCUUAGGAGGGUUCCAGCGUUCUUACGUGGGGGAGGAUAGAAGCCUUUCUUUUCGCCACUUUCUCUUAAACCGACUCCAUUUUUCCUUUUGUUGCAGAAAAUGGGGGAACGCCCCCUGUUUUGCACGUUUCCCCCUUUUCUAGGAAGGGAUUCAUAUUUUUAUUUUUUUAUUUUUUUAUUUCUGAAUGUUGUUUUGUAUGUAAGGCCCAUCCUCAUAUUUUGGGUUGGAUUACAUUUUUUUGCCUUGUAGUUUGACCCAAUUUGUAUGGACUUCAUUUUUUAUAUGUCAUGUAUUUUUAUUGUUCAACAGAUCCAUCGACAAAUAUUGAAGGGCGGUGAGGGUGUGCAUUCGGUCCGUCAACAACUUCAAAUUCUCGCAGUUGUAGACUUGAAAGAAAGUGAGGUUGGGAGUGGGCAAUCCCCGGUUGUGUGGCUGCAUAUGAAUCAGAAAAACAAUGAAUGGACCCCUUAGCGACUGGGAAAUCCUGCUAUGUGCUAUCAUGUACAUGAAGCACUACCACAGUUGAGUUGCUACUUACCAAGAAGGUUUCUAAAUUUGAGAGCCCGCUGCUCCAACUUUGACCAUCAAACUUGGGUUAAGGUAUAUCAUCAUCUAUUUCUCCACGGCAUCUUCCUCUAGAGCAGUUAACGAAUCAAAUGAUUACCUGCAUAUAUAGUGAGGAAAUCUGCAAUGUUUAAAUAAUUUUUUUCUUCGUUUGUUAACUUGCUAUGUGAAUCACACGACAUCACACACGCUAAUAUAUAGAAAACAAACCUCCAAGUCCAGAUGCAACUUUGAAUAUUCUCUUGAUUGCUCAUGAAAUCCACAAAGGUGAGAAGAAUGCUAAUAUAUAGAAUACAAGCCGACAAAUACGUUAGUCCCAUCGUGUUGUCCUGACUGAUUGCAUAGUUGAAUUACAUUGAUCCAUAAAGGAAGAAUAAAUUACACUCAAGUGUUCAACUACUUGCACUGAAAUCUGUAGGCGCAGCAGCUAGCCACCAAGUCUAUUUACACUGGCAUUCUAGCAAGCGGUGCCAAUAAGCCAUGCUCUCUUCAACCAUGGUGUUUGUAGACAAACAUAUGUAUAUAUGCACCUACCACAAGAUGACAGAGGCACUGAAAGAUGAGUAAGCAUUCCGCCAUAUGGAAACCACAGAAGUAUAGAUAUAUAUACACACAAGUACCUGAGUGGUUGAUGUAAGCAAACAUCGUUUUCCCUCAGAUACAUUCAAUCUUUAUAUAGCUGUUCAAGAGAGCUGAGGUCUAGAGGUCCCUGUCCUGGAAGGAACUGCGAGAGUGGGAGGUGUUGAAAGUCCAUUUCCGUCCAAAAUAUUUCAAAAUUGACGGUCCAGAAAAUCUGAGCACCAUUUGAUAAUCCUAUCUUUACAGGUUUGCUUGCUCGCUCGCUGCAUCAAUUAAACCGAUAUAUCUGUUAGUCCCAUCACACUUGGCCGGUCCCAAGCCCGGAUAAAGGAGGAGGGGGAGGGCGUCAGGUAGUCGACAGCCGGCACUCCAUGAUCACGUCGAAUCCUUAUGAAUCUGUUAGUCCCAUCACACCUACCAGAAAAUUACAGUUAUCUCGCAAACGAGACAAUUAUGAGAAAAGUAUCAUCCAGGGUUUUACCUCUUGUCAUGCAGUAGAAUCAUAUAAGAAAAGCUCAUAUGGUGAUUUCAUCAUCUAUCCUUAUGAAAGGAAUGCGAGCUAUGUUUCUCCAAUCUUUUCCCUUCUUGUUCCCAUACCUCUUCUUCAGAGAAGGACAACCCCGGAUCUCCAGAUAAGAAAGAGAUGCUGGAAAACCCUCUUUUGGCAGGAUUUUGAGACUCUCGCACCUUUCAAUUUUUAGGUGUUGAAGAGAAGUGAGGUGCUCAAGUCCCUUUCCGUCCAAAGAUUUCAGAUUCCAUACAGAAGAGAUUUCGAGAGUGUGAAGAGUGGCAGGGAGCAGCUGUUCAUUGGGGAACGUCUCCACCAGGUCCUUGUAUCCUGAGAUCCGAAAUUGUUGAAGAGAGGCAAGUCCUCGCAAUCUCCACUCCACUGAAGGCCUCAGUCUCUCACACCAGCUGAUCCGAAAUGAUUGUAGGUUGGGAGGCAAACCCCCUUGUGCAAAUGACACCACAUUUGGAAGAUCAUGCAUCUCCAAACGUUGAAGGGCGGUGAGGGUGUGCAUUCGGUCCGGCAACAACUUCAAAUUCGUGCAGUGUAUGACUUCAAAGGAAGUGAGGUUGGGAGUGGGCAAUCCCCCGUCGGCAAAAGAGACAAGAUUUCGACAGUUCCAUAUACGCAGGGAGUUGAGAUGGCUGAGAUUUUCAUCUGCUCCUCCUUCAACAGAAAGGGAUUCCAGAUUCCGACAACUUUGGAUAAAAAGAGAUGAAAGGUUGGGGAAAAUGCCCAAAGGGAACGACCUCAGAGAAUCACAGCUACGGUCUAGACGCAAAGACUGAAGGGAAGUCAAUUUGGCCAUCAUCUCACGUGAUAAGAAUUCUAAUUUCUCGCAGAGGAAAAUAGUGAGUGACGUCAGCGUGUUAGGCAGACCAUUUGUAGGGAAUGACAAGAGUGAGGAACAUUCAUAUAAACUCAAACUUUGAAGACGAUUGCAUUUGUGCACCAUUUGCGACAAGAGUGAGGAACUGAGAAUAGAAAGACUCUGAAGCGACGGCAGCGUCUCCGUCAACUCUAGUAACAAUGAGAGACCCGGGCAUCCAUCUAUUCUUAGUUCUUCAAGAGAUCCUCGUAAGGAUUCCGUGUUCAGGGUAUUACUGGCCCUGUUUUCAUGUAGAACCGUACAUCCACAGACCCAAAGGAUUUUCAAGGAAGGAAGAUGAGUGGGCAAGUUUCCUCUCAGCUUCGGACAAUUGGAUAAUUUCAACUCCUUAAGACGAGGAAACUUUGGACUUUCACCUCCACUUGGACUAGGCUGCCAUUCCUCCCACUCUGGCAUAUCCCAAAACUCCAGCUUCUCUAAACAUUGAAAUUGUUGAUUUCCCCCGUACAACUCAACACCAACACUCUUAACAACUUUCAUCCCUUCUACGUAGAGCUCUUUCAGAGCUGGUAGCUGACCAACUGGUGGCAAUGAACUGCAAUUACCACAGUAACUGAGACGCAUCACUUGUAAGUUGGAGAAGGACGAGUCUCCCACCCAAUUCGGGAAACUAAUUCCGCCAUAAAACCUGAUGGUUAGCUUCACCAAAUUUACCGAAGGUUGAAAUCUUUCGAGCACAUCUCUCUUUUACGGAAUCAUCGGAAACUACAUCACCCCAUGACAACUCUACCUCGUUGAGAUCUUUCUUAUCCUUCAGCAAGGCAUCAAUAGCACCGACUACAUUUUGCAGAUUCAAGAUAGAAAUUUUUCCUCCAAGGUGCGACAACUCCCUCAGCUCUGCAAUGCUUGACCCAGUAGAUUUCCCCAACACAAAAGCCGUCAGUGUUCUCAAACUUUUUAGUCUACCCAUAUGCACAGGCAUCUCUUUUAUGUUAGUUCCACCAAUAUCAAGAUGACGCAAAUGAAUCAAUUUCCUCAUGUCUGCAGGCAAUUCAACAAGAGAAGAACAACCUUUCAACAAUAGAGUUUGUAAAUUGUAGAGAGUACACACUGUAUCUAGUAACCUUUUAAUUGCCGUAUAAGAGAGAUCAAUGUAACGCAAAUGCAUGUGGUUACCAAUGGAAUCAGGUAAGUGAGUGAUGUUUUUGUAUCCUGACAAUGAAAAUGCCCGUAAACAUCUUUGUGCUGGCAGUAAAUCAUCUAGAACCUUAUUGCUUACAUAUCCAACAUUCCAAACACCAUAUGGUGGUAAAGACACUGGAAAGAAGGUACGCAAACACUUAACUCCUUUUAAUGGCUCAAAUAUUGGAGAUGUAUCAAAUUUUCCUCUCAUAUGACAAGUGGCGAACUCUUUUAGAAACUUUGUGCGAAUUUUUUUGAUCCAACCUAAAACAAAACUCUCCAGACACAAACAUAGCCAAGUCAUUGACAAGAUCAUGCAUAGUGAAACUUGGUUUAUCCAAUCUUGGUCUUUGAAAUAGUGAACGUGAUAACAGUUCAUUAAAGUACCUUUCACCAACCUCCUCCAUUCCUUCUGAUUGUGGAAUUAAACCUUCUGCCACCCAUAGUAGAAUAACGUUUUCCUUUUCAAACUCAUAGUCCUUUGGAAAAAUUGAGCAAUAAGCAAAGCAUCGUUUCAAGUAAGCCGGAAGAUAACGGUAACUCAAUCUUAAAGAAGGAAGAAGACUAUUAGGGUGUGGCAGAUCCCAAAGAUUACUAUCCAAUAUGUGAUUCCACUUCUUGUAGUCUAGGUAGCAACUUAAGAGACCCCCUAGCGUUUUUGCAGCUAGAGGCAAGCCGUUGCACUUACAUGCAAUUUGCUUACCAAUUUCAACCAAGUCUGGAUGUGCACCGGGGUUUUCAUUUCUAAAUGCAUGUUUUUCCAGUAACGACCAACAGUCUUCAUCCGACAAUUCUUUUAAAUCGUGAAUAGGAACAGUAUUGUGCACGAUGGCUGCAACAUGUCUGCUCCUUGUUGUUACAAUGACUUUGCUUCCCUUUGCCCCAUACGUGAAAAGAAUUUGUAGACGCUCCCAGUCAUCAUAGUUUUCAUUCCAAAGGUCAUCCAAGAUAAGUAAAAAUCUCUUUCCACUCAGUUGUUCCCUUAGUUGAACUUCAAGGGAAUUCAUCUCCAAAUUGUCACAAGGCUUUUUUUUAGUGAUUUCCUCAAUAAGGGCCUUAAUAACCCUCAAAGCCUCAUACUGUUCGGAAACACAAACCCAAGCAUGAGUGUCAAGUGCUUUUUAACUUGUUCAUCAUUGAAAAGGAGUUGAGCAAGAGUUGUCUUACCAACCCCGCCCAUACCGACUAUAGGGACUACAGAAAAAUUACUGCUACUUUCAUUGUCAGAUAGCAGCAGUAGAUCUUUUAACUUGUCUUUAUCUCCAUCCCUACCAUAGGUAUAAAAUCCGUCCCUAACAACAGAAGUUGUGGGAGUUCUUUGUGAAACAUUGCCUCCAACAACAUCUUCUCUAAGACGGAGGAUAUCUUUUUGAUUUGCAAGGUCUUCCAACUUGUUGAAUAAAACUUCUAUCCUACCAUUCAUGCCUUUAUAAUUAAAAGGUUUACGAGAGGUAGAAAGGAAGUUCCACACCUGGGUCUGAUCUUUCGCCUUGUGACGCGAAACUUCAGUAUCGAUCUCAUCCACCAAGUCCUCGGCCUCGAACACAGCAUGUUUGAGCUCGUCAAGCCACAUCCCGACGUCACGGUCGACAAUCUGCUUCUCCUCUGCAUCGUUGAGCACUGCAUUGAGGGUCAUCAACUUCACCUUCAGUCUGCCCACGAGUGAAUGGUCGAGUCUUCUUGCUCGGAGGAAGUCUAUGAACUCUCCAGAAAUCUUGUCGCACAGCACCUUGAUCGAACCGGAGAGCAAAGCCUCUCCAACCAAAGCCAUUUUCUCUUCUGGCAAAAGGACUAACUUUGAUCAAGUAUUCGAACUUGGAAAACUGAGAAUUCUGCUUGGCAAAGCCUGUUAAGAUUACUUCACGACAGGUGAGACGACUUGAUAUUUUUCUUGGUCAAUAAUGCAGUGGACCGCACACGGCAAACAUAAAGUAGUAAUUUGUGGAGGUUGGAAAACGUUACCAUCCAACAUUAAUUUAUUAAUUAUUUUCUUCCAUAACAAAAUCGUUGUUGGUCAUGAAAAUUGGUGGAGGUUGGAAAACAUUACAUCAAACAUUAAUUUAUGUAUUACUUUCUUACCCAUGUGGAUGACAUUAUUUGAUUUGAGUGCAUCUUCACAUGUGGGGACAAAGUCAAAGAAAGUGACUGAUAAAGAGGAUCACAAUUCAAGAUUCUAUCUAAUCUUCCUAAUCAGAACAUCUCACAAUUCUCUUAUAAUG
rnacentral:lncRNA from 1 species